AGGUUUACAAUCAAAUACUUUUUCUCAAGACUACAUAAGUGUACUUAAAAAAGAGGCGAGAUUUGUUCUUGCCUAUUAGUUAAUAUAUACAUAUUAAUUCAUCAUUGGCGCCCUUUGACACGAAGCCAUUCAUUAGUGUAGAAGACGAAGGAGAAGAAAAUAUUAAUGUAGAAAACACACAAGUUUAUUCAUAAUGCAGUCCCUCCCAACUCCCAACAUGGGCACAAGCACUGAAGCAAACACACUGACACAACAUAUAUAUUACAGAGAAGAAAAGAAAUUAGUAGCCAGCUAGCAGCACAUUCAACAUACAUAUAUACAGAACUUGAACAUAAUUGACAACAUCUGGAGGGAGAGGGAUAUAUUUCGAUGCUGCAGCCUGCAAUUCAUAGCAUAUCAUCGAUCAUUUAAUUGCUUAUCAAAUGGUGUCCUUGAAUGUUUUGAUCAAGAAAAUGGUGAUGAUGAUCAUUCUGAUGCUGAUCAUUUAAUUUAUAACAUGACGAUAGAGAAUAAAGUGGCUGUCCAAAUUCACACAUUCACCAAACUUUUACCAUGAAAUUAUAUGUUGCAUAUGGCAGCUACCAGGCACAUAAAUCAUCGCCAACCAAAAGCCCACGUUUUGCAUGCAACCACUUGUCGACAACCAUUCACCAGCCACAAAUUACCCAAGUAAGUACUCGUAUCGUCAACACUUACCCUUCACUUCAUCUACGCAAACAAGAAUUCAAAUCGCUUAUUAGCUAGUGCUCGAGCGAAAGCCAAAAUAAAUUAAAUAUCUGUGUGUGUGUGUGUGUGUGUUAAAGAGAAACGGUGGCAAAGUCAUUAUACAAUAAAGCAAACCAAAAUAAAUUCUACACUCAUGUGGGUGUUUCGCUCGCAAAAUCUGGACAAGAAAAAAUAAUAUUGAUACAAUCUCCAAAUAAAGAGCAUUCUUCUUGGUAAAAUAGACAAAGCCUAUAAAUUUUGAUUAAUGGUGCCAAAUGAAAGAGUUGUAAUUUCAUGUACAUUUUGUUAACAUGAAUAAGGGUACAAAAUAGAUAACAAAGUGACAAAAACAAAGCUAAUCACAAUGAAUGAUAAGGUUUAGAGUAAACAAAAAGUUAUAAUCUUGAACAUAAGUGGCGCUCAAAGCCAUGAAUUUGAUAUCAUCCAUGAGGGGAGUUCAAACAACAGCAUGUAAGAAGCAACAAGUGUUGAGAAAAAAAAAAAAAAAUCAUUCUAACACAACAGAAUAAAUUGUAAAGAAAUCCCAGUUUGUAUAAAAGAAAGAAAACAAAAUUAAGGAAAACAUAAGCACAACAAAAUUUGACUGAUUAUUAAAAAUGAGAAAUGAGUUAUGAUGAGAAUUUUGGCUUUGUGGUGAAAUAAAUUGGGAAGUAUCCAAAGUUCGCAUGUAAAUAAUAUAAAUGAUAAGAAGACGAAGGGAACAAAAUGAUAAUAAGCAAGCCAAAUAUUAAAAUGCAGAUUCUACGCUUCCGCCACCCCCCCUGAUGGGUGUCGAAGCCAACAAAAAUAAAUUCCUACUCUAAAUAAAUUGUGUAUAGUGAUUGAGCAGGGUCGUGUCCACAGAGAUCGGUAAUUAUUUAAAUCCUUUUGAAACGUAAAACGUAAAAUGGGGGAAUUGUUGACAAUAAUAAAAAUCAAAUUAAAAAAAUAAAUUAAAUAUCUGUGUGUGUGUGUGUGUGUGUUAAAGAGAAACGGUGGCAAAGUCAUUAUACAAUAAAGCAAACCAAAAUAAAUUCUACACUCAUGUGGGUGUUUCGCUCGCAAAAUCUGGACAAGAAAAAAUAAUAUUGAUACAAUCUCCAAAUAAAGAGCAUUCUUCUUGGUAAAAUAGACAAAGCCUAUAAAUUUUGAUUAAUGGUGCCAAAUGAAAGAGUUGUAAUUUCAUGUACAUUUUGUUAACAUGAAUAAGGGUACAAAAUAGAUAACAAAGUGACAAAAACAAAGCUAAUCACAAUGAAUGAUAAGGUUUAGAGUAAACAAAAAGUUAUAAUCUUGAACAUAAGUGGCGCUCAAAGCCAUGAAUUUGAUAUCAUCCAUGAGGGGAGUUCAAACAACAGCAUGUAAGAAGCAACAAGUGUUGAGAAAAAAAAAAAAAAAUCAUUCUAACACAACAGAAUAAAUUGUAAAGAAAUCCCAGUUUGUAUAAAAGAAAGAAAACAAAAUUAAGGAAAACAUAAGCACAACAAAAUUUGACUGAUUAUUAAAAAUGAGAAAUGAGUUAUGAUGAGAAUUUUGGCUUUGUGGUGAAAUAAAUUGGGAAGUAUCCAAAGUUCGCAUGUAAAUAAUAUAAAUGAUAAGAAGACGAAGGGAACAAAAUGAUAAUAAGCAAGCCAAAUAUUAAAAUGCAGAUUCUACGCUUCCGCCACCCCCCCUGAUGGGUGUCGAAGCCAACAAAAAUAAAUUCCUACUCUAAAUAAAUUGUGUAUAGUGAUUGAGCAGGGUCGUGUCCACAGAGAUCGGUAAUUAUUUAAAUCCUUUUGAAACGUAAAACGUAAAAUGGGGGAAUUGUUGACAAUAAUAAAAAUCAAAUUAAAAUAACAAGAAUGCAAAUUAAAGUUGUAAUUCAAAUUGGAGAAAGCUCUGGUUGAAGGAAUUAACUCAGCUUGAUUCGACUACUGAUCAUUGAUUCAAAUAUAAAUUAUUAUUACUUAUGAAUAGACCGGUUAUAGCUACUGAGACCCUCUAAUAGCCAAUCUCUCCUUAACUAGUCGAUAACCAAGGUACGACCGUUGGAUAUUCCCUAAUCAAUAGACAACCCUAGAUACGAUCAUAGAAUUUAAUCAAUUGACAGCCUGAAAAACCAGAGAGACCAAAAUCCUAAUCAACACAUAUGAUGAUUUAUUUAAAUUAGAUUGUUUAUUCUCACAACACAACUCUCUGCUAUGUCAUUUGUCACAAACAUUAAAUUCUUCAUACGAUGAAUCCUUUAAUUAAUAAUAAAUUAAGUUGAUAAUUAAAUAGUGGCCAAUUUUUUUUUUCUCCAAUCCAAAAUCCCCCCUUUUUCACAAUAGAUUCCUCCCUUAAAUACUCUCUCUCUCUUCUCUUUUAGAAUUCUCUGCUGUACCGUACAUCAAUAAAAUACUAAUAUCUGAAAUAUUAAAUUCGUAAUUACAAAAAUAACCAAAAAUACAAAACACGUUAAACUAAAAAAAACUGCAGGUCCGCAGUUGACAGCACGCGCCCACGCCUUAUCAACAAAGUUCUUCUGACGCUCAGAAAUUUCUCCAAGAGAACAAUCCUCCUUAAACAUCAUCUUUUAGCUCAAUUUUAUCAUCAAUCAAUAGAAUUGCACCUACAAAAGUAAAACACGAGUAAAACAUUAUUAUUAAAUGCAAAACAUCGAUAUUAAGGGAAGUAAAUAAUGCAAAACUAGUGCAUAAAUUGCACUCUAACACCCCCCAUACUUCAAGUUAGUGUCUCGGGAUGGCAAAUAUUUAAUUAUGGAUGGAUAAUAUCCAUUCAAAAAUAAAUCUAUAAUUAUUCAUAAUAGAUAUAUUCAUAUUCAUAUUCAGUAUUUAAUAUUGGACAUUGAUAUAGAUUUUAUCCAUAAAACUAUGGAGAUCCAUGGAUAUUUUAUUUUUAUUAUAUAAAAAUAAUAAUAUAAAAUAGUUAAAAUUCCAAUAUUAAAUUUGGUUAUUAAUGCCAAGGCGGAUGUACGGUACAGCAGUAAAAUAAUAAUUAUUAAUAGUAUUAAAUAAGUUAAAAAAUUAAAGGAUAAUUUUGAAAACUUUAGUUUUUAAUAUAAGAGGAAUUUAAAAUUUUCACUAGUUAAUAUAAUAUUUUUACAAUUGUUUGUUUAUUAUAUUUUUUAUUUUUAAUUUUAUAAAAUUAAAAUUUUUUAAACUUGUGUUGGGUUAAACGGAUAUUCAUUGGGUAAAAAUAAUUAUUCAUAUCCAUCUGAAUAUAAUUUUAAAAUAUCCAUUUCAAAAUCCAAAAUUUUUUGAAUAGAUAUUAUCCGAUCCAAUUAGAUGGAUAUUGUGAAUAUCUAUUAUGGAGCGGUCCAGUUGCCAUCCCUAGACUCUCGCUAAUCAUUUUAGAUGUAUCAAUUACAAAGGGAGGCCAUCUUUUUUUAUAGUAAGCGUACGCCUCUAAUGCUUUGCCAAGUGUCCAUUGAUAAUAUCACAAGGGAAAUUAAAUUGGUGUAUGUGUAUUACACCUCCUAAAGUCAUGUUAAGUUAGUUAGUGAGCUGAUAAAGUUUGUUGCACGUGUGAGUUGGUUAAGUAUGCUAGAAUUGCAAACGUGUAAAGCUGAGUCAGCAAGUUAGUUAAGGUUAUUAUGAAUGCUUAGAUUCAGCUCACGUGUAUUGUAUGUAAUACUUAGAUUCAGGUCAUGUAGAUUGUGUAUACAACUUUCUAAUAUUAUUUAGAUCUCAAUAUAAAUACUUGUAAUCAACAAAUACAAUAAUAAGAGUCAUCAUUCUUCAUUUUCUCUCAUAUUUUCUCUGCAUCCAAACACAAUAUUCUCAGUUCUUGACUUGGUAUCAGAUUUGCAGUUUAAUUGUCAUGGCUUCCUUAAGCACAAAUUUAAAACAAAUCAGUCUCCUUCAUCCUUUACCUUCACAAAUCCGAUCAAACUGGACAGAUCUAACUAUACGAUCUGGAAAUCUCAGAUCCUCUCUUCAGUGCGUGCCAAUGGACUUGAAGAUUUUCUUAAUGGAACUAAAAUUUGUCCAGAUCAGUUACUUACUCAAGAGAUUGAAAGUUAUGGUGUUGAAAAUGCUGUUGGUGAAAGCUCAGCUGAUAGAUCUCAAGAGAAUCCAGCCUUUGUUGCUUGGAAAAGGUAGGAUCAAUUGUUAUUAAGUUGGCUCAUGUCCUCCAUCAGUGUUGAGAUACUUAGUCUUGUGGUAAAUUCUGAUUCUUCUCAUAAACUUUGGACUAAUCUUGAAGAAAAAUUUUGGAUUAGAAACUAUGGCUAAGAAAGCACACUUAAAAAUGAUGUUAAGCAAUCCCAGAAAGGGAUCAAUGACAAUAACUGAGUAUUUUACCAAACUUAGAGCUGUGACUAAUAAACUUGCUCUAACUAGUAGCCCUGUUUCUACUCUAGACUUUAUUACUCAUCUAAUCUCUAGAUUAGGCCAGCCAUACUACCCUGUUGUUUUGUAUAUUGAAGCUAAUAUGAUGAAAAUAUUUGUCAAUGAAGCCUAUUCUAUGCUUUCAACUCAUGAAGCAAGAAUUAAAUUUAAUCAUCCGAGUGCAAAUAAAGAAGCAAAGUUGAAUUAUGCUGCUAACAUAGCUUAGGCUGGACCUAGUAAUAACAAUAAGAAGUCUAGUAAUCAAGCUAAUUACUAUCAGGGCAACCAAGGUAACUGGAAAAGAAAUGCUCAUUGGUGUGGUAACAAUAGAGGAAGAGGUGGCUUUGGCAGAGGUUUUUCAGGGCAAGGAAGGGGUAAUUAGAAUAAUGGUGGUCAUUGGAACAAUGGACCUUGGAGUAGUAGUCGAGCAUGUUAUAAUUGUUCUGAUAUAAACAUUAUGACAUGGUUGCUGGUGAACCUGUAAACAUAACCACAAAAGUAAGAAGGCAUAAUCUUUUUAUAAGAAACUCAAAAAUGUAUUAAUGAUGAAAAUUUUAAAACAGAUAAUGGACCAGCUGUUCAUUAAGAAAACAAAAAACUGAAUAUUUGUGCCAUAAAAAGGCACACCCAAUCUCACCCCUAUAAAAGGCUAGAAUCAGCUACAAAUCCCUAUCUCAAAACCCCAUCCUAGUUCAGAUGAAUGAAGAAAAAAGAUGAAUCUUGAAACUCCUUAGAAACUGAAGCCCAAAGUGAAGCAAGAAGAUGAACUCUAUCCCAAGCAAGCAAUAUGGCAUAUUUCUCCAUUAAUGGUUCAAAUAAAGUGAAUGGCUUUCUCUGAUGAAUGGGAAAUUGUCAAGAUCAAUAGUCAAACUCACGCAAAGUUAACGGACUUAAUUCUCAGAGGCUACUCAUUCUAAGUCUUAAAGAAAAAUUUUCUAAUUUCUAAAGAUUAUAUGGGGAAAAAUCAUUAUUUUCUAACAUGGAAAAUUUGAUACGGUGUUUAAUGUCUUAUCACAAUCAUAAUAUGAGUACUAACAAAAACAUCUUUAAUCGGCAUGGUGCGAGUAAAACACCAUCACUUCAUCUUUGAUGGAAAGAUGAUAAUAUAAGGAAAUGGUGAAAUGGUUUUGGUCCCUGACAGCUUGUAAUCAAAAGAAAACAAAAAACUACACUAUUUUAAUGAUUACCGAAGCUACAGAAGUAUCAAAAUCGGAAAGCAAACAAUUGCAAAACACAUCAAUGACUGAAGGUUAGGUUCUAAAACUUCCGUAUUUAAUUUUCAGAGCAUGUUAUGUAUUAUUCAGAAAUAUGCUUUCACUUCAGGCACUUGACCAAGACACAUUAAACAUAAAACGCGGCGUUUUCAUGGACUAGUACAUUCCAUGCUUCGAAAGUUUAUGUUUUAGACUGAUUGGUUUGAUACAUUAUUUGUUUAUUGCGUUUUUCUUGCUUUAAAUAUUAUGUUGGAUUGAUAAGUUUUGUACACAUUUAUAUUGCUCGCAGUAAAUAAUUUAUGACAUUUAAAAAACUAUCAGCCGUCUAUCAAAAGAUUUCUACUAUAAAUAUAUAUACACAAAAAACUUUUAAUUUGGUCAAUUUUUUCUCUUAUUUAUUUUUGUUCUAUUUCUCUUUUCCUUCCCUUUCAUUUUAUUGUUUUAUGGUACAAAAUAAAAAAAUAACCUUAAAAUUUAAGGGUAAAAUACUCAUUUUACUAAAAUUCCGUUUAAUAUUAUAAAACUGUCAAAUGUCAAUGGCAUAGUACACGAGUGAUACAAAUUAAAAACAAUAAAUUAAAAGUUUUUAUGCAUUUUCGUUUUAUUUUUUUUAUAGCCGAUACAAAUUAAAAACAAUAGGUUUAGACCGUUUAACAAAUCUUAAAUUAAAAAAACCCGUGGUGUAAUAACAAACUCACAUCAAACCCUGUCCACUGUCAUCCCUAAUUAUAUUUACCACUUCAUACUCACAGUGAUAAUUAUAUUACCGUUAUGAAUGAAGCAGAAGAGUUUCCCCAAACAAGCUAAAACACCGCACUUCAAUUUAAAGAAUUUUUAUAUCACAGUACCGGGACAAAAAGUUUAAUGCAACUUGUUCAAGCUGUCAAUCGGCAGAAAAGCAAGCGAAUCACACCCAAUAAACUCCCUGAUUUCCUCAACGCUCAUCCUGUUGGAAAUCAACUCCUCAGUACUUGGAGUGUCUACUCCGUAGUAACAAGAAGCUAUGAUCGGUGGGCUUGCAAUUCUCAUGUGAACCUCUUUAGCUCCAGCCUCCUUAAGCAACCUAACAAUUUUUGAUGAAGUUGUUUCUCACACUAUCGAAUCAUCCACAACCACAACUCUCUUUCCCACCAACCACAACCUUACAGGAGAGAGCUUAAGCUUGACACCAAAGUCCCUAAUUUUCUGGGAAGGCUCAAUGAAAGUUCUCCCAACAUAAUGUGACCUUAUCAACCCUUGUUGAAAUGGCACCCCGGCUUUCGCAGUGUACCCAAGUGCAGCCACCACUCCAGAAUCUGGUACUGCAAUCACAACAUCACACUCAACAGGAGCCUGGGUAGCAAGUACUUCCCCAAAAUGAUACCUCGACUCAUAAACAGACCUUCCAAAAACAACAGAAUUAGGCAAAGCAAAAUAAAUAUGCUCAAAGAUGCACUGCUUAGGUUCAGGGUGAGGCAUCAAACAAGGUGAUUGAACCCCAUCUUCAUCCACCAUCAAAACUUCACCGGGAUAUACCUCUCUCUCGUAUGUGGCCUCAAUCAAAUAGUGCACAAUCCUCAAAAAGAACGGCCUAGCUUUUGAUAUCGGAAUCAAAUGGAGAACAACCACAGUAUCAGAACUAGUAUUACAAAAUGGAUCCAUUAUCUUCAAGCUUAGCCCUCAAAGUAUUAUAAUUAACUAAUGUGCAACACCAACAGAACCAAACCUGUACCCAGCAACAAAAGGCUGCACAUUCUUAAGCAUAGAACUACCCGCAGUCGAAUAUCUAACAUGACCAAUGGCCAUAUCACCCGGCAAUUGAUCAAGUUUAGACUGAUUAAACACAUCAGAGACUAAACCAACACCAGUAAUAGACUGAAGAACUUUGUUAUUCACAGCAACUAUACCUGCAUCUUCUUGGCCGCGAUGCUGCAUCGCGUGUAGCGCCAAAUAGCACAAACGCGAGGCCUCUGGGUCACCAUAGAUGCCCACAACACCACACUCCUCACGGGGCUUAUCGUCGUCAUCAUCAUCAAAACUGCCAAAACCGUCAUCUGGGUAUUCUUUAUUUGUGGUGAAAAACUCAGAGAUGGGGUUUUUUGAUAGAACAGUGAAGUUUUUUUUUGUGGGUUAAAGAUUGUUGUUUCCGAGGAAAAAAAGGGUUUUUUUGCAGGGUUUUGGAGAAAAGAAAAAGAUGGGUUUUUUUGCGACGGCUUAGGGUUAACAGAUGGAGAUGGGUUUGAGAGAGGGCAGAUAUUGGCGGUGCCUGUGGUUGUGGCUGCCAUUAAUGGCUGAAUUUAUUUUAUUUUAUUUGUUUUGGGUUGCCUUGCUCAAAGAAAAAACAGAGGAGGUGUGUGGAGGGAGACAGUGGCGAAGGGUACUUUAAGUAGGGGGGAACUUGUUCUAGGUUUUUUUCUGGAAUUGUGAGGGAAUCUGAUCCUGUGUUUGUGCAUAUGAUUCAAUUACUUAUAGGUUUAUUGUUGUGUCACCACAAAUUCUAAUUGGGAAGCUUCAGCUGUCAAAUUUUUUCCAAGGGUUUAUUAGGUAGAACUUUCAUGUCGUCGAAUUUAUUUAGAGAUUCUAAAAGUAGUUUCCAAAUAAAGAGAUGGACCAAAAUGAACAAUGUGAAACAGAUACUUUAGAAUUUUUUUCCUAUUCCGAAAGCAAUAGGAAUGUUCCAAUGCAUUGCUCCUACCAGAUUUGGAAUUAAACUUAGUUUGUGUUUUCCUAUUCCGAAAGCAAAACUUAUACUUACUGUAUAAGUGAUAUUCUAAUAAGUAGAAAUUAAGAACCAUAACAAAUUUGAUGAUUCUAAUUUGCUAGAAAUAUUGUAAUCCAAAACUAAGAAAGUUAAAACCAAUUAUUAGAAGAAAAAAGCAAGACGGAAGCUCCCAGAAUAUUGUUAUGUGUUGUGUGUUUUCAGUGUGUAUUUCUCAAUCAAUAAUGAAAAGUAAGUACACAUGUUACAAAAAUUUAAUAAAAAAGAUUGGAGGUGACAAAACCUUCAAUCUUCUAAUUAACUUUCUCUGCAUUGGAAUUUCCUUAGUUUGGUAGAGAUUGCUUAAUUGGUGUAUCUAUUAUAAACACCGUAAGUCAAAGUUAAUGUUUUAAUUGUUAAGAAAAGUUAGAAGAAGAAAUUUUUGCAUAAGAGAAUUGGGUUUAAAUUGAGAAUUCUUUAGGAGGAAAUGAGUCUAAAUUCUAACACGAUAAUUUAGCACUAUAUAUAUAUCAUUAAUUGGGUGAAAAAUUAGGGUACCCGUAUGCCUAUGUUGUAACAGUUGUAAGGUACCACUAAUUUUUGUCUUUUGUGAUGUCAAAUUUCAUUUAAUCUCUUUUUUUUAUUUAUAGUUUAUUUAUAACGUUACGUGUUUUGGCAUGUGACUUUUAAAAUAUAAUUUUAUUUUAUUUAAAAUUAUUUAUUUUUUUAUAAUUUAUUUAUAAGUUUAUGUGGUUUGGCUGAUGAUCUAUUCAAAUGUAAUUUUAUUUCAUUUAAUAUUAUUUAACUUCUAAAAGAACAAAUAUAACAAUAAGCCUUUAACUAGAUAAUAUUAACUAAUAUUUUUAAUAAAAUAAAAAUAUUAAAAAUAUAUUCUUUUAAAUAAAAUAAAUAAUAUUAAAAAAUAAUAUUUAUUUUUUAGGACUCACAAUUGCUUAUUCUAUUUUAUUUAAUAUUAUUUAAUUUUGAAAAAUAAAUAUAAUAAUAAGCUAUGACUAAAUAAUAUUAAAUAAAAUAAAAUAAAUAUUAUUAAAAAUAAUAUUGAUUUUUUGAGACUCAUUACUGAUUAUUUCAUUUUAUUUAAAAUUAUUUAGUUUCAUGAAAGAAUAAAUAUAAUAAUAAGUCUAUGACUAUAUAACGUUAAAUAAAAUCAUAUAAAUAAUAUUAAAAAAUAUUCUGCUGUACGGCCAAGGCGGAUGUACGGUACAGCAGUUUUUUUUUCCUGCAAUCGCCGAAUAUAAAAUAUAUAAUAUUAAAAUAAAAUUUAUUUUUUAAGACUCACUACUAAUUAAACAACAUAAAAUUUUAAACAAUUUGGACUUAUGUGAUAAAAGUUUUAAUUCUUUAGCUCUUUUGCCUUUUUGAUAAAUAGCAGGGAGCAUAAUGUUAAUAUUCAAAUAAACAAAUCUCUACCCUUCAAUCUAUCUUUUCAUUAAAUCCAAUGAUGAAGAAUUGAAACCAUAAAAAAUAAAAUUAGGUGGUACCUUGCAACUGUUGCAAGGUAGUUAAGUCCAAAAAAUUACAUUUGAUGUGAUUUUGAUCGUUUAUUUUUAUAUGAUGGUAAUUUCUUGUUCAGAGUGAAACUAGGGGUUGGUACGGUUCGGUUCGGAUCGAAAUUAAGAAGAAUCGACUUAAAUCGGUUAUUUUAUAAAAAGAACCGAAUAAGAACUGAAUUCAAUAAGAACCGAUUUAACAAGAUUCGUUUGAGUUCGGUUCGGUUUGGUUCGGUUUUUUCGGUUCUGGGCCUAUUGGCCCUAUUUUGAAUUUCUAAAUUUUUAGCUCAUUGGGCCUCAUGAAUGUCAUAAUUUUUUUCAACAAUUAAUUCAUCCUAAUUUCAUUACAAAUAUUAACAAUAAAUACAAAGUAUUCAAAACACAUUUGAUCACUAAUAUCUUACUAACUACUAAUAAGGUACUCACUACUCACAAAAUAUGAAAUAUUAAGAUUUCAAAAUACAUAACCAAACUCUAAUACUCCAUCUACAUAAACAUAAUGUUGUAAAGACAAAUAAAAAUAACAACAGUAAUUCGGUUCUUCGGUUCGUUUUUUCGGUUCAGUUGAGUGAACCGAAUAUCGAACCAGUAUUUCGGUUUUUUUAUAAAUAAUAUAUUUCAGUUUUUUUUAACAAUUAAAACCAAACCAAAUUAGAACCAAACUGUCGGUUUGGUUCUUUUUUUAAGAAUACAGUUUUUUUGUCCAGUCCUAAGUGAAGCUAUUGGCACCCUUUCGCUAUAUUUAUAAAAUCCUACUUCAAAUAAAAUUACACUUAAAGACAAUAGAAUUAAACAAACAUGUUUUUUUUCCCCAAACAAAUUACUUACAUUCAUAAUUAUUUUUCUUCUAAUUUUCUACAUGUUGCUUCAUAUCUAAGUAAAAUAAAUUGUAUAAAUUUAGAAUAAUCUAUUAUUCUUUUUAAAUUUCGUAUUGAUUAAAUACUUUUGUGCUUAAGAUUGCUUUAAAAUUAUAAGAUAAAAUAUGUGUAAUUUAAGCCAAUGAUUAACAUUCAAAAUUUUAUCUCUCAGAAACAUUUUUAAUUUGUGUGCAGGGUAAUAAUAAAAUCGUAAAAGAAAUAAAAAAUAGCAUAACACUACUUUGAGUUUAGAAAAUAAAAAAAUUAAACAGAAAAUUAGAAGUGUAAUCUAAAAAAAGGAUAUUUUGUAAAAUAAAAUAAAUAUAAUUAAAACAAGGUUUCAUGAGGGGUGCAAUAGUUCAACUCUUUUGUGUAAAGUUUUAAGAUGUUAGUAUCCGUAGCUUAGUUUUUCCCUAAUUAUUAUAUGAAAAUGUAAUAACAAUGCUGAUCACCCCAAUCUCAUGGAGGUCAAAGAUUUUGGUCAUACCGCAUGAAUUAGUGCUUUUGGUUGGCAAAUACUUGUAUAUAUUUAUUAACAUUAAAUAAUUUGACCAAGACUACGUAAUGCGCCGCCUGAAGACUGGAGUCAUCGUAUUUUAUACGUCAAAAGCGCGUUUCAGUUCAAUAAGCCAUACAUGUAGUUUAAUAUGACCAUUUUGUACUUUUUUUAUAAAAAAAAAUUAUUUAUUUUAUUAAAAUAUUGUUUAUUUAUUUAUUUUUUUUAAAGGUAAAGAGGUGUGUAAAAUCUAAAUUCAAUUUUUAUCCCUUAUGUCCUGGCCCUAAGAUUUGAACUCAGGUGAACAGCCAAAUGUAUAAUAACAUGUAUUUCGAAUUUCAUUUUAAAUGAUAUGCAAUUCGUUAAGUGAUUGUUAAUUUUUUAUAAGAUACGAGUGAAAGAAUUAUAUUAUCUCACUAAUUAAUUGAUGAGUGUCAUAUCAUUAUGAUUCCAGAUAAUUUCAAGCCAUGUCAUUAUUAGGAUAAAAAUAAAGUAAAAUGGUUAAAACUAUUUUUAUGUAAUUUAUAAAAAUUAAUGAAGCAACUACAUAAUUUUUUAAACGAAAAACAAUUGAAAUGUGUGAGGAAAAAGAAGAAAAAAAAUAAGGCAUUUAAAUAUCUUCUUAAAAAAUACGAUUGAGUAAAAUCAUUUUAACAGAAUGCCUUCCAAAUACAAUUCCAGAUUUUUUUUUAUUGCAGUGGGAUAUUCCAAAAUUGGCACAACUCAUUAAGAAUUCGGCAACUCAAACUUUUUUAUCUCUCUACGCAUUUGACAAAUUAAAAAGAAAAAAAAAUUCAUAUAUCUUCUGUUCAAAAGAAACCUUGGUAAAUAUUGUAAAACAAAUUACCAAUUUUUUUAAUUUAUGCCAUUAUAUCGUCGCUAUUUUCUCGCCCACUUUCUUAAAAUAGAAUCAAUAUUUAUUGAUGGGUUGGGUUCCAGAGUAAGCACCAAUUCAGCAAAACGGUUUUAUAGCAGAAAAAACACUUGUAAGACAUUCAGAACACAUUUUUCAAUUUUGUCUUUUGAAAAUGAGUCUUGAGUUUCCACAAGCCAAGUAGAAUGGCUAAAAAAUGUAUGGUAUCAAAGAAAGAGAAACACACACACACACAUAGAUUAGUGGGGAGAUAUAUGAGUGUGUAAUUUGUAUAUAUAUCCCCAUUAAUUGUUGAUAGUCCAAUGGGUAUAUGCAAAAGGAAAAAAAUUGGCUGUCCUUAAAGACAAAAUUGACUGUCACAUGAAAAUGUUAGCACACUUGCCACGCAACAAAAAUAAAGAUUCCAAGAACAACUUUAUGGUCCCCUUUCUGUCCAAACAUAUGCGAUAGAAAUUAGUGUAAACGACACUUGAAAUAUAUAUGUAGAUCCUCACACAAUUGAUUAAAUAUUUAUAGUAGGGUGGAGUGAUAAAUAGUUUCACAAAAUUAUUGGAAUUAACUGCUUAAUACAUGAGAUCUAUCUCAUUAAGUAUAAAAGAUUGAGUGCUGCUUCAAAAGCAUGACGUUGCUGGCAACAAAUUUAACACAAAAGUUUAAUUAAUUAUCCUAGUUGAGAAGAUAAAAUCUCGUAUUAAGAACAAAAGGUUUGAGGUUCGAACAUUCUCAUUCAAGAAAAUCAAGUCAAAAUAUUACAUCUUCCAGCACAUAUCAAAGAUUUUUUCAAUUUCCAAAACCCAACAAAAUCUUUGUCAAAAUAUAUGAUCUAGUCCCAUAUUAAGCACAUUCAUAGCUGUAUCAACAGGUUCAAAAUAUUUUCCCCAAAAAGAGAUAGAGAUUCCAUUGAGUUGCGAUUGUCCAAACGUCUUGUAAUUAUAUGGUUCAGGAUACCAUGCCUGUGAAUCGUUUUUUUUUUUUUUUUUUCAUGUUUCGAAGUCUAUCAAAUAAAAAUGUAAUUAUAUGGUUCAGGAUAUCAAUGUGCCGGAGCUGCAAAAGUUGACUUAUACUAUCCUAUCAAUGUCUAUACUUUCUAUUGAAUUUCCUUGUUUUUUUUUAAAUUGCGAGAUUUAUUUUUGGAAAUCUUUGACACAUUUUAUGUAAAAUACCAUAAAGCCAAAUACAACCUUUUUUAUUCUCAGCAGCAACUUUUUUUUUUCCUUUUAAAAAAAGGAAGCCAUAUAAAUAAUGCUUAAAACAUUAUUUGCAGCAAGGAACAAUUAUUUCAUGCUUUCAUGUAUUAGAAACUUUCCAAAAACGCUAGCAAGAAAAUGAAAUGGAACUUUACCUAGUCACAGAAUAUGUACUGUUGUUAGCACAAUUGUUAUGAAGUGGCUUCUGCAUUAGAAGAUUCCAGCUCCCACCAAGCAUUGUUAUCUCUCUUCUGAAUAUAAUCUACAUCGCUGGGCAUGAGUUAUAUCAUUAAUGUCUGGUUCCUCACUUACAUCAUCCCAAUCAAGUGCUUUUUCUCCACAUUUGGAUUAUAGGUCCAAUCUCUUCAAAACAUCCUAGUCCUUCCAUCCCAACUGAUACGACUUCCUUCCUAAUUACUUUCCCAUUAAUAAAUCGCUCCAAGAAAAAAAAGCAUUAGCAAUUCUCUUCAACGCCCCAUCACUCAUAUCCCCCACAACAACCAUCUUCAGCCACCUCAACGUUGCCUCUUGAAAGACCUCCACAAAAUCCGAAUCAUCCGACACAACCACCAAACACCCAAACCUUCUUUUGUCCACCAUAGCCACCAUAUAAUUUCUCAACAAAACAUCGGCAUCUUGUGGCUUAACUAACACCAUCCUGACCCAAAACCAUGCUCUUUUUAACUCAUCUGCAAAACCAUAACCCACUUUUGGAGUCAAAAUUGCGCUUGCAGCCAUUUUAUUUUUUUCCAUCUUUAUUGAAUAGUUGCCGACCAAAAGCACUCUCACCUUCCCUCUAGCUGAUUCUAUUUGAUUCGACCUUUUCUUUUGUUCACCCUCAUGAAUUUGCCUAAAAUGAUUAACAAGUUUGUCAUUAUUAUAAAAUCUCCUUCCAUAAUCACCAAUACAUACGGCUUAGCAGACCUAAUUACACCCUUGAUUUCUAAUUGGUAAACAAUUCUCUUUCUUUCUUUGCUCUCUUACAACUUGAGGCACAUAACCAAACGCGUGGCUAUUUGGAUUUUGUUAUCCAAAUACCAAAAAUUUCUCACAUUGUGUUGGACAGUUUUUGGUUCUAAAGUUGAUGACUGGUUUUGCGAAUCAGGCUUCAAAUGAGAACUUCUAAACAAUAAGACAAAUGGGUUUUUAGUUUAUAAUCUUGUAAACUUUGUUCUAUUGUAUAAGUUAUGAAAUCGCUGAAACAUCACUACAGCUACAGGUCUUUAUGUGUCAAUGAACUGCAAAAGCUAAUGAUCUACUUGUAGUAGACUUCUAUUGCCCCUGCCGUUCUAGGAAGACAAACAAGUUCAGGAACUACUUCUGGACCAAACUCAUAAUAUUGCCACUGCUUUGUGCCAAUCUCAGAGGGAAAGAAGAUUGAAGUUCCUAAAUAAGGCACAUCAUGAUUUGAUAGAAGUACCACUAUAAGGAAAAAUUGAUUUCAGGAAAGCACUAAAUUAUGACAUAAUCUCCCCCUAAUGGUCUAAAGUAGUCAAGAAAUGAUAUUAACCAAGUAAAAACACAUAAACUAGUUGAGAUACAAAGUUAUCAUAAAAGUCAAUUUUGACCACAAAUCCAUUAAAAUUAAAAGUCAUCAGAAACUUAGAGAACAUUAUAAUUUAGGACUCAGCUAAGUUGCAGAUUCUGUAACUAACAGCUGAGUCCACAUUGGUCUUGCAUCAGCUGAGUUUAGGUUGCUUUUCCUCUCUCCUGCAACGAGUACGUGGAAGCGCCCCAUUUGCUGUGUUAUAGAACGAGUCGGUACCGUAACAAGCUCCUAUAAUUUAAGUUUGAUUACUGUAGACAAUAGUCUGCCUCUGCUCAAAAGCUAUGCUGCAAGAUAUAACAUCUUUGCAAUGUUAUACUUUCUAAAAGUAAUAAGAAAUGAAACCAAGGGGUAAAUCGAACACCAAAAGAAAUUUAGUCGGCCAACCACAUUAUGUUCCCACACAGUCCACUAAUUAAGUUAAUAAUUAAAGGGAAUCAAAAUCUAAGAAAUCUCAUCGUCAAGCAUAAUACAAACACACCGGGAUUGAAAACCACAAAAUCAUAAAAAGAAGCUGAUUUGAAAAGCUCAAAUAUACGUUCAUCAGCCUCUCAACUUAUAUCUAAGAACAAAUGCCUGCAGCCUGUGAAGACAUAGAUAAUUGAAGCUGAGGAGGCAUAUUUAACAGAUGAUUAAACUCAUGCGAUUAAAAUUAUAAUUCAAUAAUCGAGCACAUAAAAUAACAAGAAUCUAGUUGUAUAUAUACCAAGCAACUUUAUGAAGUUAAAUAUACCAACGCCAAUACUCUUAUUAUUAUCCAAAUAUAGAAGACCAAUGCAUCAAACAAGGAAAAUGAAAUAUUGUUAAUAACUCAAAAACCACUAGUGUCAAGAACUAAACUAAUAAGUAAAACCCAUAAUCAGACACAACCACAUCAAAAUCUCUAAAAAUUGAGGUCUAAACAUUGAAAACAAUUAGACAUAUAUAACAGUCAAUCGAAACAAAGCCUCAAAAUAAUAAUGAACUACAAUAAGACAUAAACUAAAUUGUAAACAAGCGCAUACUCAGUAACAGUAAUCAAGUAACAAGUCAAAACCAAAAUCAAACGUAGAAUUUUGAAAUCCAUACGAACUCUAACGUAUUAGAAUGAAAGAAUAAGGACGAUCGAUAAACUAGAAUCAAACAAAACAUGCCCAGUUAAAAAACGAAGGUAAAUAAAUAAAAAUGAUAUAAAACUGAGAAAAAAAUUAAUGAAAUGAAGAGAAAAUCACAGGAAUCCUAUGAAGAGGAAGGUAAACAAAACCUUCGAGAGCCGAGAAGAUGCCUUUUUUUGUUCACUUUUGUGCCUAUACAUACAUUUUUUUUUUUUUGUAAUUUUGAAGAAAGUAUUGGUUAAAUAUUGUCAGAACGAAAUAUUAAUAAUAGAUCCUGGCAAUUUCAACAAGGACAAUCUUCGAUUCAAAUGUACCCCUAUGAUAAAGAAAAAGCCAGCUUGGCUAAAUUUUGAGCACCACAUUACAAAAUCUAGGUGCAUGUUUAACUAUGCAAAAUGAAACCUCUAUUAAUUGUAAGUCCCUUGACCUCUGGAACCAGCCAACCAGUAUCUUUCCUGUUAGACAAACUUCCAUCGAUCAGACUAAUAAUAUUUACUGAAUCAUGUUCUACAGUUAAUGGAGUUGGACCCAAGGCAAUUGUUAGAAGUCCGCCUAGACAUAGAGUGCGCUUAGAAGUGGGAUGCUUAGAAAUGGGCCGCCAACACAACCAGCCAACCGUAGUGUGCUUAGCAAAUCACUGAAACCCGGCCCAAGAUCUAGAACUAUCUACAAAUUGUAAAUAAGCUAAAAGUUUCUAAGUUUCUCUACAUAGGUCCCUAGGAUAUUUAUGGAAGUUGCUAGGAAGUUUCCUCCCCUAGAACUCUAAUACCUAUACCCUCUCAUUUGCCCACCAACCACACCACACAGACAAACACUCCAGCACACACACAAGCUCUCUAGCUUUUGUAAAAAACUCUCUUGUAUAUUCUCUCUUUGUGAGUAAUAAAAUCAUAUUCAGCCAUAUUGCUACACUUCUCUCUAGCAUUUUCUACAAGUGUUCUUGCUUCGCUAGUUUGAGGAGUGUUCUAGGCUUGCUUAACAACUUGUUCGCUAUAAUGACAUCUUGGUCACAAAGCAUGGACAUGCAAGAAAAAAAAAAUAUUGAUACGUUAUAAAAAUAAUACGCGUUCUUCUACAGUGAACCAAAAAAUUUAGGCUAAUGGUAGCAAGUGAAGGAAUUGUGAUUUCACGUGCAUUUUGUUGACAUGAACGUAAAGGACUUUUUUUUAUAGUUUAUAUUGUUUAAUAUAACAUUUGAAUUGCAAAAUAGAUACACGAAGUGAUAAAACUAAGCUGAUUAUAAUAAAUAUUGAAUUAUAAGAUUUAGGUUUAAUCAUAAAGACAUAAGUGGUGCACAAAGUCACGAAUUGAUAUCAUCCACGAUGCAAGUUCAAACAACUGCAUAAUAAGUUGCCCCAAGCUAAACUAUUAAUCUAGUAACUAUUCCAGUCGAUGUGGGAUAAUUUUCCUAUCACCAUCUAUCAUGUGCAAGCCGAAUUUUUUGCUUGGUCCUUACAUGUGGUAAGGUCAUAUGAAUCCACUUGUGCAUAAAUUUGGCUCCGAUACUAUAUAGAAGCCUAUGACCCAAAAUUAUACUUAAAGGUUAUCUCAAGAUUUGAGGAUUGACUCAAGCUAAUAUUAUUAUUAGUCUGGUAACCUUUUUUGUUUGUUGAUAUGUGAUAUUUUACCUAUAACUUUUAUUAAUCUUUAUGCUUAUGUUUUUUCAUUUAUCCCAAAAUAUAACAUUAACAAAAGUUCCAAAAUUUCCUUCAAGAGAUAUAUUUGAGACAAGUAAUUUGUGCAAUAACUUUGUAAAUUGAUGAGCAAAUUCAGAGAAAAGAAUGAAACCCGGCCCAAGAUCUAGAACUAUCUACAAAUUGUAAAUAAGCUAAAAGUUUCUAAGUUUCUCUACAUAGGUCCCUAGGAUAUUUAUGGAAGUUGCUAGGAAGUUUCCUCCCCUAGAACUCUAAUACCUAUACCCUCUCAUUUGCCCACCAACCACACCACACAGACAAACACUCCAGCACACACACAAGCUCUCUAGCUUUUGUAAAAAACUCUCUUGUAUAUUCUCUCUUUGUGAGUAAUAAAAUCAUAUUCAGCCAUAUUGCUACACUUCUCUCUAGCAUUUUCUACAAGUGUUCUUGCUUCGCUAGUUUGAGGAGUGUUCUAGGCUUGCUUAACAACUUGUUCGCUAUAAUGACAUCUUGGUCACAAAGCAUGGACAUGCAAGAAAAAAAAAAUAUUGAUACGUUAUAAAAAUAAUACGCGUUCUUCUACAGUGAACCAAAAAAUUUAGGCUAAUGGUAGCAAGUGAAGGAAUUGUGAUUUCACGUGCAUUUUGUUGACAUGAACGUAAAGGACUUUUUUUUAUAGUUUAUAUUGUUUAAUAUAACAUUUGAAUUGCAAAAUAGAUACACGAAGUGAUAAAACUAAGCUGAUUAUAAUAAAUAUUGAAUUAUAAGAUUUAGGUUUAAUCAUAAAGACAUAAGUGGUGCACAAAGUCACGAAUUGAUAUCAUCCACGAUGCAAGUUCAAACAACUGCAUAAUAAGUUGCCCCAAGCUAAACUAUUAAUCUAGUAACUAUUCCAGUCGAUGUGGGAUAAUUUUCCUAUCACCAUCUAUCACGUGCAAGCCGAAUUUUUUGCUUGGUCCUUACAUGUGGUAAGGUCAUAUGAAUCCACUUGUGCAUAAAUUUGGCUCCGAUACUAUAUAGAAGCCUAUGACCCAAAAUUAUACUUAAAGGUUAUCUCAAGAUUUGAGGAUUGACUCAAGCUAAUAUUAUUAUUAGUCUGGUAACCUUUUUUGUUUGUUGAUAUGUGAUAUUUUACCUAUAACUUUUAUUAAUCUUUAUGCUUAUGUUUUUUCAUUUAUCCCAAAAUAUAACAUUAACAAAAGUUCCAAAAUUUCCUUCAAGAGAUAUAUUUGAGACAAGUAAUUUGUGCAAUAACUUUGUAAAUUGAUGAGCAAAUUCAGAGAAAAGAAUAUAUGUGCCAAACAUAACGUUUAUUAUUGUGUUUAUUUGUAGAGCUAUUUAAAGCCCAAAAAAAAAAAGCACCAGUCCGCUAUGAUUUCAAAUAAGUUCAAGCUCUAUGUCAUUAUUGGUACAAUAUCAGAAAGGUUAAAAACUAUUUUUAAAGGUUAAAAACUAUUUUUAUUUAACUUAUAAACUUAGGAAAUUAUCAAAUGUCCGCCCUUAAAUUGCGCUAUUAUAAAAAAUAUUACAACAUUUUCAGGUUGGAUCAUUCAUCUACCAUAAAUUUACAAUCUGCAUAAUUUAUCCACCAAAUCAUUAACUUCGUCAAAAAGUGAUAGACGUCACAAGGGUAAUUUAGACAUUUAACACAAAAAAAUAAAAGAGAAAUUAUCUAAGCUUACCAUGUUAUCAAAAUUGCUACAAAAUUUUAAAUUUGUUCAAUUUUCCAAUCUAAGUUUAUGACCUCCAAGAUGUUAAUUGCAGUUUGUAAUUAAUGACUUCAUAAGGAUAAUUUAGACACUCAAUAUGCAAAAUAAAAAAUAAAAUAAUGGCUUAAAAGAUUAAAACAAAAAACUACUUUUUAUAAUUGAUAUUCAAUUAAAUAAACAUAAACUCUAUUUUUUCUUAAUUAAAAAUAUUCUAAUUUAUUUUCUCAAUUUAUCAUCAUAAAUUUACAUUAAUAAACUAAAUCCACAAAUUACCCUAAACCCUAAUUCAUAAAUGCCCAAUCAAUCAAAUAGUUUAAUUCGAUUUCAUAAUUAAAAAAGCUAAAUUUAUUAUAUUAGUUAUGGUGCAAAGUAAAAAAUGUCCUUAAAUCCAAGGGUAAAAUAGCAUUUUAUUUAAAUUCUAUAAAUUAUUCUAACAAUGUUAACAUUUUGGUGGACGGUUAAUAUAAGUUACAAACUUAAAAUAGAAAAUCAAAUAAAUUCAAAAUUUCAAACUAUUUAGGGCAAAUUUAGGAUAUAUGGUUAAUAAUUUUCCUAUGUCUUUUUACAUAAGUUGAUAGAAGUUACAAACUUAAAAUAGAAAUAAAAUAAAUUUAAAUUUUCAAAUCAUUUAGGGCAAACUUAGGGCAUAUGGUUAAUAAUUUUCCUAUUUUUUUAACGUUAAAUUGAGUUUCAAAGACAUAAUGGUCAAUUUAUUAUAAUUCUAUUAAAUUUUUUAAUGGAAGCAAGCGAUAUAAUGGAUGAAUGAUAUAAAUUGUAAAAUUAAGGUGCAUGAACGAUAUAAUUUUAAAGUAUUGUAGUACUUUUAAUAAUAAAACAAUUUAAAGGUGGAUUGGCGAUAAUUUAAACUUUAAUGAAGCAACUAAAAAAAAUUUUUAACAAAGAAAAAUAAUUGAAUGCUUUGUGAAACCAAAAAUAUUUGAAAUGCUUUAAGAAAAAUAAAGGAAAUUAAAUAUCUUUUUAAAAAACAUAAUUGAGUAAAAUCAUUUUACAAAAUGCUCUUUCAAAUGCACAUUCCACAAGCGCACAUUCCACAAGCCAAGAAGAACGGGUGGCUAACAAAAAUCUCACUUUUUAUGAGUUUAUAAAAUCUCACUUUCACAAAAUCCAAAAAUAACCAAUACUAUCACACAAAAAAUAAAAAGUAUUGCUGUCACGACAUUACACACUUUCUUCGCCGUCUAGAAAGGUAGAACAUUUUGAAGUUCCUCAAUACAAAAUGCGUGCUAUUACUAAAUUGGCCCAAUUAGUGCCCAUCGAAAGGCCAUCGAUUUAGCCACCAAAUUUGCCAAAGUUUUAACAAUUGAAGAAAUAGUGAACUCAAAAGGAACAGGUAAAUUUUGAAGUUGAACAAACCUUAAGGUACGGGAAAUUUGCAACCUACCCCCAAAUAAAUUGAUAUUUUGCACCGUGUCCCCAACAAAUUUGACUUAUUGCACCGCGCACCCAAAAAAAUUGACAUUUUGCACCACGCCCGCAAUUCCGUUACUUUUUCAGUUAUUUCUAACGGCUCCGUCUAACUUUUGAUUGAAUGACAAAAAUGCCCCUCUAUAUAAAAAAAAAUUUUUUAGCUCAUUUAAUUUUUUUAAGGUUUUUUUUCAAUUGCAAUAAAAAAAAAUUCUUCUUACAUGUUCAUUGUCACCACUAUUAUUUUUCCUUUAAUUUUUUUAAGAUUUUUUUAAAGAUUUUUAUUUUAAUUGCAAUAAAAAAAUUUCUUGUUACACGUACAUUGUCACCACUAUUAUUUUUUCUUUAAUUUUUUAAAGAUUUGUAUUUCAAUUUUAAUAAAAAAAACUCUUGUUACAUGUACAUUUGUCACCACUAUUAUUUUCCUUUAAAUUUUUAAAGAUUUUUAUUUUAAUUGCAAUAAAAAAAUUUCUUGUUACAUGUACAUUGUCACCACUAUUAUUUUUCCUUUAAUUUUUUAAAGAUUUUUAUUUUAAUUGCAAUAAAGAGAAUUCCCAUUAAAAUUAAUUUAAGGAAUAAACUUCAAAUUUUACCCCUCCACCGUUAAACUUAACUGAGAAAAUAACGGAAUUGGGGGCGAGGUGCAAAAUGUCAAUUUAUUUGGGGGUAGGUUACAAAUUACCCCUUAAGGUACAUACAACAAAGCCUUGAAACUUUAGUCUUCACAAUUUAAUCACGCAAUAAUAUUAAGUAUCCACCUAAAAAAACAAGUAUAGAACAAAGCUUGUUAGCUUCUUGGGCAUUAACUAUGAAUGAUGAGUAAAAUUAAAAAAGCAAACAGAGAAAAUUAUAAGAAGAAGAAAAGCAAACAUUUAAAAAAAAAAUUAUGAGAAGGAAAAUUUUGGUAGAACUCCGUGGCUCAUCUGUGAAAUUAAUGUCAAUAUGUAAUUUUAUGUAAAUAGGGUCUCUGGAUUUUAGGAUGAAUCAAUCAGCUACCACAAACGAAAACAUGAACCAACUAUAUAUAGAGUCAAUUAAUUAAAGUUCUCAAGAGCUUACCUCUGCUCCAGAAUUCUCGGAAUCAUCAAUCUCCUUCUGAAUUUGCGCGAAGCUUGGGACAACCAAGAAAGCGUCCAGGUGGAACUGGGUUUGGAUAACCCGCAGGCCAAAAGUUGGUGAGGUUUGGUAAAUUUAUCAGUUCUAUGCCCUGAAGUUCAUUCGUAACAAUUUCAUUGUAAUCCGUGACGUCUGCUCCACCUUUAUGCCAGAAUACUUCUUCUAAUUCAUCAUUACCUACUACGAAUAGGUACUUCAGUUUUGGAAGACUUGGAGCUACGCUGAUAUGAAAUAGAUGCUUUAGCUUGGGGCAAAAACAGACAGUGAUCCUUGUGAGUUUUUGGAAACAUACAGGUUGGAGAUGAUCCUCAUCCUCAUCCUCAUCAAUGAUUUGCUCUAAUUCCAAGCAAUUCGAAACAGAUAACUCCUCCAAUUGCAACAGAUUUCGAGCAAGUGUUGAUGAGAGGAGCCGUCUCAGCAUAGUGCACCGCUCUACUGUUAAUCGGGUAAGAUUUUGCAGGCUAAAAUUAUGCGCGGGACCUUCAUGAUAUAAUACUCGCAGUUCUCGAAGAUCUUCCAAUCCCAACCCUUUCAAACAUGGGAAUGGUUUGUUUGCUUGUCCCUCAGCGAUAAUAGCUUCCGACUGAAACACCACCAGUACUCCAAUUUUGCUAAUAUUCAAUUCUUCCAAAUUUUUUAAGCCGUGCUUCAACAAUACUGGAAUCGUGUCGCUCAAAUGGGAACAAUUGUCCACAUUUAGAAUUUUAAAGUUCUGAGACAAAUAAAUAAAUAACUUGAUGUAAUUAAAAUCUAUUAGCAGCUAGGAUUAUCACAUGAUAAGUGACGAACACCGCAAAAAACAAAAAUAGAAACAAAAUCCAUACAAAAAUAUAAUAAUACAUAUGUAAACUAAUAAAAUAAUUAAAAAGUAAUAUGGAUUGAUAAUGUGAAGUGACAUAAAGGUGACAUUAGAUUGUUUGAGAAAAAUUAGUAUUUUAUUAAUUUUUAUGGAUUGAUCAACUAAUUAAUUGAAUUUGAGUAAUAUUAUAUACACUUUAGUAAGUGUUUGCAUCAAUUCUUUCUAAACCAAAAUGAGAUAAGACUUCCAUUUGAACAAUGAUUUUAGGCCCUAAAAUAAAGAAAUUUCCCUAAGAUACCAAGGCGGAUGUACGGUACAGCAGAUUGAAUGACAAAAAUGCCCCUCUAUAUAAAAAAAAAUAAAUUUUGAUCAUAAAAUUAAUUACUAAAUUAUCAUUUUGAGUAAAAUUGAAGGAAAAGAAAAAACGUAAACACAAACAAACAUACCUCUUCAAGAUACUGCAAAUUGGCUUCAAGUUCAGUACUGCUGACGGUCAAGUUAGAACAGCGAAUAAGGUCUAACUCUUCCAAUGCUGUCCAAAUUGAACAAUAAUUUUCUGAACAGAAGCUCUUGAGUUUUGGGAGAUUGCAAAGUGUUAAUUUUCUCAACAAAGGGAGGGCAAGCAUCAUAUUUCCAUCUCCGACACUUAUUUCCCCUUCAUUGUAAUCAAACUUUGCUUCGACAAUACAUUCCAUUCUCUGGCAUCCACUUACAAAGAGACUUUUAAGCUGCUUCAAACUUCUAGCUUGUGACAACGUGAAGAUAUAUGUCAAAUUGUUGCACCCAUACACACUCAAUUUUGUAAGAGCUUGGAGGCUGAUCACAUGUUGGGCGGGCGCCUUCCAUAUCCACUUCAGUUCUGGUAAUUGCCACAUAGAUAACUCUGCUAAUCUUGAGAGCAUCACAGGAUUCCCACUCUUUCCAUACGGCGACUUAGAGGCAUCCAUUAUGCAUUCUAAUUCUUUGCACUCCUUGGCAGAAAGACAAGGCAACUCAUUUAAGCCCUUUGGAUCUAUGCUUGGCACAAUAUUGUGACAACCUAUAAUCGUUCUUAAAUUAAGAAUUUCCAGUUCUUGAAACAAUGCCGAAAAAAUACCGAGCGAGGUCGCUUCACAAUUAUUAAUCUUUAAGCACCUUCUCUGUCCAAAAAUUUCAUCUUCUUCGUCCAUUAGAAAUUCAAGUUUGUUACCGUUACUGACGUAGUGCCUUUGCAAUUUCGGGAAUGUAAAGUCUUUUGGAAGAUGUGCAAUGUUUUUGUCAGUAUGUACAGUCUUUCCGUCGUCAUUUUCUUCUGAACUUAUCCCUUCAGCCUCCCAAUCUUUUAUCCGACCAUAAAAUUCUUCUAAUUGAGGAAAUUUUUUUAUCGUAAUGGGAGAAAUACGACCAGAGUUAAUGAAUAUAAGAAGUUUCAAUGUACUUAGUUGAUCGCCAAAUUCUUCAGGAAUUUCAAUGGGAGACCCCUUGACACAAAGGAUUUGAAGUCUCUUCAACUUUCCAAGGAAAGACGCGUCACUCACGUUACAUCGAAUCAACUGCAGAACUUGGAGGUUGGUGAGGAAUUGAAGCGAUUUAAGUGAAAUGACUCCUCCUAUUAUAGUAACAACUUUCAAUGCUGGCAUCCCUUCGAAAAAAUGUUCUGGAAUAUGCAAUUGAUAGUCAUAUUCAAUAUUCUCCAGUCGCAAAAUAUGAAGGUUAGGGCAUACCAAACCACUUGGAAGCUCUUCUUUUUCAUUUCCCAUCAAAGAGAUUCCUCUGUAUUGUUCCAUUGCCCGUUCUGCCAAUCCAAUGCCAACUUUACUAGUAAAAUAUUUUUUCUCCAUUGAGCCUAUCCAUAAGGCUACGUCACGUACAAUGUCAUGCAUUUUUACAAAUCUGUCAUUACCAGCGUCUAAUAGCAGUGAAGAAGCUUUGAGCUCUUUAAUCGUUCCACUCACUAGGCUCCUGGCAUCUUCGAUUGACUCAGCUUGAUACCAAUCCAACGCCACUGCAUAUCCAACCAAAUCCUCCAAAUCUAUCUCAUAAUCUUCUGGAAAUAGCGAACACAACAAGAAGCAUGACCUUGAAUCCUCACCAUUCAAAUAAUCGUAACUAAAUUUGAGACAAUGGUAAACGUCUUGGUCCUCCUUGCCAAUACCUUCUAUUGUAUUAAGUUUUGCAUUUUGUAGUUUAUGUAGAGCUACUUUCCAUUGACCAAAUCCUUUACCUCUUAGCGCACUUCCAACAGCCUUAAUAGCUAAAGGCAACCCCUUACAUUCAUUAGCAAUUUGUUCUGAAACACCAAUCAAGGUUGAAUCAGCAUCAAUGCCGGCAUGCUUUCUUAGUAAAGCCAAUCCUUCUUCUCGCUUUAGAACACCUAGUUGAAUCCGCGUGUCACAACCCAUGCGAUCACAAACUGGCUGAAGGCGAGUGGUUAGAAGGAUUUUGCAACAAUUGUCUAUAUCACCAACAGGAAUACCUACUGUCUCCAAGUCAAGUUCAUUCCAGACAUCGUCAAGGAUUAUGAGGAUCUUGCGGCUUUUACUCUCACAGAACAUCAAGCGCAAUCGGUCUGCUCUAUCAUUUUCAUCUUUCUCCGUUAAUGCCCAACCUAACGACUUUACCAGCUCACUUUGAACAUUUAUUAUAUUUGGAUCCCGAGAUAUAGUGGCUAUCCCUACGUCAUCGAAAAUCUUUUGUUGCCGAAGUUGAUUGCCCGCAAAUUUUGCCAAGGUCGUCUUUCCUACACCACCGAGGCCAUGUAGUCCCACCAUUUUUGUGCUUUCUCUUUUCAGUGAUUCAAUGAUCUGAUUGCAAGCCAGUUCUGUAGUCUCGAAAGACGUAAAAUGUCUUGGUGCGGGCAAUUCUUUGCUUGAAGGUAGAGGUUUAGGACGGGCAACUGUGCUGAAUUUGUCGUAUUUCUUUUGUAGAUCGGACAACUUGCGAGUCUCCUUUGAUGCUUUUCUACCCAGCCAAUAUAGGCAACGCCAAUUAGGACACCAUCCAUUAAGACAACUUUUGUUUUCAUCUAUCUUUGCUUUCAAAUUUUGAACAUUGGCCAUUUCUUUGACUACAUCCGCCAGCCACUUCUCUACAUCUUUCUCGACAACUAUGGCGCGGUGUUUUUGUCGAUCUUGUUCUACUUUUUCAUUGACGCCAUCUUGUGCCUCCUUCAAAUUAGUUUCUUUAUCCCCAAGUUCUUUAAUAAUGCUGUUGAAGCAGAACAUAUAGCGAGCUUGGUUUAUGGUUGCGUCCGCCAAUAAUUCUCCAAGCUUUGAUGCAACGCCUGAUAAAAUUUCCAUGCUAUUUAUCUGCAAUUAAUGAAAUUGAUCUCAGUAUGCUAUAAGCAAUUAAAACAACAAGGCUUGGUCGCAAGAUCGAACGUGAACGUUUAAUUACUUUAAUUUUUUUUUUGGCUUAUUAACGCCAGCAUUGAAAUUAGAUUACUUUAGAAAUUUUUAAAUAAAAAUAUCAAACAACAAAUUUAAUAGAAUCCAGAUAAACCUAAGAAUUUGUUGUGCAUUGCGAGUGAAGACAGGCAGUUGCAUGGGGAAUAUGAUAAAAGUGAUGAAUAAUUGAAAAGCCACCCAUAAUAACAAUUAAAAAGAGUAUUAGAGAUUAGAGUAGUUUAACAUUCUAUGCAAGCCCACUCAUGAUAAAAUUUGAAUUGUUUCAAGAUGAUUACCUUCUUCUUUUUUUUUUUUUAAAUAAAACCAUAAUUCCAAAUAAUAUCUUAAUUUCCUUUUCCUUCAAAUGUUCAUUAAACUCACAUAUUGGAUAAUUAAUUUAAUUAUUUGUUAAAUUAUUUAUUACCCUAUCUUAUUAUUCAAUAGAUAUAAAUGACACCUUAAUUAGGUUUUAAUUGGAAACAAAUAUAAAAUAUUAUUUUUUGAUUAAUUUUGUGAAUUCUUUUAAUGUUCGAAUUAGAAUAGAAUAAUUUGUAUAAGGAUAAUUUAUACAAAGAUAAUCUGCAAAAUAAGCUUAUUUGUCGAGUUUAAAAGAGUUAUAUGAGUAAUCAUAUAUUUAUCAAAAUUUUUUAAUAAAAAUUUUGUUUAAAAAUUGGCCAAAUGGGUUUAAAAUAGAAGGGCAUGAACAGCGCCACUUUCAAUUUUUUUUUUUUUUUUGUACAAUUGAAAAGACGUUUUAAAUGGACCAAUUUGAAAUGGCAGGAGAGCAUAAUGGACUCAUGCUGGGACUUGGGUAGGAAAAUUAAUUUUAUUUUUAAAAGUAUGGUCAACAGUACUGACUUGGAGGUGAUUGACGUUAAGUUAAAUUAAUACAAACAAAUGGCAAAAAUAAUUUAAUGAAAAUUAAUUAAUAAAAAAUGUUUUAAAAAUAAGAACUUAAGUUCUUGAUCAUUAAUAUCCGUAUGUUUUUAAUCCAACGGCUCAGAAUUGGCAUAAAACUAGCCAUUGGAAGUAAAACAAAUAUCAAAUUAAGGGCCUAUAACACAAUAAGAUCUCAUACCUUCUUCGUUGUAUAUCCUCAAUUACUGCUGAAAGCUCCAGUUAGAGAGUUGCACAAGUUCGGAGAAAAAUAAAAAGCUGCAUCUAGCAAUAUAAAUAAAUAUCUAGCUAAUUAACAUCAUAUAUAAGUCCUUGUUCUCUAUCAAAAUCUUUCCUUCUUAAAAAGAAAUAAUAAUAAUAGCAAUAAUAAUUGAAAUAAUAACUGCGGGUGAUACAGGAAGCAAAAGUAACAUACCGAAAUGAGAGCAGCUCACGUAUCUGGUGACUUCCAAGAGAAUGAAAAAUGAAUGACCUUCGGCAGCAAGAUCCAAAUCAUGUAUCACAGCUCACGUUUCUUUUUUUCUUUUUUUUUAAUUAAAUUUUAUAUCACAGUGUGAAUUGAAAGGUGAAAAGUGAAAUGGUACACAUGCGUAUGAUGAGGGGGCAAUUUUUAGACACCUCCCCGAGGUUUAAGGUCUUCUGAAUUAGAUGGAUUGUAUUUUCGUAUUAUCAAAUACCUCCCCUGCCCGUUUUUAUUCCAUUUAGUCUUUUCUAAAUAGCUGAAGGUAAAUUGGUAAAACUCAUUUAAAAUAAAAUAAAAAAUCAAAGAAAUUCAAGAAGAAGCUUUGUAUCUGCCAUUUGUAUUUGGGGUAUCUUUUUGGUUGUUGAGUGAAUGAGCUUAAAUCUUAAAUAUUUAUUUUCUUAUUAUAUAUUUCUCAUUGGAAAGAAUUUGAAUCUUAUUCUUAUUAAACUUAUUCUCUUUAAAUAAAAGUAGAUUUCUCUCCAUGUAUUUAGCAUGUAUUUUGAAAUUAAUGUUCAACAUAUCUUUAGAUCCUAUUAUAAAUAUUCAUAUCUAAAAUCUCAACAGAUUCCAACAUAUAAAUAUAUAUAAAGAGAGAGAGUAACGUUUUAAUAAGAAAUUUCUUAAAUUAUCAAAUUAAAGUAUAAUUCAAAAGAUAAAAAAAAUACAUAAUCUAAUAUAUUAUAUAACAAAAUAUACUAUAUUAAAAUAUAUAUUUUGCUUAAUUUUUUAAUAAAUCCCAUAAUAACUUAAGAAACCCUUUAUUUACCUGAUAUAUAUGUGUGUGUAUAAUUUUUUACAAAAUAAACAAUUUAGAGUAAAACAAAGGACAUUCUGGGGGCCUUUUGCUAGACUACCAAUCUACCAUUUUGGAUUGCAAUAAAGUGAAAAUACUGGACUACUAUUUUGGAUUGCAAUAAAGUUAAAAUGGGUUACACCAAAAAAGUAAAAAAAAAAAGUGACAAUCAAUCUUGUCGGCCAAUACACCGACUUUUUUGCCGGAUUAGUAUCGCCGUCGAAAACAAAUUAUUGCAAGCACUAGCAAAAAGCAAUCGAUGAUUUCGCAAUUUGGUUGUCAAAAAGCAAACUAGAUCACGAUUCCUCAAUUCAAAAUGGGGCAAAUUAUGGUAUCACAAUGAUACCGUAGGGAUGGCAAUGAGGCAUAUAUGGGUUGGAUCUACUCUACUCCAGAUCCAAAUUCAUAAUAAAAAUCAAGAUCCGUAUCUACUCUAGAUCCGUCAUGAAUCCAUAUUUUUCGCUCCAUAUCCAGAUCCAAAAAAUAAAAAUAAAAAUCUAUAUCUGCUCCAAAUCCAAAAAAAAAUUAAAAUCUGCUCUAGAUCCAUCACGAAUUCUAAAAUUCAGUAAUAAAAAAGUAAUAAUUUUUUAGAUUGAAAAUUGAAGGCUAAAAUGUAUUGAUAACAAAUAAAUUAUAUAAUUUUUCUAAAAAAUAUAAUAAAUAUUGUAGCUUAUACUUUUACACCAAACAACAAAUAAGAAAGAUAGUAAAAUAUCAUUCAGAAGUAAUUGCAAAAGUAAGAUCAAUCUAAUAUUUUAUUGUCUCCUUCAUCAUUCUAAUAUCCACGAUACACCUACCCUCAUUCCUACAACAUUAGAUAAUGACAUAUAAAUUAAAUAUGAUUUAUAUUCAGUCCUUUAUUAUUUUUAUUAUGACCAUAUUUGAAUAAAUAUAUGAAUAACUAUAUUUCUUAAAAAUUAUUUGGCCAAUAUAAUAAAAUAAAUUGCCAGGUUAUAUUACUUGGCUUGCAAUUUGAAUAUUGCAUGUACAUGCUUUGGGGCUGGCUGACCUUUAAAUUUACAAAACUAACAUUUAAGUUUUAAGAGUUUAAAUGCAUGGUAAAUACUACUAAUAUGCUAUGAAUAAAAUUUAUUAUCAUUAUAAUUCCACAAUUGUUAAGAAACUUUUAAAAUAAAAUAAAAUUAAAAGAUGAGUGGAUAUGGAUAUGGAUUUAGAUAUUAAGAUAGAUCCAGAUCUGCUCUAGAUCCGUCUUAAAUCCGCAUAUCGAUAUCCAAAUCCGAUCCAAAUCCAUUUUAAACCAAUCCAAAUCCGAUCCGAUUGGAUUUGGAUCACGUGGAUCUUGGAUAAGAUCCAAUCCAUUGCCAUCCCUAUGGUACCGUACUACGGCUGGAUCCAGCCUAUAGUUAUCAUCAUAAUUGGAGCAAACGGUUGGAUUCAUCUGUAGUAUGGUACCACUGUGGUACCAUAGCUGGACCCUUUAAAAUGAUUUUUUUUAAUUAAAUAAGUGAAAAUUAAACCUACAAUUCAAAAUAGAGGACUGUAGAUGCGUAUAAAUUGAAGAAGGUAAAUUUUGUGUGGGCGUAAAUAUUUUAGUUAACAACAAAAAAUUCUAACAAGUUAAUAUAAGAGUAUCAUAGCAGUACAAGAGAUUUUUUUUUUUUUAAUGUUAAGAGUUAUCGAGAUACCCAAUAUAUAUAUGUGUGUGUGAGAGAGUGGAGGAAGAAAAAAAAUAUUAAGAAUAGUUUUGGCAUUUUGAUGGGUUUUAUAGAGUAAAAUCUAUAUUUUCAAAUAUGAUAAUUCUUUAAUUUAAUUUGGUGUUAUGAAAAAAAAGGGCAUUUUAAAUAUGUUCUAGGUUAUAAAUAACUCCAUCCAAAAUUUAAAAAUGAAAUCUUAGGGGGGGAAAAAUUUCACCCGAACUAAGGCCCAAAGUAGCCGCGGCAUUUUUCACCAAUUCUCCAAUUCCCAAUGUCGUCUAAUUAUUUACAAGGAAUAUGAGUAGGGGUGGGCACGGUUCGGUCCGGUUCGGUUUGGAUCGAAAUUAAGUUGAGCUAAUUUAAAUCAGUUAUUUUAUAAAAAGAACUAAAUAAGAACCAAACUCAAUAAAAACCGAACAUAAAUGGAUCUUUUCGGAUCGGUUCAGUUUUUUCGGUUUUGGGCCUAUUGGGCCUAUUUUGAAUUUCUAAAUUGUUAGCCCAUUAGGACUCAUGAAUGUAAUAAUUUUAUUCAACAAUUAAUUUAUCCUAAUUUCAUUACAAAUAUUAACAAUAAAUACAAAGUAUUCAAAAUACAUUUUAUCACUAAUAUCUUACUAACUACUAAUAAGGUACUUACAAAAUAUGAAAUAUUAAGAUUUCAAAAUACAUAAUCAAACUCCAAUACUCCAUCUACAUAAAUAUAAUGUUGUAAAGACAAAUAAAAAUAACAACAAUUAAAACUUACAACACAAAAUAAAAAGAAAAUUUAGAAACAAACACCAACAACAAUUUUUAAAUAUAUAUAUAUAUACCCGUAAUCGUGUGUGUGCAUGCAUAUUUUAGUUAUCUCACGCAACCGAUUAAAAUUUAACACGUGUCUAUUUAAAUAAAAUUCCAAGAAUAACUCGGUUUUUUGGUUCAGCUGAGUGAACCGAAUACCGAACCUGUAUUUCGGUUUCUUUACAAACCAUAUAUUUCAGUUAUUUUUUAAAAUUAAAAUCAGUCCGAACAGAACGGAACGGUUCAGAUCGAUUUUCUCUAGUGCACAGUUUUUUUGCCCACCCCUAAAUAUGAGAUUCUCUACCACUCCAAUUUAUCCCAUUGUUAGCAAUCCUAUUAGCUGUUUUAUAUCCUAUUUUUAUUAUGCUCCCCAAACAAAUAUGUUUCACGUAAAGGUGCCCAACGGGCUGCACCGUCCGUCUGAAUGAGCGCACGAGAGGCUCCACAUGACACGGCAAUCUUUUUCUUUUUAAUGAGGGCGUGUCUGAUAUGCUCUUUCAAGUCUACAUACCUAACGUUCUUUUUUUAAGUGCAUAUAUAUUUUUUUAAAGCUCAUGUGAAAUUCAGUAGUAAGAGAAUGCAAUACUAGUUAAUAAGUUAGAGCCUACAAAAUAAUAAUAAUAAUAACAAAAUUUUCUUUAAGGGUUAACAUUUUAUUGUUAACUUGAAUUUACAUACUGUUAUAGAUUAUAGUCCAUAAUAAUAUUAAUAUUUACAAGUUUCAAAUUAAAAUUUAAUAAUUAACAUUUCAUUAACACAACUAUAUUAUCUAAUUUUGCAAUAACCAAUUAUAAUACAACAAUACAUAAUUCUAAUUUCAUAGACCAUGGUAAUAAAAUCUCUACAUUAAUGAAAAAAUUUAUUUUGAUAUAUGUCGGUCUGCUUGCUAUUGAUGGCCGAUGGUCGUAUGCUAGCCUGCUAAUGAAGCAUGUUUAUUAUUGGUUUUUUCAUGUGUCUUGUUUUACCACAUCUCUAAUGAAAUUGUACUCUUAAAAUCCACAACCUAACCUAGCCUCUGUGUUUGUCCUGUCGUGCCAUACUAUACAAACACGUAUCCGGUACUAUCCCACGUACCGGUCGGCCCUUUGCCAUCUCUAGUUUCACCCCUAAAUGAAAUCUAAACGGCUAUUGGCAAGUAAGAAAACUUGUUAUUCUUUAUUUUGAAAAUAAAGGGAAUUGCUUAGUUUGAUAUUGUUUUUGGUAAGUCAUUUUUUGUUUUGAAACAUUUUUCUGAGAUGUUGUUGUAUUUGGUGAAAAAUAAAUUAUUUUAUUUUAUACUUUUAAUGAAGAAAAGUAGAGAAAAACUUUCUUAUAAGUGCACCCGUGCCACUUUUUUCUUGUUUUAUUUGUAUGAUAAUUAUCAUGGACCCACGUAACUUUCUUUUGCAUUUAAAAUUUCAUAAUAAAUUAAAUUAGACAAAAGAAAUGAGUCCCACAAAUAAUUUAUUUUAUAAUUUUUUAAAUAAUACUAUUUUAAAAUAAAUUAUCAAAACAAAUUUCAUAUUCACUAAAAUUAAUCAUAUUCAUAUUAUAAAAUAAAUUUAAAAAUAAUAUCUGAAAAGUAAUGCUAAAUACACUCUUAAAUUUUAUGUACGGUAUUAGAAUUGAUGAACAAUCUGACAAAGAUGCUGCGACUUAAGUAGAGAUGACAAUUAAAGCUGGAUUUGGAAAAAUUCGUGUCUGCAAAUUAAAAAAUGUGGAUUCGGAUAUGGAAAUUUGGAAUUCACAUGGAUCAUAUUUUAUUUGUAGAUUUAUGAGAUUAUUGUAUGUUAUUCAUGUUGAAUUAUUAAUUGUUGAAUUAUGAUUGAAUUUUAUUUGAUAUUAUUAGGUAAAUUAUUGAAUUUUAUUUAAAAUUAAAAAUUAAAUUAAAAAUAUAUAUUAAAAAUUAAAUAAAAAAAAAUUAUAUUUUAUUUGUAGAUUUAUGAGAUUAUUGUAUGUUAUUCACGGCCAAGGCGGAUGUACGGUACAGCAGAAGUUGAAUUAUGAUUGAAUUUUAUUUGAUAUUAUUAGGUAAAUUAUUGAACUUUUAAAUUAUAUAUUAAAUUAUUUAAUUUUAAUUUUUACGGAUUUGGAUAUCCAAAAUAUCCUCCAAUAUCCGUUGCGGAUAUUACCCGCUUCUGGAUCCACAUCUUUUUAUAUGAAUUCAGAUAUAGAAAUAUGAAUGCGAAUCCGAAUCUGGAUUUUACCAACCUUGAACCUAAGCAUGAAUGGGCCUAAAGUUUCUACAACAAACAUGGAUCAUUCAAUGACACGACAUGUUUUACAGCUCUCAUUAGUAUAAUUAAAUAAUUAAUUCCUCUCUAUAUUCAACUUACUCCGUCUCAAAUUGCAUGCACAUACGAAAAUACACUUCUGAAUCGUUCACUUGAGGAAAAUUCCAAAUUCUCCACGUAGAAUUUAGAUUCAAACCAUAGCAAAUUAGACAUAAUUCUAAUUUAUAUGGCAAAUAUAAUUAGCGAAGACACUCUUUAUAUAAACAUUAUUGUCAAACCUAAUAAGAUUCAAGGUCUUAACAUACUUCAUAUGAAAUUUGAUCUUGGCGCGUACCAACACGAAUAACAUCAAGACUCUACUUCAUAUAAUGUUAACUUCAUGGAUUUUCCGCUCUCUUGUGGGUCUAUCGUUUGUUUGCAAACUUUUCCAUUUUAAAUUGACAAUUAUAGGCGCUCUCUUGUGGUACAUAAAAUAAACGUUUAUUUUUAGAAUAUUAUUAUUUAUCUCAAUUUUUGAUUUAAUAGUUAAUCUUAAUCAAUUCUUAAACUGCCAUAAUCAAUUAAUUUUUUACAUUAUGGCAUCUUAAAUAAAUUUAGGAUAUGUAAUAAAUAAAAACUGGUAACGUUUGUUCUUUUAAAGCAUAAAAUAACCGUAACAUUGGUUUUUACAUUUUGAAUUUUUCUUGCAUCACUAUUUAGAUUAGAAAAAUGAUGUUAAAUCAACUCACAAAAUAUAUCAAGCCAUCUAAAAUCCAAAUAUUAUUACAUUUGUAUUUGCAUUGUUAAAUUGUUGGAACGACGGCAAAGCAAUUGAAAAGAUAUUAACAAAAAAGUAAAGAUUGGCCAAGGAUUAUUCAUGUUUAGGAAAUGCCUUAACUUUUGAUAUAAUCAUUGUUAUAAUUAUAUUGUAGAAAUAAUCAAUUACCUAAUGUUUGAGGUGGUAAAUAUUAUUAACUUGUUUUACUAUACCCGUGUUUAUGUUGGUCUCCUUUUUGUCCAUUUCUGUACAACGAAAUAUUUGCAUGUUUUGAUAGAAAUUGGUUUAAAUGACAUUUAAAAUAGUAUAUCCCCAGACAAUUAACGAAAUAUUUGGAUGGUAGGAUGAAGUAAUAAAUAGUUUUACAAAUUACCAUAUUAGAGGUAAAAAAAAAAUCGAGAGGUUACUUGACAAUUAUGACAUUACUAACUACAAAUUUAACACAAAAAGUUUAAUUAACUUUUCAUUUUGAGAUGACAAAAUCUCUGCUGUUGAAAACAAUGAGGUUUGAGGUUCAAGCUUGAAUAUCAAGUUACAAUUAGUAGAUAGUCUUAGGACAUAUCAAAGAUUUCUUUAAAGACAAAAUAAUAAUUACAAGCAAUAGGAAAUUAUGGUAUUCAGAACAUGUAACCUUCGCACAUGAAGCUUGAGUCCAGCAAAAGAUGCAGCUAGCCAAUCCUUCAACUUCCAAAACCCCACAAAAUCUGUCAACAUAUCUGCUCUACUUCAAUAUUAAGCACAUUCAUAGCGGCAUCAACAGCUUACAGCGCCAAAAUAUUUUCCCCAAAAAGAGUGAGAGAUUUCACAGAAGCUAAGUUGUGACUUGUGACUGCCCAAAUGUUCUAUAACACGAUAUGAUUAUUCUAGUAACACAAAUCCAAUAGCAUGCAACAUAAUCUACUCUCUAACAUUGUGCAUUAGUAAAAUAAAACAGAGUAAAAAGAGAAACCAUGCCUGUGAAUCUCUUCUUUUCCCCCUGCCACCCCUUUUUUUGGUGAAGUCCAUCAAAUGAAAAUGCAGCAUGACCACGUUGGCCACUGCCACUGCCAUUGCUUCUUCAACUGUGCCUUUUGUUGCAGGAAAUAUUCAAGUGAAAGAUGGUUUAUAUAAUUCAAGAUUCCAAUAGACCUGAGCUGCAAAGGUUGCCUUCCACUAGCCUAUCAGAGAAUAUGCUUUCUAUUUUCCUAGUUUUUUAAUCAAAAUUUGCAAGAUUUAUUUAUGGAAUACUUGAACAAAAUUUUAUGUAAGAUACCAUAAAGCCAAAUGCAAUCUUUUUAAUUCUCAGCAGCAACAUUUAAAGUGAAAAAUGGAAGCCAUAUAAACAUAACUAUGUUUGCUACGAGGAACAAUUAUUUCAAGCUUUCAGAAAUGCUAGAAAGAAAUUGUAAAGAGAACUUUACCUAGUCACAGAAUAUGUCAAACAUACUACCACCAACUGUCUUUAGCACGAUUGUUAUGGAAGUAGCUUUUGAAUCGGAAGAUUCCAGCUUCCACCGGGCACCAUUUUUUUCAUUCUUGAUACAAUCUGCAUCACUGGCAUUAGUUAUAUCAUCAACAUUUGCAUCCUCACUCUCAUCAUCCCAAUCAAGGCUUCUUCUCCAGCUCUGGAUUAUAAGUCCACUCCGACAUCUUCAAACAUCUCGGUCCUUCCAUUUGCCAACAACCGAUAUGGCUUCCUUCCUUGCCUUUCCCAUUAAUAUAUCACUCGAAGGAAAAAAAGCAUCAGCAAUUCUCUUCAACGCCUCAUCGUUUAUAACCCCCCAAAAAAAGGGUCUUCAGACACCUCAACUUUGCCUUCUGCAAAAUCUCCACAAAAUCUGAAUUAUCCAACACAAAAGCCAGACACUCAAUCCUUCUUUUGUCCAUCAUAUCCACCGUAUGAUUCCUCAACAAAAUAUCUACAGCUUGUGGCUUAUCUAACACUGUCUUGAUCCAAAACCCCGCUCUUUUCAACUCAUCUGCCAAACCAUAACCCACUUUUGGAGUCAAAAUUGUCCUUGCAGCCCUUUUAUAUUUUUCCAUCUCCAUCGAAUACUUGCCACUCAAAUGGAAUUACCAGACAGGAAUCCCAGUAACAAGUCCACUCAACUUCUUCUCAUCUGAUCCCUCUUUCACUCUGGCGGAAACAUUAAUAACCAUUCACCAGCCACAAAUUACCCAAGUAAGUACUCGUGUCGUCAACACUUACCCUUCACUUCAUCUACGCAAACAAGAAUUCAAAUUGCUUACUAGCUAGUGCUCGAGCGAAAGCCAGAAUAAUUUAAAUAUGUGUGUGUGUGUGUUAAAAGAGAAACGGUAGCGAAGUUAUUAUACAAUAAAGCAAACCAAAAUAAAUUCUACACUCAUGUGGCGCUCAAAGCCAUGAAUUUGAUAUCAUCCAUGAGGGGAGUUCAAACAACAGCAUGUAAGAAGCAACAAGUGUUGAGAAAAACAAAGUGACAAAAACAAAGCUAAUCACAAUGAAUGAUAAGGUUUAGAGUAAACAUAAAGUUAUAAUCUUGAACAUAAGUGGCGCUCAAAGCCAUGAAUUUGAUAUCAUCCAUGAGGGGAGUUCAAACAACAGCAUGUAAGAAGCAACAAGUGUUGAGAAAAACAAAGUGACAAAAACAAAGCUAAUCACAAUGAAUGAUAAGGUUUAGAGUAAACAUAAAGUUAUAAUCUUGAACAUAAGUGGCGCUCAAAGCCAUGAAUUUGAUAUCAUCCAUGAGGGGAGUUCAAACAACAGCAUGUAAGAAGCAACAAGUGUUGAGAAAAACAAAGUGACAAAAACAAAGCUAAUCACAAUGAAUGAUAAGGUUUAGAGUAAACAUAAAGUUAUAAUCUUGAACAUAAGUGGCGCUCAAAGCCAUGAAUUUGAUAUCAUCCAUGAGGGGAGUUCAAACAACAGCAUGUAAGAAGCAACAAGUGUUGAGAAAAACAAAGUGACAAAAACAAAGCUAAUCACAAUGAAUGAUAAGGUUUAGAGUAAACAUAAAGUUAUAAUCUUGAACAUAAGUGGCGCUCAAAGCCAUGAAUUUGAUAUCAUCCAUGAGGGGAGUUCAAACAACAGCAUGUAAUUAAGAAGCAACAAGUGUUGAGAAAAAAAAAAAAUUCAUUCUAACACAGCAGAAUAAAUUGUAAAGAAAUCCCAGUUUGUAUAAAAGAAAGAAAACAAAAUUAAGGAAAACAUAAGCACAACAAAAUUUGACUGAUUAUUAAAAAUGAGAAAUGAGUUAUAAUGAGAAUUUUAGCUUUGUUGUGAAAUAAAUUGGGAAGUAUCCAAAGUACGCAUGUAAAUAAUAUAAAUGAUAAGAAGACGAAGGGAACAAAAUGAUAAUAAGCAAGCCAAAUAUUAAAAUGCAGAUUCUACGCUUCCGCCACCCCCCCUGAUGGGUGUCGAAGCCAACAAAAAUAAAUUCCUACUCUAAAUAAAUUGUGUAUAGUGAUUGAGCAGGGUCGUGUCCACAGAGAUCGGUAAUUAUUUAAAUCCUUUUGAAACGUAAAACGUAAAAUGGGGGAAUUGUUGACAAUAAUAAAAAUCAAAUUGAAAUAAACAAGAAUGCAAAUUAAAGUUGUAAUUCAAAUUGGAGAAAGCUCUGGUUGAAGGAAUUAACUCAGCUUGAUUCGACUACUGAUCAUUGAUUCAAAUAUAGAUUAUUAUUAAUGCAUUCCUCUUGCCAAAAUCGCCUUGUCUUUCCCUCGAGCAACUUUUCCAGCAAAUUAUUUGCUAGCGGAUCUUGUUGGAGGCCUUCCUUGAUGCGUGAGACAAGGUCGGACUUCGGUUGGCUCAUGCUAAGUGUUGCCAAUUCCGCCUUGCGGCUUAGAGCGUCCGUAACGACAUUGGCUUUCCCUGGUUUGUACUCGAGCCGAUAGUCGAAUUCCGCUAGAAAAUCCUGCCACCUUGCUUGCUUCGGACUCAACUUCUUUUGUGUUUGAAAGUAGCUCGUUGCUACGUUGUCCGUCAUAAUCGUGAAGUGAGAGCCUAGCAAGUAAUGUCGCCACACUCUUAGACAAUGGAUGAUGGCUGUCAUCUCCUUCUCUUGCACCGUGUAGCGGCGUUCCGUAUCAUUUAGCUUUCGACUCUCGAAUGCUAUAAGGUGGCCUUUUUGCAUGAGGACUCCCCCUAUGGCGAAAUCCGAGGCAUCCGUUUGGACUUCGAAGGGCUUUGUGUGGUCCGGAAAGGCGAGGACUGGUUCCUCCGAAAUUGCCUUCUUCAACUCCUCGAAUGCGCGUUGGCAUCCUUCGGACCAAUGCCACGUUCUGUUUUUCUUGAGCAUAUCCAUCAAGGGUGCCGCCUUGGCCGAAUAGCCCUUGUUGAAGCGGCGGUAGUAGUUCACCAACCCAAGGAAUGAGCGAAGCUCGGGCACUUUUGAGGGAGGUUCCCAUUCGAGGAUGGCCUUUACUUUGGCGUUCUCCAUCAUGAUCUUCCAGCCCGCAAUCUUGUGGCCAAGGAACUCUGGUCCGUAAUGAUGUAGUCCAUAUCUUUGUCGAACGCGGUGACAACGGCGGUUGGCGCGGGCCUUGAUUCUCCGCGACUUGGGUCUCCCAUGUCUUCGUGAUAUGGCUUGAGAAGACUCACAUGGAAGACCGGAUGGAUCUUGAGUUUUGGCGGAAGUUGAAGUUGAUACGAGACGUUGCCCACACGUCGAACAACUCGGAAGGGUCCCUCGUAGCGCCUCACUAACCCCUUGUGGACUUUCCGCAACGUCUUGAAUUGUUGGGGUAGGAGCUUGAUCAUGACUUGAUCACCUUCCGUGUACUCAACACGCCGUCUCCUUGUAUCCGCCCAUUUCUUCAUUUUCCUUGCGGCUUUGUCGAGGUAGGCUCGCGUGAUGUCUGUUUCCUCAUGCCACUCGCGGGUGAGCUUGUGUGCCGCGGGGCUUUUCCCUCCGUAAGUCGAGGCUAUGGCAUUGGGGGUCAUGGGCUGGAAUCCCAUGAUGAUCUCGAAUGGACUCUUGCCCGUAGCCUCGCUUCGCUGCAAGUUAUAAGAAAAUUGGGCAUCUCGAUUGCUCACAAUGCUCUUUAGAACUCCCCAAAGCUUUACGAUGUGCUUGAUGAAUAGGCGGGCUGCCUCGUCCGCUUUGCAAUCGACUGGUGCGGCGAUGAAUGUGGCGUACUUGCUGUAUCGGUCGACAACGACCAUGAUGCUACCGCAACCUUCGGACUUGGGCAGCGAUGUGAUGAAGUCCAUGGAGACACUUUCCCAUAGCCUUGUUGCUAGUGGUAGCGGCUCCAACAAUCCCGCUGAAAGUUGAUGAUCCACUUUGUCUUGUUGGCAAACAAGACAAGUUCGCACAUAUGCCUCGAUGUCGUCUCUCAUGUGUGGCAAAAAAUGCGAGGCUUGAACUAGUGCGGUGGUGCGCUCGAUUCCUGGGUGACUAGCCCACUUGGAGUCGUGGCACUCCUUGAUUACUUCCUUCCGUAAGUUUCCCAACCUUGGCACGAACAACCGAUCUCCCUUGGUGAGGAGGAUGCAUUCCUCUUGCCAAAAUCGCCUUGUCUUUCCCUCGAGCAACUUUUCCAGCAAAUUAUUUGCUAGCGGAUCUUGUUGGAGGCCUUCCUUGAUGCGUGAGACAAGGUCGGACUUCGGUUGGCUCAUGCUAAGUGUUGCCAAUUCCGCCUUGCGGCUUAGAGCGUCCGUAACGACAUUGGCUUUCCCUGGUUUGUACUCGAGCCGAUAGUCGAAUUCCGCUAGAAAAUCCUGCCACCUUGCUUGCUUCGGACUCAACUUCUUUUGUGUUUGAAAGUAGCUCGUUGCUACGUUGUCCGUCAUAAUCGUGAAGUGAGAGCCUAGCAAGUAAUGUCGCCACACUCUUAGACAAUGGAUGAUGGCUGUCAUCUCCUUUUCUUGCACCGUGUAACGGCGUUCCGUGUCAUUUAGCUUUCGACUCUCGAACGCUAUUGGGUGGCCUUCUUGCAUAAGGACUGCGAGGCUUGAACUAGUGCGGUGGUGCGCUCGAUUCCUGGGUGACUAGCCCACUUGGAGUCGUGGCACUCCUUGAUUACUUCCUUCCGUAAGUUUCCCAACCUUGGCACGAACAACCGAUCUCCCUUGGUGAGGAGGAUGCAUUCCUCUUGCCAAAAUCGCCUUGUCUUUCCCUCGAGCAACUUUUCCAGCAAAUUAUUUGCUAGCGGAUCUUGUUGGAGGCCUUCCUUGAUGCGUGAGACAAGGUCGGACUUCGGUUGGCUCAUGCUAAGUGUUGCCAAUUCCGCCUUGCGGCUUAGAGCGUCCGUAACGACAUUGGCUUUCCCUGGUUUGUACUCGAGCCGAUAGUCGAAUUCCGCUAGAAAAUCCUGCCACCUUGCUUGCUUCGGACUCAACUUCUUUUGUGUUUGAAAGUAGCUCGUUGCUACGUUGUCCGUCAUAAUCGUGAAGUGAGAGCCUAGCAAGUAAUGUCGCCACACUCUUAGACAAUGGAUGAUGGCUGUCAUCUCCUUCUCUUGCACCGUGUAGCGGCGUUCCGUAUCAUUUAGCUUUCGACUCUCGAAUGCUAUAAGGUGGCCUUUUUGCAUGAGGACUCCCCCUAUGGCGAAAUCCGAGGCAUCCGUUUGGACUUCGAAGGGCUUUGUGUGGUCCGGAAAGGCGAGGACUGGUUCCUCCGAAAUUGCCUUCUUCAACUCCUCGAAUGCGCGUUGGCAUCCUUCGGACCAAUGCCACGUUCUGUUUUUCUUGAGCAUAUCCAUCAAGGGUGCCGCCUUGGCCGAAUAGCCCUUGUUGAAGCGGCGGUAGUAGUUCACCAACCCAAGGAAUGAGCGAAGCUCGGGCACUUUUGAGGGAGGUUCCCAUUCGAGGAUGGCCUUUACUUUGGCGUUCUCCAUCAUGAUCUUCCAGCCCGCAAUCUUGUGGCCAAGGAACUCCACUUGUUGUUGGGCAAACGAGCACUUCUCCAACUUGAGGAAGAGCUCAUUGUCUCGGAGCACUUGGAGGACUUGUCGCAAGUGUUGGGCAUGAUCCUCGAGCGUGGUGCUAUACACCACGAUGUCAUCCAAGUACACGACCACGAAGCGGUCGAGGAAUGGUUGGAGCACCUUGUUCAUGAGCGUGUAAAAUGUGGCGGGUGCAUUAGUAAGGCCAAAAGGCAUCACAAGGAAUUCGAAAGACCCGUACCUUGUUGUGCACGAUGUCUUCGGUUCGUCUCCCUUGACGAUGCGCACUUGGUAGUACCGGGAGCGCAAGUCGAGUUUGGUGAAGUACCGCGUUUUGCCAAGCUGGUCGAACAAGUCCGCGAUCAAGGGAAUCAGAUACUUGUUCUUGAUGAUGAUAUUGUUGAGCGCUCUAUAGUCGAUGCACAUCCGCAGCGAUCAAUCCUUUUUCUUUUGGAAGAGCACGGGUGCACCGAAUGGGGCCUUUGAGGGGCGAAUGUAGCCUGCAUCCAGCAAGUCUUUGAGUUGUCUCCGCAACUCUUCUAAUUCGGGUGGUGCCAUGUGGUAAGGCGCCAAGGCUGGUGGCUUCGCACCUUGUUCCAGCUCGAUCGCAUGAUCUACCUCUCGUCUAGGUGGGAGCUUCUUCGGAAGUUCUGGAGGCAUCACGUCCUUGUACUCGUUGAGGACUUUUUGUAUUUGCGGAGGGACUUGGCUUGGCUUGUUUCCGCAAUCUCCUUCCUCGUUUAGUUCCCGAAUGGAGACCAAGAAGCUUGGGUCCUUCUUGAAAGCCCUUUUGAAUUGCAUGGCGGAGAGUGUCUUCUCCUCGGACUUGCCUCGUUCCAUGGGAACCAUGCAUGCCUUGCUCCCAUCGAGGAUGCCUAGGGAGUUUGUAGCGGGCAGCGGGAAGGCAUGGACUUGAUCGAAGAAUUCCAUGCCGAGGACCAUGUUGAAGUCAUCCAUGGGCACAAUGGAGAAGUCAAGCUUUCCGCUCCACCUACCAAGUGUAAUGUGCACGCCUUGUGCGAUUCCCGCAAUUGGCUUGGCGGGUGAGUUCACAGCCUUCAUCGUGCCUCCCGUGUUUAGCAGUGCGUGAAUAGACUGGCCAUUUAUUUUCGCGCUUACAUACAUGAGCCCUUUCUUGACAAGUGUGGGCUGUUGGCGAUUGAGUGGGCCGAGGCGUUAGAGAGAACCCAUGCUGAGUUGGGGUUCCUCCGUGGACAUUGUGGGGUUGCUAUUGAGUUGGGCAGCAAGAGCAUUAAGCGACCUCUUCUCCGGACAGUCGCGUACCCAAUGAGGACCGUUGCAUAUGAAGCACGGGCUUCGUGGCUUUGGCGCCUCCUUUUUGCCCUCCGAUUUUCCUUACUCGCUCUUGUUACUAGGCGGCUUUUUCUGCCCCCAAUCUUUGCGGUUGUUGCCCUUGUCCUUGCGACUAUCUCCCCCACCUUUGCCUUUGUUGGCCUUUUUGUCCUUGGAUUGGGUAGAGUAUUCGGUGAGCGACUCCGCAAUGGCGAUGGCAUCGUCAAGUGUUUGAACACCACGCCUAUCAAGCUCGGUCUUGGCCCAAUCCUUGAGGCCAUCUUGGAAGUAGAAGAGCGAAUCCUUGUCGGACAUAUCGCUUAUCUCCAACAUAAGGGUAGUGAACUCAUUGAUGUAGUCCCGAAUGCUACCCGAUUGCUUGAGGCGACAUAAGCGCGCUCGCGCUUCCUUCUCCGCAUUGCUUGGGGCGAACUGCUUUCGGAGUUCUUGCUUGAAGUCAGCCUAAGUGUCGAUGGUGCAAAUGCCCUUGCCCAUCUCGCCAUGCUUGUGACGCCACCAUAGUUGUGCAGUACCUCUAAGAUAGGUGGGUGCAGUGCCCACUUUCGAUGCCUCAUCUCGAACACCCAUGGCAUCGAAGUAUUGAUCAAGCCUGAAUAGGAAGUUGUCCACGAUUGUGGCGUUGCGUGUGCCAUCGUAGGUGUCGGGCUUUGGCACAUCAAUGCGGCGCGCAUCACUCGAGUUUGCGGAAGCUGGACUUGUGGAGAGUGUGCGCUUGUGCCAUGCCCAAUCUAAGCGGACUUCAUCCACUUCCGCACGGACAGCGCGUAGUUCGUCCUGAACAAAACUACGAAGUUUGAGUAACUCAUCAUGGAAGGAACGAAACUCACCUCGGAGAGUGUUUGCUUGCUCUUGGAUGAGAGCUUUGGUUGCCACCGUGAACUCGGCGUAUUCCCCUUCGAAACCGUCCACUCUUUCCUCCAAUCCCUCGAGGCUAUCUUGAGUGGUGGACUAAGCGGACUUCAUCCACUUCCGCACGGACAGCGCGUAGUUCGUCCUGAACAAAACUACGAAGUUUGAGUAACUCAUCAUGGAAGGAACGAAACUCACCUCGGAGAGUGUUUGCUUGCUCUUGGAUGAGAGCUUUGGUUGCCACCGUGAACUCGGCGUAUUCCCCUUCGAAACCGUCCACUCUUUCCUCCAAUCCCUCGAGGCUAUCUUGAGUGGUGGACAAAGUUAUUUCGAGAGUAGUCACACGAGGCUCCAACACAUCCACAGAUGGGGCCUUGGACUUGCCACGAGUCUUGCCUUGGGCGCGUUCUCCCUCUCGGCCGCGGCUUGGUUCCGGUGGAACAUCCACACCAACAACACCCUCUUGUGCUACGUUCGAAGGGUUGGCCAUUGCUCGUGAGCUAACUUGCGUGUGUGCAAACCUUAGCUCUGAUACCACUUGUUACGGGAUGAGUAUUUUACGCAGCUAACCCGUGCGGCACUUAGACAGUUUUGCCGAAUGUUGCUAAGUAAGCCUAGAGCUUCUCGAACUAGAGAAGAGAGCAAUUGAGCCGAAUAAGAGAAAUUGUAUUGCACAAAUAGAGAUUACAAUGCUUGAGUUGCUUACAAUGCUUGUUGUAGUGUUUGUUGGAUGCAAAUGCCUAAUGCCAUCCCAUAUUUAUAGGGGAGGCUUGCCAAGCUCUAGAGAUUCUAGAGAAUUCUACCACUUCCUAGCUAUUUACAUGUACUGGAAUUGUAAGGAGAAUUCUAAAGUAUUUACAAGCUCAUGUGCUAGAGUUGCCUAGAAUGUUCCGGAAUUGGGCCAAGCUAGCACUCUUGGCCUUGUGUUGGCUCUCUAGCCCGAAAUUAUGGGCAAUUGGGCUAGCGAAUUGGGCGGACCGUAUGAUAAAGUUUGUUGCACGUGUGAGUUGGUUAAGUCUGCUAGAAAUGCAAACGUGUAAAGCUUAGUUAGUUAAGGUUGUUACGAAUGCUUAGAUUCAGUUCACGUGUAUUGUAUGUAAUGCUUAGAUUCAGCUCAUGUAGAUUGUGAAUACAACUUUCUAAUAUUCUUUAGAUCUCAAUAUAAAUACUUGUAAUCAACAAAUACAAUAAUAAGAGUCAUCAUUCUUCAUUUUCUCUCUGUUUCUCUCAUAUUUUCUCUGCAUCCAAACACAAUAUUCUCAAUUCUUGACUUGGUAUCAGAGUUGCAGUUUAAUUGUCAUGGCUUCCUUAAGCACAAAUUCAAACACAAAUCAGUCUCCUUCAUUCUUUACCCUCACAAAUGCGAUCAAACUGGACAGAUCUAACUAUAUGAUCUGGAAAUUUCAGAUCCUCUCUUCAGUGCAUGCCAAUGGACUUGAAGGCUUUCUUAAUGGAACUAAAAUUUGUCCAGAUCAGUUACUUACUCAAGAGAUUGAAAGUUAUGGUGUUGAAAAUGCUGUUGGUGAAAGCUCAGUUGAUAGAUCUCAAGAGAAUCCAGCCUUUGUUGCUUGGAAAAGGUAGGAUCAAUUGUUAUUAAGUUGGCUCAUGUCCUCCAUCAGUGUUGAGAUACUUAGUCUUGUGGUAAAUUUUGAUUCUUCUUAUAAACUUUGGACUAAUCUUGAAGAAAAUUUUUGGAUUAGAAACUAUGGCUAAGAAAGCACACUUAAAAAUUAUGUUAAGCAAUCUCAGAAAUGGAUCAAUGCAAUAACUGAGUAUUUUGCCAAACUUAGAGCUGUAACUAAUAAACUUGCUCUAAUUGGUAGCCCUGUUUCUACUCUAGACUUUAUUACUCAUCUAAUCUCUAAUCUAGAUAUGGAGCGAAAAAUAUAGAUCCAUGACGGAUCUGAAACAGAUACAGAUUUUAAUUUUUAUUACGGAUUUGGAUCUGGAGCAAUGUAGAUCCAAUCCAUAUCUGCUCCAUUGCCAUCCCUACUGUGAGAUAUAGCAUUCUUCAAUUAAUCACAUCAUACUUGUUGGAUGAGUUUCGAAUAACCCAAAAACGACACGUACAUUACUUCAUUGCAUUGGUAGCAGUUUGGUGCUUUGGGUUUGAAAAUGGACCAAGCUCGUGCAAUUACAAUUCUUUUAUGCCAAUAGGAAAACUAGACCCUAUUUUUACUUAAAUGUACACAAAAUAGGAAAACUAGGUCCUAUGGUUUAUUUAAAUGUACACAGACAUCUCUCAAUUUUUUUUAAAAAUUGUUACAUAAUUUUUUUCUUUUACUAUCACAAUCUUUACCUAUGGCAACCAAAAAAAAAAUGAUUUUAUCAUAAUCGUCCCAUGCAACACCUCUCUCAUGAUCACGCAUGUAAUGUACCUCAUCAAACCAAGCCACUUCACGCGUAAUCUCCGAACCUUAUAGUUUAUACUGCAUACUACGCCAGAUUUCAGUAGUCAUCACCUGAAAUUAAACUUCAUAUAAGCAAUCCACAAAUCAAAGCGCUGCAACACCCAAAAGAUGACACUACCAAGUUGACCUACCAAACAAGAAGCAUUAGGGUCAAUUGUGACAUCCCCAGUCAUCAAACCGACAUCUGAAAACUCUUCUUUAAACUCCCUGUACUUCUGAUUGCUGAGUGCCUUAAUCGGUGAAGUAUAUAUCACACGUUGCUUAUUCCGCAACGACAUAGCAAUAGCAUACAAUGCUACCACAGUCUUCCCAGCAGAUGUAUGGGCCGAUACCUGUCAAAUAAAUGAAAGGCAAACCCGAUUUUUUUAAUAAAAAAAAAGAGAAAAAAAACUAUUUUUAUUUUUCACACAAGAUAACACUUAAUGCAAAAAUUAUUAUCUGUGAGCUGAAAAGAAGAGCGCUUUGUACGAAAGCACUUCCAAAUUCAAAUUACAUCUUUUACAAAAAAUUAGAGCUUUAUACGUAUGUGUGUGCGCGCGGGCGCGUGUCCGUGUAUAUAAUAAUAAUAAUAAAAAACGAACCAUAACGGACUCGCCGUUGUCGAGGCACUUGAUAGCUUCGGACUGGAAUGGGUCGAGAGUGAAAGGGAAUUCCUUAGCAGGUUUGGCGUCAGCUUCAGCGGCAGCUGCUCCAGUUGAAGAAGAAGAAGGCACGUAACCGGGGGGAAACGACACGUCGUGUAGACAAGCAACUGGCUCAUCGUCGUUAACAAUCAUUGUCCCGUUGCCGUUCGAAUUCUGCAUUGGUUGAGGAGUCUCGUACGAGUCUUCCAUUAUUGACUUUCUCUUCAACGAUGCCAUGCUUCUUCUUAUUAUCUGGCUGUUUGCUAACAAUAGUAAAUACUGAAAAUAAGAAACCCUAGGGACAAAGAGGUAAUUUUCUGAUUGAAAGAGAAGCGGACCUCUCUUCCUCUUCUUGCUACCACAGACGGUGGUUGUUUAGGCGGCUACUAACGAGCGCUGAAGAGACGACAAUCAUAAAAUUUCACGGCUUUUAUACUCCCAUUAAAACGGGGCGUUUUUAUGAGUCAUGAGGUGGGAUCGGAACCAAGACGCACUAAACAUAAAACGCGGCGUUUCAUGGACUAGUACAUCAGUGAGCUGAAAAGCAGUAAUGCAAAAAUUAAUGCAAAAAUUAAUUUUUAUUUUUGUACAUGGACUAGUACAUCAGACGCACUAGAUAAAAAUUAAUUUUUAUUUUUGUACAUGCAAAAAUUAAUGCAAAAAUUAAUGCAAAAAUAAAAACUAUUUUUAUUUUUCACACAAGAUAACACUUAAUGCAAAAAUUAUCAUCAGUGAGCUGAAAAGCAGAGCGCUUUGUACGAAAGCACUUCCAAAUUCGAAUUAAAUUUUUUACAAAAAAUUACAGCUUUAUAUAUAUGUGUGUGCGCGUGCGUAUAAUAAUAAUAAUAAUAAUUACCGAACCGUAACGGACUCGCCGUUGUCGAGGCACUUGAUAGCUUCGGACUGGAAUGGGUCGAGAGUGAAAGGGAAUUCCUUAGCAGGUUUAAACAUAAAACGCGGCGUUUUCAUGGACUAGUACAUUCCAUGCUUCGAAAGUUUAUGUUUUAAACUGAUUGGUUUGAUACAUUAUUUGUUUAUUGCGUUUUUCUUGCUUUAAAUAUUAUGUUGGAUUGAUAAGUUUUGUACACAUUUAUAUUGCUCGCAGUAAAUAAUUUAUUACAUUUAAAAAACUAUCAACCGUCUAUCAAAAGAUUUCUACCAUAAAUAUAUAUACACAAAAAAACUUUUAAUUUGGUCAAUUUGUUCUCUUAUUUAUUUUUGUUCUAUUUCUCUUUUCCUUUCAUUUCAUUUUAUUGUUUUAUGGUACAAAAAAAAAUAACCUUAAAAUUUAAGGGUAAAAUACUCAUUUUACUAAAUUCCGUUUAAUAUCAUAAUGCUGUCAAUGGACAAUGGCAAAGUACACGGGGAAAUUUAUAGUAAUAAUCAUUAAAGUUUUGAUUUUUUUCAUCUUAACCCCCCAAAAAUAUUUCUAUCAAUAUUAGCCAUAAAACAACCUUUGAGACCAAAAUACCCUUCUCCCUCAUCUCUCCCCCAACACUCCCUUUCACUCAUCUCUCCCAAACCGAUCCAACUCCCAUCAUCGGUGGCAACAUCAACCCUCGUCAGCGGCGGCUCCAUCUCUCACCGGCAUCCGAUCUACGAUCUACAACCUUCAACAAAACCUAGGUUAGUCAUUUUUCUUAUUUUCAUUAAUUUAAAAUGAAAUUUUAGAAUAAUAAUGGUUAUAGUUUGAGAAUAAUGUUGAUGGUGGUGGUGUUUGUGGUGGUUGGUGGUGUUUGAGAGUAUUGUUUUUCGAUUUUGGAGUGUUGUGGAUUAAUUUUGGGGGUGGGGAGGGAGGGGGGUAGGGCGCGCGCGCGCGCCCAUCGCUGGAUAGCAGCGCGAGCCCAUGCGCGCCCCGCUGUCGCACCAAAUCUGGUGCGACAGGCCCUGUCGCCAGAUUCACCUCUCGACUCAGUUCAGCAAGUUCAGAAAAUAACUCAUACCACUAAGUGAUGCCGAUUAGUGUUGAUCCAGAUAGAUUAUGAUCGGAUUUCACUUUUAUCGUUGUCUUUUGCUGUCGCCGUUGGCUGAUGAUUCAAGAGUGGCAAGCUGCGUUUGGUUUGACGAUAUGGGUGAAACAAUGUUGCUUUUGGUCUGUAAAGAAGGGUAAUUUGGGGAGAAAAGCUUGUGUUUGGCUAAUGUUGAUAGAAAAAAGUUGAGAGGGUUAAUUAUGAAAAAUAUUUAUAGUUACUUUCGUAAAUUUCCCAAGUACACGAGUGAUACAAAUUAAAAACAAAUAAAUUGAAAGUUUUUAUGUAUUUUCCUUUUAUUUUUUUAUAGCCGAUUGAGAUUUCCCUUCGUAUUCUUAAAUUCAAUACGUUUAGACCGUUUAAAAAAUUUUAAAUUAAAAAAAAACCCGUGGUGUAAUAACAAACUCACAUCAAACCCUGUCCACUGUCAUCCCUAAUAAUAUUUACCACUUCAUACUCAAGAGUGAUAAUAACUGUGUAUCACAAUUGAUUUUGCAUACGGGUAAAAGUUCCAAGUCCGGAUAUUUAGUUAAUGAAAUUGAUGAAAAGGGCAUGAAAGAAAAUAAGAAAUUAAAUAAUACAGGUGGCAUUAAUCAUUACAUAUUUAGUUAAUGAAAAUUGAUGAAAAUAUUUCUGCAGACAUGAGCCGUAAUUAUAAUACCGUUAAGAAUGAAGCAGAAAAGGUUCCCCAAACAAGCUAAAACACGGCACCUGAAUUUAAAGAAUUUUUAUGUCACAGUAUCGGGACAAAAAGUUUAAUGCAACAACAUACAUUAAGUUAAUUCCAUAAUCUAUCACCAAAGAAAGACAAACACAAGCUUAUAAGAUUAGAACUUUGGAAAACAUUGAAGAGUCGGACAAAAUUGUGUAACCUUCAGAGUUUAGAGCCUAGUUCAUCCAGGAAAGCAAAAGAAAAAUAAUAACAAUAAUAAUGGUGGUUUGAUCUCAAAAGGUGGCAUCAAAGUGGUAACUUUGAGGUAUUGGAAGCAAUAACGUCUUCAACUUUGUCCUGAUUUCGAAGUCCCUUAACCCAUCCGCCAUCAAUGGAUUGAAUGCUUCCAUUCAACCAUCAUCCACAAACUCACCAACCCGUUUCACCUUCAUCUCCUCCGGCUUAACAGGGUACUUCCCAGAGAAGCAAGCAUAACAAAAAUUCUGAGAAUCAUCGCCUAACAUCUUGUUCAAGCUGUCAAUCAGCAGAAAAGCAAGCGAAUCACACCCAAUAAACUCCCUGAUUUCCUCAACGCUCAUCCUGUUGGAAAUCAACUCCUCACUACUUGGAGUGUCUACUCCGUAGUAACAAGAAGCUAUGAUUGGUGGGCUUGCAAUUCUCAUGUGAACCUCUUUAGCUCCAGCCUCCUUAAGCAACCUAACAAUUUUCGAUGAAGUUGUUCCUCUCACUAUCGAAUCAUCCACAACCACAACUCUCUUUCCCUCCAACACUCCCGUUACAGGAGAGAGCUUAAGCUUGACACCAAAGUCCCUAAUCUUCUGGGAAGGCUCAAUGAAAGUUCUCCCAACAUAGUGUGACCUUAUCAACCCUUGUUGAAAUGGCACCCCGGCUUUCGCAGCGUACCCAAGUGCAGCCACCACUCCAGAAUCUGGUACUGCAAUCACAACAUCACACUCAACAGGAGCCUGGGUAGCAAGUACUUCCCCAAAAUGAUACCUCGACUCAUAAACAGACCUUCCAAAAACAACAGAAUUAGGCAAAGCAAAAUAAAUAUGCUCAAAGAUGAACUGCUUAGGUUCAGGGUGAGGCAUCAAACAAAGUGAUUGAACCCCAUCUUUAUCCACCAUCAAAACUUCACCGGGAUAUACCUCUCUCUCGUAUGUGGCCUCAAUCAAAUAGUGCACAAGUCUCUGACGCAAAAACCACAGCACCAUUACUCCUCCUACCCAUCACCAACGGCCUAAACCCGUACGGGUCACGAACCACAACAAGCGUAUCCUCAGUAACAAACACCAUUGAAUAAGCACCCUCAAGCUUCUCACAAGCAUCCACAAUCCUCAAAAAGAACGGCCUAGCUUUUGAUAUCGCAAUCAAAUAGAGAACAACCUCAGUAUCAGAACUAUUAUUAAAAAUGGAACCAUUAUCUCAAGCUUAGCCCUCAAAGUAUUAUAAUUAACUAAAUUCCCAUUAUGUGCAACACCAACAGAACCAAACCUGUACCCAGCAACAAAAGGCUGCACAAUCUUAAGCAUAGAACUACCCGCAGUCGAAUAUCUAACAUGACCAAGAGCGUGCAGCGCCAAAUAACACAAACGCGAGGCCUCUGGGUCACCGUAGAUGCCCACAACACCGCACUCCUCACGGGGCUUAUCGUCGUCAUCAUCAUCAAAACUGCCAAAAUUGUCAUCUGGGUAUUCUUUUUUGUGGUGACAAACUCAUUGAUGGGGUUUUUUGAUAGAACAGUGAAGUUAUUUUUGUGGGUUAAAGAUUGUUGUUUCUGAGGAAAAAAAAGGGUUUUUUUUUGCAGGGUUUUGGAGAAAAUAGAAUGAUAGAUUUUUUGCGUCGGCCUAUGAUUAGCAGAGGGAGAUGGGUUUGAGAGAGGGCAGAUAUUGGCGGUGCUUGUGGUUGUGGCUGCCGUGAAUGGCUAAUUUUAUUUUAUUUUUUUCGGUUGCUUUGCUCAAAGAAAAAACAGAGGAGGUGUGUGGAGGGAGACAGUGGCGAAGGGUACUUUAAGUAGAGGGGAACUUGUGAGGGAAUCUGAUGCUGUGUUGUGCGUAUGAUUCAAUUACUUACUCAUAGCAAGAGGUGGUCAAUGGGCCGUGCCGUGCCGAGUUAGGUCCAUUAAAGGAGACUUCACGCGUACUCGUGCUCGUAUCGUGUCGUGUUCAUUAUGCGUUUCGUGCCAUAUCGUACUGUGCUUAAUUUUUUUUUGCUUAUGCCGGCCCGACACACGUGCCGUGCCGUGCCGUGGAAAAAAAAACUCAUUAAAUUUUUUUUUUUAAUAUUUUUAAGAGCGCAUGUCAAGUUGUUAUUUUUGUUUAAGCCUAUGUAUUUUUUUUGAAUCCAUGUGCCUUUAUUCAAAUUUACUAGAAUCAAAAAUUCAAAACUAAGUCCAUAUUCAAUAAUAAUAAAUUAAUAAUAAUAAGAUAAUGUAAUAUAAGUUACUAAGUUUGACUCUAUGGUAUUAAAAUUCCUUUUAGUACUUAACAACAAUAAUAAAAAUAAUUUUUUAAGAGUUAACUUAAUUUUUAAUUUAGAAUUACGUAGCAUAAUAUAUCAUAGUUUAUAAUAAUAUUAAUACAUAUUUAUAAAAUCAUAAUAUUUAUAAUUUUAUAUUAAAAAAUGAAACGUGUUUAUUGCGUGUUUUUUCGCGUGCUGUGCUUUGGCCCGUCUUUAAUCGUGUCGUGCUUUUAAAGCCCACGUGCCUAAAAUUCUAAGCCUGGCCCAGCCCACGUGCGUGACGUGCCGUGCCGCGUGCUCUACCGAAACGUGCUCGAGUCGUGCCAUGUUGUACGGACACAUGCCAUGCUGUACGGACACAUGUGCUGUGCAUUGGCCCAUCUUUAAUUGUGUCGUGCUUUUAAGGCCCACAUGCCUAAAAUUCUAAGCCUGGCCCAGCCCACGUACGUGCUGUGCUGUGCUGCGUGCUCUACCGAAACGUGCUCGUGCCAUGCCAUGCUGUACGGACACAUGUCAUGCCCAUAUCGUGCCUUGUGCCGUUCGACCCAUUAGCCACCUCUACUUAUAGGUGAUACUGUUGUGUCACCACAAAAUCUAAUUGGAAAAUUUAGUUGUCAAUUUUUCUCCAAGGGUUAAUUAGGUAGAACAUUCAUGCUGUCGAAUUUUGUUGGAGAUUCUAAAAAUAAUUUCCAAAUAGAGAGAUGGACCAAAAUCAACAAUGUGACACAGAUACUUCAUAUUUUUUUCCUUGUGGGACAUAAAAAUUGAUGCAUGUUCUAAUGCAUUGCUCUGUCAGAAUUAGAAUUAAACUUAGUUUGUGUUCUCCUAUUCCGAAAGCAGAACUUAUACUUACCGUAGGUGAUACUCUAAGAAGUAGAAAUUAAGAACCAUAAUGAAUUUAAUGUUUUUAAUUUGCUAGAAAUCAGGGAUGGUAGAAAUCCCCACAGGGAUGGGUACCCUCAGGGAUUUUUCCCAUUCGGAGAGGGUAUUGGGACAAUUUUUUAUCCAGUUUCUUAUUCGGAAAAGGGACGGAGAUAGUUUUUUACCUAGUUUCUUAUUCGGGGAAGGGACGAGGAAGAGGCAGAAUCCUCAUCCCCUCCCCAUUUCCGCAUUUUAAUUUUUAAAACUAUUAGUAAAUAAAUAAUAAAAUGUAAAUUAUAAACUAUUAAAUAUUAGUAUAAAUAACAAGGGUCAUCCUGUGGUGCCACUGUGGCACCGUGUCAUAAUUUUUUGUCUUUAUUCAGUCAAGUCGUUGGAUGGUUAGUCGUUCAAUCCAACGGUUUAAAUUAAUUAUUGGAGAAAGGCUGCGAGAACUUACAACCUUUGCAGCCGGUUUUGUGUGAUUGUAAUACCAUCCAAUAUUGGGCGUUCGUUUUUAGAACCUUGGAACUACGCCAUUUUGUUUCAGCGAGUUCAUUUGAAAAUCAAUCUGCAGACAGAAAGUGAACACACGAAAUUGGUAUUCCUGGAUCAAAAUUAUUGUUGGAAUUAUAUCUAACGGUUGAUGUGUGCAUGAAUAUGUUUGCGCAGUUGUAGGGAGGCAACGGUGAAAUAAAAAAAAAUCCCGGCAUGUGCAUUCGAAGGAAUUUUUGAUGCUGAAAGUCUAGGCAUAUCGAAUCAUCUGACGUAGUAGGUAAUUCGUUCUUAAACUUGCAAUUUGUUUUAGUUGGAAUAGAUUUAAAAGUCGUUAUUAUGGUUAGUUGAAUAGUUCGCCGAUGAGUUCAGUAAACAGGUGGUAAUAGGGAAAAUUUUCAAUUAAGUAUGUAAACAGGGGUCGUCAAAGAAUGUGAGGUUAAUAAGGAGGACUGAUUUGAAGAAUCUCAAUGCACUAAUCGCCGGAUUGAAGGUGCAAGAGGGACUUAAAAGUGUUCGGCGAUGAAAUGAAAUUUGUUAGUGAGUAAAUUUCUUUUGUAAGUAUCAAUUGGUUAUAUGGGUAAUUGAUGAGGACAUACUUUUACGACAUGUUCUUAUAUUUAAAUUGUUAACUUUUUUUUUUAUCUUCUGGUGACCAAUAAUCACUACUAGAAAAAUUAUCUUUACUGACACUUGAUUUGUGAUAAUUUUUUAAAAAGUAUCAGUAUUUUCAUACAUAUGGACCAUUUUCCGUGUUUAACAUAAAAAUAUCACAAAUUAUUGAUACUAUAGUGUCUGUAACUUAGAUAUAAGAGAUUUCUGACAUUAAGGUAUCAGUAAUAAAAAUAAAAUAAUUCUAAUUAGGUUCCAAAUAGAACUCGAACCGAUGACCUCUAGUACUCAAGCGUUUAAGUUCGAAAAAAAGACCAGGACAUUCAAAACUCAACUUUUCUUGUUCAGAAAAGUAACGACUAAACCAAACAUUUUUUUUUUUAACUUUUCCUGUUUAAUUUAGACAAAUUUUUUUUAAUUUUCUCAUUCCCUCCUAAACUCCACAAAUCUAAAAAACCCUAACUUCACCAAAUUCACAAAAACUCUAAUCUAACAGUGUCGUCUUAUCAACCCCAACUCUUCCUCAGCCACUCCUCUCUUAGGUUUCUCUUACAGUCCAACACAAUCUCUUACUAUCUAACUCAAUUUUUCCCUCCCAAUCUCGCCUCUUUUCAAUCCCUAACCUUAAAUCUUUCUAUUACAAUCCAACAGAAUCUCACACGGUCGUGAAAUUCUAGCCACUUUUUUGCCUAACACCAAUCUUUGUCAUCGAGAAAAAUGAUUUGAGGUGUUUAAUUUAGCUCCAAGAUCGUGGACGGAUGCCUUGGUCAAAGUUAAAGAGCGUUGUUGGAGGUUGUUUAAAGAAGAAGCAGAAGCACCACUUAGGUGAAGCAUUUGUAGAUAUGGGCAUGGUAAUUAAGUAAGGUGAGCAUUAGCUAAAUAAUUAAUAAUUAUUAAAUAUUCUCUACUUAUAUGUGAAUUUAUUAAGAAAUUAAUUUGAUUCUUUUUGUUGAAUUUUAAGUAGGUUUACUAAUUCUUUUAUUUUUAUUCAACUAAUACACGAUUUUGGAAUUCUUUUUUCAGCGUUUUGAUUUGUUGAUAUGUGAAUGGUAAAAGUUGUGUCAGUCAUUCAUAGUUUUUGGAGAUUGGUAUGGUGUCUACAAAGUGUUUGAUGAGAUGCUUGUGAGAGGUCGGUAUUAUUCUGUUUGAGUUGCUUAUAGGCAUUCCUUCACAUUCCUGGAUGCGAUUCUGUCUUUAUCAAGUGAACACACCAUUGAAAAUAUUUUUUUGAGACCUUUUGCAAUCCUUUAUUUCUCCAUAGGUAUAUUGUAUUUUUGAUACCUCACACUAAUACUAGCUUUUGAUGUGAAGGCUCGGCGAGCAUUUCGAGCCCUUAAAGGCAUAAUAAGGCUGCAGGCUCUUAUUCGUGGACAUUUAGUGAGAAGACAAGCAACUGCUACUCUCGGCGCUAUGCUGGGGCUUGUCAAGUUACAGGCACUUGUUCGUGGUAGAAAGGUCAGACAUUCUAAUAUUGGACUUGAAGUGGGGAAAACUUGCACUCCAUUGAUGCUUUUGGUAAUUUCUUGAGAGCUCAUUUGAUAGGGAUUUAACUGCUCUUCUUUUUAUUUAUUUAUUUAUUUUAAAAGAACAUAUUCUUUCUGUGAAGAUUAAUCUUUUAAAUAUAUUUCACUGAUCUCGCUGUUAAUGCAUACUGUUGAAUGUGGAGAUAUUGUCGUUUAUUGUUCAAUAGUAAAGGUCUCGCAUGGAGAGGCUUGAUUACUUGUCUUGCUUUGAUUCCAUGAACAAUGCGGAAUACAGCAUGUCAUGAACUUCCACCCAAAGCGCAGGUGGGGUACAUUGGUGUCAGAGUGAACCUUUUUUAUGGUUAAGCAUUGAAUGGUUGUCCUUGCAGCAACUGUGUACUUGUACAAAUCAAUAUAUACCUUCUUACUUUUCAUCCGUUCCAUUCAUUUAGGAUACAUGCGUCACUUUAUGUAGACAGCCUUCAUCCACAAAUAUACGGAUGGGUUAUUUAUACAUUCCAGACAUUACUAAACUGCCUGAAUUUCUACAUGCCCGGUUCACUUCUAAUUAAUUUCAUUUUUCUUUUAACUGCUCUGUCCUUCAGCAGGGCAAGCCUGUGGAUCCUGUUGAACUUAAUUUGUCUACAUGAUUAUCGAAGCUGUCAGGAAGUUCUUUUUAUCUCUAAGGUAUUCUCGGCAUUAUCAUGCCCAUUUGUCCGAUUAUGAUUUUUCUCUUUAAUGGAUUGAGCUUUAUGUUUAUAUGUCAUAUUAUUUAGGACGAAUGUACAUGGCAGAGCCUGUGGUAUCAAAGACAUUAAGUUCUAAUUUGAAUAUGGCACCCAUUUUAUUUUGUCCGAGGCCUCCAAUUUAACUAAUAACCUGCUGGCAAAUAUGGCAGGAUGUAGUUGCAAUUUUUCUUUUUGAUCUACAACCUUCUUGGUUUUUUUUUUUUAUGUGGGGUAAGUGACUGUUUGUUUUUUGCUUUAGCUUCUUACUUCAUCACCAAUUGUGUUGUCUUUGCAACUGCAAUAUGAUUAUGUGGAGCCAAAUUCGGUCUCAAACGCUGGUCAGCAUUUCACAUCUGAAAACCAGCUCCCCAACCAAAGAAAAUGUCAGACUCAAAAUCUCAGAAGAAGCAUGUUAGUGCUCAAACGCUUGAAGCUGAAACAGACCGACCAAAACGAAGUGUUCGCAGGAACCCUACUGCCAAUGUAGACAGUGUCACAGUGCACUCAACCCCCAAAUUUGAGAGAUCCAAACGAAGUCUGAAGAAAGCUUUAAGCCAUCCAGCAGAUCCAGUGCAUGAAAAUCCACAAAGUGAACUUGAAAAGGUUAAGCGUAGCCUGAGAAAGGUUAAUAAUCCUCUAGUAGAAAAUUCUGCAUUUGUCCAGUCAGAAUUUGAAAUUGAAAAACAAAACCAUAGUUUGGAUAAGUUGCCAACAAGCUCAGUAUGUCAUGAAGGUUUAGAACGAAUCUUGAGAAAUUCAGGUGAGAAGAUGAAGAAAAAGACAACUUUGAAACAAUCCAAACUACCUUAACGUAGAAGCCACGCUAGACCUAGUGGAAAUGAAUGAGAUGUCUGAUGUACCACCCAGUGACCUAGUCGCAGAUGAGUCAAAACCUUGGAUGAAGAGUGGUGCUAAAGACGAGACUAUUCCCAUGACAAAUGGUAAUUUUGAACUAAAGGAGGAUUCAGCAAACAAUGAGAAUAAUAAAUCUAGCAGGAAAGUUGUUGUUCUGACAAAGAAAGAACGUGCAGAGAAUGAGCUACAGAGCAGUCCGUCGCUGCCAAGCUAUAUAGCUGCAACUGAAUCAGCGAAGGCUAAGCUAAGACUACAAGGCUCCUCAAGAUCUAGCGAAGAUGGUGCUGAGAAAAAUAGCGGCAUCGGGCGUCAUUCGCAGUUUUUUCACCUUCAUAUCUGUAAAUUUUUUCACAUUGGCCUUUCCUUUUAAUUUCCCUUUCUAUGAAAUAAACUUUAAUCAGAUUUGAGUUGCCUUAUAAUAUAAACUUUAGUUCUUCUAAAUUUUCUCAUAUUGGCAGUCAAUUUUUUUCGUUUUCCAUGUACUUAUAUGCAGAUUUAAUCAGUGUGUUUGAAGUGUUUCUUCCUCGACUUCACUUGUAUCCAGUCUAUUGAAUAGAGAAGUUGCUGGCGUGAUAACACAACUACACUACUUAUGUUCAAAGAGUGAAAGACAGUCAUCCUUAUCAAUUUAGCUUCUAAAUUUUCUAUAUGUAGCCGCACCUAGUAGACAUUUGAUUGGAUGGUAGAAAUUCUUAUAUAUUGAAUUUGAAUUAUUUAGUUAUGAGAGUAGGAUAUCUCAUAUUUUUGUUAUUGAAGCUUUGGAAUUUGUAAUAUAUACUAAUAAUAUUUAAAUGUGAAAUGAAAGAUUUUGUGAUAUAAAUCAAUUUCUUUUUGUUAUUUUGUGGUGCCUUUUAAUUUUACUAAUAAAUCAAUAGGCAAUGAUCCAAUUCAAUUUUUAUUUUUUAAAAUAAAUUAUGUCAUAAUAUCAGUGAUACUGUAGUAAUAGUAAUCACUGGCACCACUUACAAGUGUCACUAUUUUUCUAACUCCCAGAUUAUUGAUACAAUUAACAAGUGUCAGUGAAAGUAAUUUCUGACACUAUUCUAAAGUCAGUAAAAACCAUUUUUUUAGUAGUGAAUGUAUGGAUGAGAGAUUAGUGUUGAAUUGUUAAUUUGACUGUUGGAAUCAAUUAGGUGGUUGAUGUAGACAUGGAUGUGUUUGUUAUCAAAUCAAGAAUGUUGAUGGGCAUUUAUUGUGUGAAGCCCCUUGAAAUGAGUCUAUGAAUAUGAUUGAUUAACAUUGUAGGGGGUGGCAUGGUUGUUAUAGAUGAGUCUGUUUAUAGAUUGUGAUCUUAUUGUUGUGCUUUUACACAUAGACUGUAAUUCAAUUCGGUAAAAUCAGACUGGUACAGUUCAUUACAAGGACUCAUUUUAUAAUUUCACUGUAGCAAUGAAGAUAGGGGAGGUCGCAAGCAAAAAUGUAGGGACGUAAACAGCUUCAACGAAGAUAUGGAAGGCAAUCGAACAAUAGAACGUAAUAGCCAGUACGGAUUCAUCAGCUAUUUGUAAGUAUCUUUACUAUCCGAAUAAAUAAAUUUUAAAUAUGAGGAGUGGAUUGGAAAUGACUUGAGUUACUUUCAGUGGUGCAAUUGUGCGUAAAAUAAAGGCAACAGAUGCAAACACAAACAUUACAAGAGAGGUGCGUUAAAUAGGAAUAAAAUUAAGUAUACUGCAACAAGAGAGGCAUGGAAAUAAGAUGUAUGUCCGUGUCUUACUAUUAACUACUUUGCAGGUUCGAACGGAAAUAGCGACGUCAUUUAAAAAUUUACCACCGAAGACGAAAUGGAAGUACAAAGUCCGAGUCGAACGAGCCAUCAAAGGGGAAGCGACUAACAAAUAUUUUACGCGAUGUGCACCAGGCAGAUUGGCAGCAGCCGUUACAAAUCCGUCUGAUGAACAAAGAGCAGCUGUAUGUGAAAUGGGUUUAGGGAGCGUGCUUGAGUUGAAUAGUGGUAGGCUGAAAAGGAAGCUUUGUGGUUGGUUGGUAGAUAGGAUUGAUAUAUGUAGGCACGUUCUAGUUUUGAAUGGUAAUGAGGUAGAGCUCAGUGCUAAUAGCUUUGGUCAUAUAAUGGGAUUAACAUAUGGGGGCAUGCCUUUACGAUUAGAUGAUGACAUCAAAGAAGUUAAAUAAUAUGUAGAGAUGUUCAGUGCAUCAUCUAGAGGAAUUAACAUCAAGAAAUUGGAAAAAAUGUUGAGUAAUUCAAUGGCAGCCGAUGAUAGAUUCAAAGUCACAUUCAUGUUGUUUACUCUAUAUAUUGUUCUAUAUCCCCCUGGUGGAGUACACAUAAGUUGUAAUUUCUUAUUUUCUUUGAAAGAUGUCAACUGUAUCCAGAAGAGGAAUUGGGCCAUAUUUUGUUUUCAUAAAUUUAUUGAAGGCAUUACUAGGUACAAGGAAGAGAAAUUGGCAUACAUAGGAGGAAGUCUUUUGUACUUAGAGGUACUAUCGCAUCUUCGAAUGAUAUAAUGUCAAUAUUUUCCUUCACUUUGUUCAGUUGAGUAACCGACUAAUAUUUGCAUUUUUGUUUUUCUUUGUUUCAGAUGCUUUAUUUUCAUUCUAUCGUGUAUGGAAAAGUAUGAAGAGACAAGUCUAUGUGUCCUCUUGACUUGUGGAACGUAGAUAAGAUAAAGCGGUUGAUGAAAUGGAUAGAGAAUAAAGGUGGUUAUAGUAGCGAUGAGGUAAUCUCAUAACACACUCUAAAAGGAAUUGUAAAUUUAUGGGAUUCUGUGAAAGCAAACAAGAUGCUUACGAUGAAAAACACGUGCUCUGCGAAUACCGCUUUUCAAUUUGUCCUUACUUUACAUUUAUUAUAGUUGGAUGUUACGUAUAAAUUUGGUUCAUCACUUUACUUAUAACUUAGUACUUGUAAAAUUGUUUUAGCAGAUACGAAUUUGUGCUGCAGCACUAAUAGGGGCGAACUCAAGGUUAGAUGGAUGCAGUAUGCCCGUGGAAGAAGAUUUUAGAGACUCGGAAGUUAGAUAGAUGACAAUAGCACCGAGAAUGACGAAGAUUAAAUGGGUUAGUCAAUUGGAAAAGGUAGUAGCAAUAUCAAGUGGGCUAUCAGGAUCUGUUAGCAAAUUAAAGAUAGAUGGAUCGUGCCGCAAUAACGAUAAGGGGAAGGACCGGAGUGACGCAGCCAAAGGAGAGGGAGUUUCUACCGACUGUGAGAGUAAGCAAUUGUACAACAGUGCAACAAGUGGCAGUAUGUACAGGAAUAAUGAAAUCGAGGAAAAACAAGUUUGUGAAGAUGCACAACAUAUGGAUUUAAUUGAUGUAGUAGAUUGUGUCAUCGAGACCCAGACGUCCCCAUCAUGUGGUGAAAGCUUGCAUAGUAAUAUAAGGGUUGAGGUUAUCUUUAACUAAUAAAAGUUAAAUAUGAAAUUUGCAUCUUCUUUUUGUUGUUUUUUAUUAACCGGAUGUAAUUUUUGUUUGAUAAUUUUCUAAUUAUUUUGAGGAAAAUAUGUUGCAGGAGCAUGUUGUGAUGCAUAAGUGUUCAGAACCGAAUAAAAGGAAUGAGAAUGUAGUCCAUCCAAAGUCACCACUUAUUCAAAUAUGUGCAGGCAGAACACGUUAUCGGGUUGGACCAUAUCUGAUACGAAGACCUUUGAGUACUAAUGACGAGAUAUUGAUUAACUUCUGCAUGGAUGAAAAUUUGAAUAAAGGGUAACGUAUUAGUUAUGUUGUUGAACUAAUACUGGCAUGCAUAUAAAAAGUUAUUUGAUUGUGUUCGAGCUUCGAAUAAACGAAUUUAAUUGUAGGAAAUCAAUAAUUGUGGCUAAAUUGUCUCGAUGAUAGAAUUUGCAUUCCAGGAAAAUAGUUUUUAAGACGAGCUUCAAUUGCAUCACCAGACAUGAUAUUAUGUCUCUAUCUCCUAAAAGUACAAUCAAUGUGAAGGUACAACCACCUUCUGUCAAGUGCUGUACUUGUGUGAAUAGUAUAUAUUUAUAAUGAUUGCUCUUAGAAUUUACUUUGUUUUAAAGUUUUUGUUAAUUUUUUAUAUGUUGAAUGAAGUCGAUACCUCUUACAUGAAAGAGUUAAUACUUGCACUUUUCAGAUUGUUUCUGCUGUCUCGAAAUUGUUAUUUGCGAAAGCGAUUGAAACGUUGGAAACAAUCAUUUUAGCCUUUUUCUGGCAGCGUAUUCUGCUGUAAGGCGUUUCUGUUAUAUUAUAAUCUUGGAAUUUUAUCCCCUAAGGGACAACUUAACAUAUAAUUUCGUGUGUUCACUGAGUGUGGUGCAUCUGUUUACAUAUGCAUGUCAGUUGAGAAAUUGUGCUUGCAAUUACAUUUACAAGUUUAAACGAAAUUUGGUUUUCAAGUUUGGCAACCCACUAUUUCCAUUGCCUGGAAUUUUUUGUUGGGCUGUGAUAGCGUUGAUGUCCUAGAAAUUGUACAGUUGCAAGAUAACGUCAGUGGAGACCCCGCAGACCUCACUUUUGGUAUUAAACAAUUUAUCAAUGGUGAUUUAUACAUGGCGAAUAUUGGUUCGUGUAAGCAAGUAAGCAUUAUUUACUUAAGCAUUUAGUAAACCUCGUUUUUAGUUAAUUUUGAUGUUAUGUGUCAGUUUAUUUCACCCUGAUUUUUCAAUCAUCAAUAUAUUUUUGUCCCUGUGAACCAUGGUUUUACACACUUGUACUUAUUGGUUAUAUUAAUAUACGAAAUGCGGGUGGAGAUAUGGGAUUCAAUGCCCAGUGCAAUGAAGUCACAAAUGUUUGUUGUUGAAUGCAAACGAGCAGUGAGUUAACAAUCUAGAUGCCAAUGGAUGUGUACUUUCUCCAAAAAAUAAAUAAAUAAAUAAAUGAACCACUGUUGUUGUAAAUAAUCCUCCUCUGUUUUAAAAGGAAAUGUCAUGUGUUUCUAGGAUUAUAAACUGCAAUCUACCUAUUGACUGGUGUUCCUACAGCUAAGAUUCAUUGAGAUGGCGUUGCAGUAUUGUGGCUCAAAUUGUUUAUUGGGAAGGUUAAACAUGAGUGAGUUCGUAAUCCAGCUUUGUACCAGAAAGGACAGUAUACAUAACGAAUUAGAUUGUGCAAUAUAUGUUAUGUUGAUGAUAGAGAGGUAUAAAAUCUAGUCGUGCCUUUCUGUGGAAGAGGUGCGUCAAUGUUUUAACUAUUCAAUGCUAUAACCCAGGCCGUUCAUAAUAUUUAUAUAUUGGAGCAAUUUUUACCGCCUCCUAAUUAUUGUGUUUGUGCAUUUCAUUCAGAUAAAGUUUGAUUCAGGUAGUGAGAGGGCACGCAUUGUGAUAGAUCUCAUGAGAUACAGUUUCAACUGUUUAAAGGACAAGGUUCGUUUUAAGGCUGAAAAGCAUCGAUGACAUCUUGACCAUGAAGCCCAUUCAAUUUAUGAAGCAAUUGAAAAAAAGCGCUUACUACAGCUUCGGACUGCGAGCCAAAUGGGCCAUGGUCGCCGCCAUUAGCCGGAUUUGCUUUUACGUUCAAUUGUAUAAGUACAUCCAUGCUUUGAAGAAAGAAAAAAAAGUUAGGUUUGACAAUUGUAGUUCUUCAUUUGAAAAGCACAAUCAACCACUCAUAAUCGUGACUGCUAAACAACUCAUGUUUUGUUGCUGGCAUAGAACAAUCAAGUUUCCAUUGUGGAUGCCGCAGUGUCUCACUACUGAAUUUUAUCAUUUAUGAGUUUACAUUGUCGUCAAUUUUUAAUAUGUCUGUCAGCAGCUGUACCUGGAGUAUUAUAUCAGCGAAUGGUGUUAGCUGAAACAACGUCUCCUCUGAACUCUGCAUAUUUUAUGAUACUGAUACUUUGGCCUGGACAAGUUACUAAAAUUUUCAAUUGCCAUGGCCCUGACCCAAAGCUUUUUGUAUUAAUUGAACUCAAGGAUGGAUUGAAGUUACACAAGUUUUGCUUAUUUAUGCUUGGAAUAAGUAUAAACAAUGUUUAUCAACUGCCAUAUUAGUUAACCCCUAACAUAAUCAUGCAACCUCGUCUAAUUUUUUACUUGUCAGUGCCUCUUAAAUAUUCUGUUAAUAACAAAAUAAAUGGAUACAGUGGUUGAGAACAUGUUUCCAUUACGUCCCUAACCUCUAGAUCUUUUUGGAGUAGUGCCAAUGUUCUUUUACAGAUUCCAAAUAUGGGUGUAGUUAGUUGGUGUAGAUGAUGAGGUUGCAAUGCAGUUCGAUAGACUUGCAAAGGCACUUGUGUUUAGACUGGCUGAAAAUUCACUUGUUGUACUAGCUGAAAAUUCAUGGAACCAUGACUCUGAUGUUCCCCUUAAUGGCCCACCAUUUUCUCUUAUUUGCCUCUGUAAAGGUUGCCUCCCUGGUUCAUUGAUCUGAGAUAUUACCUCCGACUUUAAAGUCAAUUGGUGAAUAUCUAUAAUAGCCACAUUGUAUGCGGCCAAACUUGAUCCAGCAAAUCUAAGCAAACUUCGGCAUGCUGCAUAUAUUUGGCCAAUACGAGCCUGCUCUGUCAUGUAAUGUGAUUUAUUAGAACUUAUAUCCAACGAAGUGUGAGCUUUUAUCUUUGCGCCUUUACUCCAUCGAGACAGAAUUAUCGAACUUGGAAUUUCUGUCAUAUUCUGAGCCUUCAACAAAAUAAAUGAAUGCGAGCAUGGAAUUCCAAUUGUCUCUAACAACUUGCAGCUGCACGAUAAGGUUUUGGUGGCCUCAUUUAUCACUACUUUCACCUCUUUUCCAACUAAGCCAAACCGCUCAACUCUGUACGUUGUUGAAAUUAUAUCCCGGUCAACAUUUCUGCAGUUAACAACGCUUCCUUGUCGAUUUCUUCUCGUACGAGGUGAAACAUUUCCCUUGUGAACUUUUCAGCUGCUUACUGCUCAUACAUCUUCAAAUGUGUAACCAAUACAUGACGUCCAUCAAAACUAUGAAAGUCAUCAUUCCCCUCUCCUUCCCUUUGCCGAUCCAUUAGUUGGUCCAUCUGUUUAACAAAUUCUGUCAAUCGGAGCCUUCUAUUCACGUAAUGGUUUAGAUACGCAUUCAUUCCUUCCAACCUCUGAGUGCUUCUCAUUCCCCCAAAAAACUUUCCAUGCAAAUAAGUCUCAGCCCACAUAUGUCUAUCCUUAAACAUAUUUACAACCCAUUCAUUUGUGGCAACAUUAUGCUUAUCCACCAUUAAUUUCCAUUUUUGGUCAAAUUCUUCUUUUGUGUAAGCGUUCAUCAUACAGCAGCAAAAUUCGGUUGUAAAUUCAGGGUUUUUAACAUUUGUUUGAGCAUUUCAGACCAAAUGCCAGUAACACAACCUGUGAAAAGCUUCUGGAAAUGUCUUCCUUAUUGUAUUUCGCAUUACUUUAUCCCCAUCGGUUACAACUGUCCUCGGAUGCUUGUUGUUCAUUGCUAUCAUUAAUAUCUCUAACAACAACCAUGUGUACGUGUGUUCUGUCUCAUCUGAAAAUAGAGCAAACCCGAAUACAAUUAUUCGCCGAUGGUGAUUUAUCCCCAAAAUAACCACGAGAGGCUUACGAUAUGCAUUGGUCUUGUAAGUUGUAUAGAAUGCAAUAACAUCACCAAAUAAUGCAUAAUCUGUGCAUGAUCCGUCGUCACACCAAAACAAGUCCCCAAGUCGAUUGGAACUAGUGAUUGUGAAGUCAUAAAAGAAUGAUGGAUUCGAGCUUUUUCUUCCAUCGAAAUAUAAUAGGCACGUCUUAGCAUCUGAUUCUUUCAACGAUGCAUGCCUCUUCGUAACCAGCCUAUUUUCAACAUCCCUCCUGCUAUACCCAACCUUGUCGUAACCCCCUGAUCUGUCAACCAUAAACUCGUGUAUUUGAGAUGGCUUCACUCCCACUUUGUGUAAUGAUAAAACAGCCGACAAGUCGGGACCAGUCACUCCUCUGUGGGACCUAAUGUGGUGCACUAGCUCAGGCGGUGUUAAAUUGUGAUUGUGCACUCUAUGAAAAAAACUACAUGCCCAUCGGCGAGUAUAUUCAUUGUAAAUAAGUCGAAAUUGUGCUCUACGUCCCGUCCUUGUCACAGCUUUGGCCUCUCGCCCUCUGCAUCUAUUUUCCAUGUGCUUUGCAGCCCUGAAUCCCUGUCGGCUGCAAAUCCACGUUCUGCCGAUGAUAUUCCCCUUCACAUUUCUCCGUUUAUUGUGUUUCCGAAUGCCGAAGCCAACUGUCCUUGCAUAUUCUUGGUAGCAUAUGCCAACCUAUUCUUCACUUGUGAAUUCUUUUGCUAACAUUUCCAGAAGCACAUUCUCUACCUCACUACGAUCAUCGGCACACUGCUGUUAGUGAGUAUCAGUCUCCAAGUGACCACUUCCUCCACGGUUGUCACCUUGGAUGUUCAACUGGUGUUCAGUCACGAUUUCUGCCCCUUCACUAUCUGUCUCCGCUCCAUUGUGAGUCAAUGCAUCUGAGCUUCGUUCAUCGUCAGAAGUUAUAUUAAUCUGGUACUGGAAAUCAUCUCCGUCAUAUAAUCUUUUAUCUGAAUCAAUCAUUGUGCUCAUAGGUUCACCAUCAGAUAACGUCAAAUUUCAAGUGGUUAAGACUUCUUUUUCCUCUGUUAAUAUUUUUUUUGUUGCAAGUUUUUUCUUCUCCUUUCAGUACCUUUUACAAAACUUCUUUCACUAGCGUAGGCGGCACAAAGAAGCUUCAAGUUGGUGCCUCUUCCCGCGUCUAAGAUUUUUUAAAAGUUUUAUGCUUAUUCACUUAGCACACACCAGCACUUGAGCCCCGUCCCCCGGCCACCAGGACACUUUAUAGAAUUCCCUAACAAAUUAAUAAACUGUACCAGUUUAUUUAGUUGUUAUGUGGCCUAAUAUGACAUAUGUUUGCAUUACUAAUCCAAGGCGUUGUAUAAAGACUUGCUUGCCACUUAUUAAUUGAUGGCAAUUGAUUUAGUAAUUGUUUACGGAUCUUUAAAGCUUCAUCAAGAUAUUGCACAUUGUCACGGCACCAUGUUCAUUUACCAUGUUGUAACACCAUCCAUUUUUUGUUUCAUCUACUAGAUUUCCAACUCCUUAUAUUCGCUAUAAAACCACAAGUAUGGACACAUUAUAUUUUUGCGUGAGUUACAAAUAUAUUUUACACUCCGUUACUCUUACAAUUCAAGUUGCAAUAAGUAAAAUUACAUUUUCGCUAUGUUUGACUAUGCAAAACCCGUUUGAGAUCGGUGUAGCAAAUAUCAAUAUUUGCUCGGAAGUUAGAAAGCAACUACCUUUCUGUUUCAGCUAUUAUCAAUCAUAUUACUCCCUCAAAAAGAUAUGGGUCAUAACAUAUAAUUCUGUUUUACCUUAUUGACGACAUGUAUGCGACCAAAUGAUCGGUCACCAAAGUUAUAAUAUACAUUAAUUGAUGGUCUCAAAUCAAAACCAGUAUAGAAUAGAACUAUAAGAUAGUGGUCAAUUACCAUCGCAAGCAAUCGACAUUUCAGAGGGGAACGUAAGUAAAACAAACUUUAUGUGCAAUCAUCUAUGGCAUCUAUGUGUUUGUAAUUCUUAUAUACUAAAUAUUCAUAGUUAAGGAAAUGCAAUGCUUAAAUCACUCGUAACACAAUUAAUUGAACUUAUUCAUAUAAUGCAUGGUUGAGCAUGAUAAACAUAUUGAUUGAUGUUUUUUUCCCAGAUAUGGGCAUCUGUGAUGAAAAUCCUAAUGCUAAAACUGUGAACUGCAAAAGAAUAUCAAUUAACCAUAACAAUUCAAUAGCAAAUGGAAGUUAUAAUCACACCAACAAUCUUCGCUCAAAGCAAAGGCUGACUUCAGCCACAAUUUCCCACUAUUCACCCACCAUCCUUUGUUACACCAAAGCAUAACAUAACACACAGAAACAUACCCUCAUAUAUGGAAGAAAAUUUCACUUACGUUCCAACCUCUUCGUAAUCGUUGCAGUUUCCGUUUGAGGGACAUGACUCUUGUUUUCGGGAUGGAUUCCUUACACCUAACAAUCAUCGUUUCCAACACUUUACUAUGCUCCAACAAGUAUUCCAACAACUGUACUUCCUCUUCAUCUCCCGUUAGCCCCCUAACGUCAAUUCUCUUUACCUGUUUUACCAAACAGUCGGGCACAUUUUCUAUUUGAAGCCAUCCAAAAUCUUCUUCGGUCACUUCAAACCAGCAUUCCUAUGAAGGAUAAAAGUAAAAUAUGAUAUCAUAAACCCAUGGCGAAAAUUAAGAAGAAUAGUUGAACGCCAUCAACGAUCACAACACCCUCACCUUGUGUAAGACAAGAGUUUUUAAGAUCGGUGAACUACUUAGGAUGAUGGGCAUAAUUCGCCAUCCAAAUAGUCCAACUGUCACUUCAAACUCUGUCAAAUUAGGCAAGGAGGGCUUGAAACUCUCGUAACACAAAUCCAGGGCUUGUUAACAUAGAACAGAACUUUUGGUGUUAGAUUUAUUAAUGAACCGUUAUAUAUUACUAGCGUUUAUCAGCAGUGGCCCUUAUUGUGCCAACUAGAAAUUGUUAACUUUUUUUCCCACUUGGAUAAUAACAGAUACAAACUGCUUUACCCAGCUACAACGAGCAUAUUAUCCUGUCUUAAUGCUUGGUAUCAGAAAGACAGAGAUUGCGAUAUCAAUCAUAUGGUUAUAUCAAUACACAUCAUAGGUCUUGUAGUGCACUAUAUUGGGCAUACUUACAGACACGAUGCCAGCAGAUACAGUCAGAGACUUAGUUGCAGUCACACCCUCUAGAAGCCAUACCACAUGGUUCGGAUCUCCUUGUGCCCAUUCCCUAUACAAAAUUUCCAAUUUAACUUCGUUCACGGAAUGUACACAGUGCAACUUAAACUCUCCCAACACGUCAGCAGUAAUACGGAGACAUUGCAGAUUUGGCGUUGUAAUGAUCACUGUGUAGUCAAUGUAAGUAAAAACAAAAUCCUCUAGUGCUACAGUAAAGGCAAACUUCUUCAGUGUGGACGAUGAAAUGAUGAAGUUUGGUAUGUCCCCGUCAUGUUUCAAAAUAGCCUUAAUACACAGAUCUUCUAUUUACUAAUUUUAUUUCAACCUUAGCAAACCUAGCCAUUCACCUCUUCCCAACCAAGGCAUUUCGAACACCCCAUCUUCGAAAUCCACUACAAAAUCGUAUUCACAGACGUGAAGCCUACAUAUGCAUACCAAACGAAUCUCAGAUUUUAUUUAAAUCAACAUGCAUGCAAUAAUAUCUCGAUAAUCUUCCAGUGCCUGCAAAAAUGCCAGAUUUAUAAUACCAACAAGGCCAACUUCAAUAAUCUAGACAUCAAUAGAAUAUAAUAGCAGAAAUCGACAGUAAUAUUUUUCUUAAAUGCGUCACGGCAAAAUCAAAAUCACGAGCACUAAAAUACACAAAUUCAUUUACGAUUUAAGAAAGAAUCUUUACCCUUCCUUACCUAAUGAAAUUUCGGAUAAUUUCCCUCUCUCGUAAAAGUCAGAUUUGAGAUUCAAAUCUGUAUCACAUCUUAUUCUCGUAUUUAUGUUUCCAUGGACUUCAAGAGCUUCAUUAGACAACCGGUUUAAACGAUUGUUGUUAGUAACUACGUCCGCUCUCCAAAUUUUUAUUUAAACUGUUGGAUUGAACAAACUUAUAUCCAAUGGCUUGACUAAAUAAAGACAAAAAUUAUGGCAUGGUACCACAGUGGCAUCGCAGGCAAGGCCAAAUAACAAAUAUUAAAAUGAUUAUAUUAUUAAACUUUUGGGCUUAAUUGACUAUAUUCAUAUUUGGACGAGAAAGUUAUGCCACGAAUGGAAGAAUUUAAUAUUUUGAGUUGGUGCAAAACAAAUGCGCAUAAGUCUCCUAUAUUGGCACGAAUUGUUAGAGAUAUUUUAGCAAUUCCAAUUCCAAUUGUUGCUUUUGAAUCAACUUUUAGCAUUAGUGGUCGAGUACCGUAAUAGGCUUCAUUUAAGCACAUUGGAGGCUUUAAUGUGUUGUCAAGGUUGGCUGAGAGCUUACAAUGGUAGUAAAAAUUUAUUUUAUAUUGUAAUUAUGUUAUAUAAUUAUUAAUAUUUUCACUUAUAAGUUACAUUACUUAUAAUUUCAUUUUUUUAUUGUAGGAUUAUGAAGAUAAUUAUUAUAGUAAUUUGUAUUUUGUAAUGGAUUAAUGUUAAUAUAAGAUAUAUCAUCAAACUUUAUUUUUAUUUAAUUUUUUAUUUUAAUAUGGUUAAAUUAAAAUCGAAAACUAAAAAUGUAUCAGUUAUUCGGAUAUCGGGGACUCUCGGGGAUCCUCUAUUAUUAUUCAAGGAGGGGAUGGGGAGGAAACGGGGACAUAUGCAGAAUAUCGGGGAUGGGUAUGAGGAGGUCGGUCUCCUCCCCUUCCCUCCCCAUUGCCAUCCCUACUAGAAAUAUUGCAAUCCAAAACUAAGAAAGUUAAAACCAAUUAUUGGAAGAAAAAAGUAAGACGGAAGCUCCCAUAAUAUUGUUAUGUGUUGUUUGUUUUUAGUGUGUAUUUCUCAAUCAAUAAUGAAAAAGUAAGUACACAUGUUACAAAAAUUUAAUAAAGAAGAUUGGAGGUGACUAAAUCUUCUAAUUAACUUUCUCUCCUUUGGAAUUUCCUUAAUUUGGUAGAGAUCGCUUAAGUGGUGUAUCUAUUAUAAAUACUCCGAUGUGGAAGUUAAUGUUUUAAUUGUUAAGAAAAGUUAGAAGAAGAAAUUUUUGUACAAAAGAAUCUGGUUUAAAUUUGGAAUUCUUUAGCUGGAAAUGAGUCUAAAUUCUAACGAUACAAUUUAGCACUAAAUAUUAGUUGGGUGAAAAAUUAAUUUCGCUCCUUUGAUGUGAUUUUGGUCGUUUAUUUUCAAAUUAGGGUAAUUUUUUGUUUAGAGUGUAGCUAUUGGCUCCCCGUCAUUAUGCUUAUAUAAUCCUACUUCAAAUAAAAUUACACUUAAGAACAAUAGAAUUAAAUAAAUAUAGUUUUUUUUUCAAAACAAAUUACUUACAUUCGUAAUCAUUUUUCUUUUAAUUUUUUAUAUGUUGCUUCAUAUCUAACUAAAAUAAUUGUACAAAUUAAAAAAAAUCUUUAUUCAUUCCAAAUUUCUUAUUGAUUAAAUAUUUUUGUACUUAGGAUUGCUUUAAAAUUAUAAUGUAAAAAAAUUUAAUUUAAUCUAGUGAUUAAAAUUUAUCACCUAAAAACAUUUUUAAUUUAUGUGUAGGAAAAUAAUAAGAUUGCAAAAGACAAGAAAAAUAGUACAACACUACUCUGAGUUUUAAAAAUAAAAAAAUCAAAUGAAAAAUUAGAAGUGUAUUUAAAAAAAAAGAAUAUUUUUAGAAAUAAAAUAAAUGUACUUAAAAAAAAAAAAGAGAUUUCAUGAUGAUAUUAGAUGGGUACCAAUAGUCAAAUUCUUUUGUUUAAAGUUUUAAGAUGUUGGUAUUUGUAACUUAGCCUAUCCCUAAUUAUUCUAUUAAAAUGUAUAAACAACGAUGAUCAACCCUAAUUUCAUGGAGGUCAAAGAUUUUGGUCACGCUCGCGUGAAUUACUUGGGACGUACUUUAUGUAAAUUUAUUUACAUUAAAUAAUUGGGCCAACGCUAUAUGAGGCGCCGCCUGGAGGCAUAGAAUUUUAUAUGUCAAAAGUGCGUUUCGCUUCGAUUAAGCCAUGAAUGUCGCUUAGUAUACUCAUUUUGUAUUAAAAAAGUUUUAUUAAUUUUUUAUUUAUAAAAAUGUGGUUUAUUUAUUUAUUUUUUAAAUUUUUUUAAAGAUAAAGGGAUGGGUAAAAUACAAAUUCAAUUUUUAUCCCUUACAUUCUGUCUCCUAAGAUUUAAACUUAGGUUACCAACCAAAUGCGUAAUAAUAGGUAUCUCAAAUUUCAUUUCAAAUGAUAUGUAAUUAAUUAAGUGACUGUUAAUUCUUUACAAGAUUUAAAUAAAUUACUUAUAUUAUCUUAUCAACCAAUUGAUAAAUGUCACGUUAUGAAAGGUCUUUGGAAGGAAAUUCUACUCAGCAAAUAUUGCCCUUCAAUGUGUUAUAUGUAUUAUUUACUCCAAACUUACUCGUCAAAACAAUAAAUAAUAUUAUUGCCAAAAUUACUUGUAAUAUCACUUAAAUGCAACAAUAAAUCAUAAAUGAGAUAAAUCACUAAACCCUUCAAUAGAAUAUUUUAAAGCCAAAAAAAGGCAUCGAUUCAUUAUGGUUCAGAUGAUUUCAAGCCAUAUGUCCUUGUUGGGAUAAAAAUAAAGUAAAAUGGUUAAAACUAUUUUUACGUAAUUUAUAAAAAUUAAUGAAGCAAUUAAAAUUUUUUUAACUCGAAAAAAAAUUAAAAUGUGUAUGGAAAAAAGAAAAAAGAAGACACUUAAAUAUCUUUUUAAAGAACAUGAUUAAGUAAAAUCAUUUUAAAGAAUGGUCUUCCAAAUGCAAUUCCACAUUUUUUUAAUUGCAUUGGGAUAUUGCAAAAUUGGCACAACUCAUUAAGAAUUCGCAGUUCAAUUUUUAUUUAUCUCUCUAUGCAUUUGACAAAUUAAAAAAAAAUCCAUAUAUCUUCUAUUCAAAAGAAACCUUGUUAAAUACUGUAAAACACAUUACUAAUUUUUUUUUUCAUUUAUGUCAUUAUAUCGUCACUAUUUUCUCGCCCACUUUCUGAAAAUAGAAUCAAUAUUUGUUGUAGGGAUGGCAAAAAUCCCCACGGGGACGGGUACCCUCGGGGAUUUUCCCCAUUCGGGGAGGGUACGGGGAUAAUUUUAUACCCAAUUUUUUAUUCGGGGAGGGGACGGGGAAAAUUUUUUACCCAAUUUUUUANNNNNNNNNNNNNNNNNNNNNNNNNNNNNNNNNNNNNNNNNNNNNNNNNNNNNNNNNNNNNNNNNNNNNNNNNNNNNNNNNNNNNNNNNNNNNNNNNNNNNNNNNNNNNNNNNNNNNNNNNNNNNNNNNNNNNNNNNNNNNNNNNNNNNNNNNNNNNNNNNNNNNNNNNNNNNNNNNNNNNNNNNNNNNNNNNNNNNNNNNNNNNNNNNNNNNNNNNNNNNNNNNNNNNNNNNNNNNNNNNNNNNNNNNNNNNNNNNNNNNNNNNNNNUUUGAAAUCUGAGGCUAUCUCUCAAUUUGCCACAUUUCUCGAGGAAGAACAUGAGGAGUAGGAGGUAAAUAGUUUUGUUAAAAAUAUUAAUUAAGUAUCUACAUUUAUUUUAUUGCCGAUAUAAAAAUAAUUUUUUUUCUUUUUAUUGUAGGAUUAUGAAGAUUGAGUCAUUGACAAAGAUAAUUAUUUUAAUAAUUUAUAUUUUGAAUGUGACUUUGAAAUGGAUCAAUAUUAAUGCAAGAUAUAUUUUAAACUUUAUUUUUAUCUGAAUUUUUUAUUUUAAUAUGAUUAAUUUAAAAUCAAAAAUUAAAAAAAAAUGUAUUAGACUAUUAAUUAUUCGGGGACCGGGGACCCUCGGGGAUCCCCUGUUAUUAUUCGGGGAGGGGAUGGGGAUUCACUUAAGCAAUUCUGACGGGGACGGGGACAUAACAAAAUAUCGGGGAUGGGUAUGGGGAGAUUGGUCCCCUCCCCUCCCCUCCCCAUUGCCAUCCCUAAUUUGUUGAUGGGUUAGGUUCCAAAGUAAGCACCAAUUCAACAAAAUGGUUUUAUAGCAGAAAAAGCACUUGUAAGACAUUCAAAGCACUUUUUUCCAUUUUGUCUUUUGAAAAUGAGUCUGGAGUCUCCGCAAGCCAAGAAGAAUGGCUAACAAAUGUAUGGUACCAAAGAAAGAGAAACACACACACACACACAGAUUAUUGGGGAGAUGUAUAUGUGUGUAUAAUAUAUUAAUAUGUAUAUAUAUCCCCAUUAAUUGUUGAUAGUCCAAUGGGUAAAAGGAAAAAAUUGGCCGUCCUUUAAGACAAAAUUCAUUGUCAUAUGAAAAUGUUAACCACACAACAAAAAUAAAGAUUCCAAGAACAAAUUUGUGGUCCCCCUUUUGUCCAAACUUACAUGAUAGAAAUUAAUGUUUAAAUGACAGUUGAAAAAUGUAGAUCCUCACGCAAUUGAUUAAAUAUUUAUAGUAGGAUGGAGUGAUAAAUAGUUUCACAAAAUUAUUGGAAUUAACUAUUUAAUACAUGAGAUUUAUCUCAUUAAGGAUAAAAGAUUAAGAUGCUACUUCAAAAGCAUAACGUUGCCAACAAUAAAUUUAACACAAAAGUUUAAUUAACUUUCUUAGUUGAGAUAAUAAAAUUUCGUGUUGAAAAUAAAAGGUUUGAGGUUCGAACCUUGUCAUUCAAGAAAAUCAAGUCAAAAUUAUUACAUCUUCCAGCACAUACCAAAGAUUUUUUUCAAAGGCAGACUGAUAAUUCAGGAUUAAAAAAAAACAAAAGGAAUAUAUGCUAUUCAAGACAGGUAUACCUUGAUUCUCAAAAAAAAAAAGACAGGUAUACCUUGGACAUGAAGUCUGAGUCCAGAACAAGAAGCACCUAGCUGAUCUUUCAAUUUCCAAAACCGAACGAAAUCUUUGUCAAAAUAUCUGAUCUAGUCUCAUAUUAAGCACAUUCACAGCCGUAUCAACAGGGUCAAAAUAUUUUCCCCAAAAAGAGACACAGAUUCCCCUGAAGUUGAGUUGUGACUGUCCAAACUGCUAUAAUUAUAUGGUUCAGGAUACCAUGCCUGUGAAUCCUUUUUUUUUUUUCAUGUUUCUAAGUCUAUCAAAUGAAAAUGUAACUAUAUGGUUCAGGUUACCAGUAUGCCAAAGCUGCAAAGGUUGACUUCCACUAUCCUAUCAGGGCCUAUACUUUCUAUUGAAUUUCCUUUUUUUUUUUUAAAUUGCAAGAUUUAUUUUUGGAAAUCUUUGACAUUGAUUCUCAGUAGCAACUUUUUUUUUCUUUUUUCUUCUUUUUAAAAAAGGAAGCCAUAUAGAUAAUGCUUUAAACAUUAUUUGCAACAAGGAACGAUUAUUUCAUGCUUUCAGGUAUUACAAGCUUUCCAGAAAUGCUAGCAAGAAAAUAUGAAGGAACUUUACCUAGUCACAGAAUAUGUACUGCCUUUAGCACAAUUGUUAUGAAGUGGAUUCUGCAUCAGAAGAUUCUAGCUCCCACCAAGCAUCCUUAUCUUCCUUCUGGAUACAGUCUGCAUCGCUGGGCAUGAAUUAUAUGAUUGAUGUCUGCAUCCUCACUUACAUCAUCCCAAUCAAGCGCUUUUUCUCUACCUCUGAAUUAUAAGCCCACUUCAAUCUCUUCAAAACAUCCUGGUCCUUCCAUCACAGCUGAUACGUCUUCCUUCCUUGCUUCCCCAUUAAUGAAUCCCUCUAAGAAAAACAAACAUCAGCAAUUCUCUUCAACGUCCCAUCAUUCAUAUACCCUGCAACACCCGUCUUUAGACACCUCAACGUCGCCUCCUGCAAAACCUCCACAAAAUCUGAAUCAUCCGACACAAACACCAAACACCCAAACCUUCUUUUGUCCAUCAUAUCCACCAUAUAAUUCCUCAACAAAACAUCGGCAGCUUGUAGCUUAUCUGACAUUGUCCUGACCCAAAACCACACUCUUUUCAACUUUACUACCAAACUAUAACCCACUUUUGGAGUCAAAGUUGCCUUUGAAGCCAUUUUAUAUGUUUCCAUCCUCAUUGAAUAGUUGCCAACCAAAUGCUCUCUCAUCUUCCCUUUGGCUGAUUCUAUUUGAUUUAACCUCUUCUUUUGUUCACGCUUAUGAAUUUGCUUAAAAUGAUUAACAAGCUUGUCAUUAUUAUAAAGUCUCAAGUCUCCUUCCACAAUCACCAAUACAUAUGGCUCAGCAGGCCUAAUUACACCCUUGAUUUCCAAUUGGUUAAACAAUUCUUUAAUUUUCUUCUCUUUGCUCUCUUGCAACUCGAGGCACAUAACUAAACGCUAGGCUAUUAGCAUGUGCCACCAUGUACUUAACAACCCUAAAUGACGAUAUUGAUUUUUUUCAAUUUAAUGGUCGCUUCACAAUGGGGUAUUAAUUUAGAUUUUGUUAUCCAAAUAUCAAAGAAUUCCUACAUUGUGUUGGACAGUUUCUGGUUCUAAAGUUGAUGACCGGUCUUGCCAAUUAGGCUCCGAAUGAGACUUCUAAACAAUAAGACAAAUGGGUUCUGGGUUUCUAAUCUUGUAAACUUUGUUCUACUGUAUAACUUAUGAAAUUGCUGAAACAUCACUAUAGCUACAGGCCUUUAUGUGUCAAUGAACUACAGAAGCUAAUGAUCUACCUGUAGUAGACUUCUAUUAUCCCUGCCAUUCCAGGAAGACAAAUAAGUUGAGGAACUACUUCUGGACCAAUAUUGCCACUGCUUUGGGCCAAUCUGAGAGGGAAAGAAGGUUGAAGUUCCUAAAUUAGGUACAUCAUGAUUUGAUAGAAGUACCACUUCGAGGAACAAUUGAUUUCAGGGCAGUGCUAAAAUAUGACAUAAUCUCCCCCCCAAAGGCCUAAAGCAACUUCUCUUAGCGUAUCAAGAAAUGACAUCAACCAAGCAAAAAUAUAUAAACCAGUUGAGAUACAAAGUUAUCAUAAAAUUCAAUUUUGAUCACAAAUCCAUUAAAAUUGUUGAGAUACAAAGUAAUAAGAAAUGGAACAAAGGUGUAAAUCGAACACCAAAAGAAAUUUAUUUGGCCAGCCACAUUAUGUUCCCACACAGUCAACUAAUUAAGUUAAUAAUUAAAGGGAAUCAAAAUCUAAGAAAUCCCAUCUUCAAGCAGGAUGAAGACACACUAGGACCGAGAAUCACAAAAUCAUAACAAGCUGACUUGAAAAGCUCAAAGGUACCUUCAUCAGCCCCUUAACUAAUAUCUGAGAACAAAUGCCUGCAGCUUGUGAAGGCAUAGAUCAUUCAAGCAGAUAAAACAACAAGCAACUAGUCGCAUAUGUACUCAGCAACUUUCUAAAGUUAAGGCAUAAAACAACAACAUAGAACAAAUUAAUUAAAUGUACCAACACUACUACUCUCAUUAUUAUCCAAAUGUAGAAGCCCAAUGCAUCAAACAAGGAAAAUGAGAUAUUGUUAAUAACUCAAAAACCAUGAUGGUCAAGAACUAAACAAUAGUAAACUAACAAGUAAAACCCAUAAUCAAACACAACCACAUCAAAAUUUUUGAAAAUUGAGGUCUAAACAUUGAAAACAAUUAGGCAUAUACAAUAGUUAAUCAAAACAAACCCUCAAAACAAUAAUGAACUGUCAUAAGACAGAAACUAAAGUUUAAACUAACGCAUACCCUGUAACAGUGGUCAACUAACAAGUCAAAACCACAAUCAAACAUAGAAUUUUGAAAUCCAUACGAACCCUAACAUAUUACAAUGAAAGAAUAAGGAUAACUACUUGAUAAACUAGACUCCAACAAAAACAUACCUAGUUAAAAAAUGAAGGUAAAUAAAUAAAAAUUGUAUAAAAUUGCGAAAAAAUAGACAAAAUGAUGAGAAAACAGGGAUCUUAUGAAGAGAAAGGUAGACAAAAUCUUCAGGUGUCGAGAAGAUGCCUUUCUUUGUUGACUUUUGUGCCUGUACAUACUUUUUUUUUUCUUUGAAGAAAAUACUAGUUAUAUAUUAUCAGGACGAAAUAUUACAAGAUGCUAGCAAUUUCAACAGGGACAAUCUUCAAUCCAAAUGUACCCCUAUGAAAAAGAAAAAGCCAACUUGGCUAAUUUGUGAGCCACCACAUCACAAUAUCUAGGUACAUGUUUAACUAUAUAAAUCAGAAGCUCUAUUAAUCAUAAGUCCCUUGACCUCCAAUACUAGCCAACUAAUCUCUUUCCUGCUAGACAAGCUUCCAUCAAUCAGACUAACAAUAUUUACUGAAUCAUAUUCUAAAAUUAAUGGAGUUAGACCCACUUCAAUUGUAAGCUUAAUCUCCUUUAAAAGCGCUUCCGCUUCUGCAAAUUCCACAUCAUUAGAAAAAGACCUUACAUUGAUUGACGCCACCGUGAAUAUGCACGUAACAAGGAAUUUUUAAAAGCCCAAUGAUGAUUUUUUAAAAAUAUGUCAUCACAUGUGCAUUCUUUUAAUGUAUUGUUAAGAUUAAUCUUUGCUUAAAAAAUCAUAAAUAAUCAUGAAUUUUUAUUAAUGGUCUUUACCAAAUGCAUGCACAGAAGCAAAUUAUGUUCUCGUUGCAAAGUAGUCAUUUAUUCACCAUAAAUAUUAACGUCACACUUGUAGGAUGCUCAAUAUAUGCAUAAUAUUGGGUAAUUUUUAAAGACCUCCCCUGAGGUUUGGGGUAUUGACACUUAAAUAGAAAGUAUGUUUGUAAUUACAUAAACCUCCCUUGCCGUUUCUAUUUCCAUCCAAUGACGGUAAGUAGAUCAAUGAAAUGACCAAAAUACCCCCAAGGCCAAAAAGAAAUUCUUAUAGCAACUAGUAGGUCACUGUUUGUUAAUUGGAUGAAAUAUGUAUUGCUCGCAGCACACUGAUGAAAUGAUGAAAAUAACUAUGAUAACCAAAUAUUUGACAUUGCAUACUCAUUAACUAAAAAAUAAUAAUAAAAUAUUGCUGAAAAAUUUUAACAAUUUCUAAACUUCAAUUAAGAAAAUCAUAUUUGCUUCAAGCAAUUCAAAAAUAAAAAUGGCAUUUUUAUCACACAACCCUCGAUUAGUAACAUUUUUUUUUAUAGUCCCAUUGAGAUUAUAAAAUCAACAGAACAUGCAAGAAGAAAAUAUACAUAUUUAUGGUUGAAACUACAAACACAAAAAUAUACCAGGUGAAAAAAAAUUUGAUUUCAAAACCAAUCAAAGAGCUUCUUUGGUCUUAGUAGUGCUCCUAGUUGCACAAUAUUUUGCAGCCAGUUCCUUUGCCUUAAGAAAUUCUUGUCCAUCUAGUUUCAAUCAUUGCCCUUUUCUCUUCUACUUCAUUGUUAAGUAAGAAUGUAAGAUCUAUCUUAUUUUUUCGUUUUUCAAGUAUAAUUCUACCUUCUUCCUCUCUAAUCAUUCAUGUCAAUUAUUGAAUAUGCUGAAGAUGAAUCGAAUUAUUUAUUAAAUAUGUGACAUUAGCAGAGAGCACACUAAAAUGCCAAAACCUAAAGGACUUGUGGUUGUGGGGGAUUUUUUUUCAAAGAAAAUAAGCAACUGAAAUUGAACUUAUAUUAUGGGCAAAACAAGAGAGUUGAAUAUGCAUUAACACAUAAAUAAGUAUUGCAUUUGAGGAUGAUGAAGAGCUUCAUAAUGUUGUUUCUAUGCAAAAUUUAUUUUGAUUAAACAUAUCAUAGCUAAGCCUGUAUUUCAUUUUUAAUCAUUUCAUAACAAGAUGAAAUCCUAAGCAAUUACUUGGAAAGAACAAUAAUCAAUAGUUUUUAAAUGAGAAAGAAGACUCAAAAUUUAUGAAAUUUAGAGUAAACAUGAGCUACAUACAAAAAGUCACAAUAUGUAGGUAUUCACAACCAGUGAACACUAAUCAAGUUAUAGUUAGAUACACAAGGUGAAACGUUAUAUGAAAAAGUAACAUUUGAAACCCAUUUAAAUUGUAUUUGCGAUUAAACCCAUCUAAAUCUUAAAUUGUAAUCACAAAUAUAAUCCUAAAAAUUAAUUUAAUUUUUAAAAAAUCUCAAUUUUUUUUCAUUUCAAUUUUAUUAUAAAUGGAAUUGAAUUUGCGAUUACAAAGCUAAAACCCAUUUUUGUUUAACAUAAAAAUCACAGAAAACAACUAAUUUCUAAUAUGCAAUGGUUUGUUUGGCUAGUACUAGUCAAAGUUGAAUACAUGUAGUAGCUUUUUCAACAAAUCAAAGACAACAUUAAAUCUAUUUUUAAAACACAGCAUCAAAUCAACCAAACGGCUCUAACUUUAACAUGGAUUGAGUUAUUUGAAAUUUUCACCUACUACGAGGUUUAAUCAUUGUCACGUUCCUCAUCGAUCACAUGCAAUGGUCACUCAAUGGCACCAUUGUUCAUCACUUUAUUGUUCAUCACUCUUCUUCAAAACCGAGGCUUCUUCAGACUUGAGCUUCAUUUGGCGAGGUCAGAGCAUAAAGAGAAGAAUUUAUGUUUGAGAUUGUUAAUUAACGAUCAACCCCCGCUGUUGUCACUUUAUUGUUCAUCACUCUUCUUCAAAACCGACGCUUCUUCAGAUUUGAGCUUCAUUUAUUGAGGUCAGAAGCAUGAAGAGAAGAAUUGAUGUUUGAGAUUGUUAAUUAACGGUCAACUCGGUCACUUUAUUGUUCAUCACUCUUCUUCAAAACCGACAUUUCUUCAUAUUUGAGCUUCAUUUGGUGAGGUCAGAAGCAUAAAGAGAAGAAUUUAUGUUUGAGAUUAUUAAUUAACGGUCAACUCGGUCAUGAGGUUGCUUUUGAUUUUUUUAUUUAAAUAACUUUUUAUGAAUUACCCUCGUACAUUGACAAGAUAGCAAAUGAAAUACAAACGGCAUGGGAGGUCUAUAUAAUUAUGGUCACACUCUAUCUAAGUGUCAAUACGCCAAACCUCAGGGGAGGUCCCUAAAAAUUACCCAUUUAAUAUUACAUCUACACCACUAUCUCUCUUUCCACCAAUACUAUCUUUGUUUCCAAGUUGUUAAUUAUUGCUUUAUUAGGUAUGCCUCUAGUUAAACAUUAUUAAUAUCGAUUUUCAUUUGGUUUUGAUGAAUUCAACCAUAUAUAAAGAGUAAGGUCGUUGUUCAAGUACACAUUCACCAAACUUUUCCCUUGGAAUUAAGCCAUAUAAAUAAUGCUUUAAACUUUGUUUGCUACAAGGAUGUUUUGCUCACAUAAUAUGGUCAUGCAAGAAAGAAAUAAUAUUGAUACAUCCUAAAAAUAACACGCAUUCUCCUAUUGUAAACCAAACAAUUUAAGCUAAUGGUGCCAAGUGAAGGAAUUGUAAUUUCAUGUACAUUUUGUUAACACGAAAAUAGAGAACUUUAUUAUAGUUUAUAUUGUUUGACACAACAUUUGGGUAGCAAAAUAAGGGUACAAAAUAGACACAUGAAGUGACAAACUAAGCUUAUUAUAAUAAAUAUUUAAUGAUAAGGUAUAAAUUUAAUCGCAAAUACAUAAGUAACGCACAAAGUCACUAAUUGAUAUCAUCCACGAUGCAAGUUCAAACAACUGCAUAAUAAGUUGCCUCAUGCUAAAUUAUUAAUUUGGUAAUUAUUCCAGUCGAUAUGGGAUAAUUUUCCUAUCGCCAUCUAUUAUGUGUAAGCUGAAUUUUUUGCUUGGUCCUUGCACGUGGUAAGGUAAUAUGAAUCCACCUGUGCAUAAGUUUGGACCAAACUCAUACUUAAAAGUUAUCUCAAAAUUUGAGGGUUGCCUCAAGCUAGUAUUAUUAUCAGCCCGGUAAGCAUUUUCUAUUGAUAUGUGAUAUUUUCCCUACUUUGAUUAAUCUUUAUGCCUACAUCUCCUCAUUUAUCCCAAAAUAUAACUUUAACAAAAGUUCCAAAAUUUCCCUGAAGAGAUAAUUUCGUCUCAAAUAAGAUAUAAACUAAGGAAAUGAUUCCUAUUUUUAGGAAAUAUUCAUUUGAGAGUUCGAUUAUGUAUCUCAUUUAUGACUUAUCUUUGUAUUUAUAUCAUAUUACAAGUUAUUUGUGCAAUAACAUUGUGAAUUGAUGAGCAAAUUCAGAGAAAAUAAUAUAUGUGCUAAAAGUAACGUUUAUUAUUGUGUUUAUUUGUGAAGCUAUUUAAAGCAAAAAAAAAAAAAAAAAAAGCACCAGUCCGCUAUGAUUUCAAAUAAUUUCAAGCCAUGUGUCAUUAUUGGUAAAAAAAAAAAGUAAAAUGGUUAAAAUUAUUUUUAUUUAACUGAUAAACCUAGGAAAUUAUCAACUGUCCACCCUUAAAUUGCCCUGUUAUAAAAAUUAUUACAACAUUUUCAAGUUGUAACAUUCAUCUACCAUAAAUUUACAAUCUAUAUUAUUCAUCCACCAAAUCAUUAGGUUCAUUAAAAAGUGCUGAUGUCACAAGGAUAAUUUAGACAUUUAACACACUAAAAAAAAUAAAAGAGAAAUUAUCUAAGCUUAUCAUGUUAUCAAAAUUGCUACAAAAUUUUAAAUUUGUUCAAUUUUCCAAUCUAAGUUUAUAAUUUGUAUCAACUGUCCACCAAAACGUUAACUACAGUAUGUAAUUAAUGACUUUACAAGGGUAAUUUAGACAUUCAAUAUGCUAAAUACAAAAUAAAAUAAUGGCUUAAAACAUAAAAACAAAAAACUAUUUUUUAUAAUCAAUAUUCAGUUAAAUAUACAUAAACUCCAUUUUUUUAAUUAAAAUUAUUCUAAUUUGUUUUCUCAAUUUAUCUUUACAAAUUACCCUAAACCGUAAUUCAUAAAUACCCAAUCAAUCUAAUCAUUUAAUUUGAUUUCAUAAUUAAAAAAAGCCAAAUUUUAUUUUAUUAGGUAUGGUACAAAUAAAAAAUGCCCUUGAAUCAAGGGUAAAAAUGGCAUUUUAUUUAAAUUCUAUAAAUUAUUCUAACAAUGUUAACCUUAAUCUAAAUUUUACUUUAUUAGUUAUGGUACAAAGUCAAAAAUACACUUGAAUCAAGGGUAAAAAUGAUAUUUUAUUUAAAUUCUAUAAAUUAUUCUAACAAUGUUAACAUUUUGGUGAAUGGUUGAUAUAGAUUACAAACUUAGAAUAGAAAAUCAAAUAAAUUCAAAUUUUCGAACUAUUUCCGAUAUCAGGGCAAACUUACAAUAUAUGGUUGAUAAUUUUCCUAUGUCUUUUUAUGUUAAAUUGAGUUUCAAAGGGAGAAUGGACAAUUUAUUAUAAUUCUGUUAAUUCUUUAAUGGAGGCAAACAAUAUAAUGGAGGAAUGAUAUUUUAUAAUCUAUAUCAUUGUAGUAUUUUAAAGUAUUGUAGUAUUUUUAAUAAUAGAACAAUUUAAGAAUUGGACAGGUGAUAAUUUAAGCAUUAAUGAAGCAACUACAAUUUUUUUUUAACACAGAAUAAUAAUUGAAAUGCUUUGAGAAAAAUAAAGGAAAUUAGGUAUCUUUUUAAAAAAGCAUAAUUGAGUAAAAUCAUUUUACAAAAUGCUCUUUCAAAUGCACAUUCCACAAGCCAAGGAGAAUCAGUGGCUAACAGAAGGUACGGGUACCAGAGAGUGAGAAACACCCAUUUAUAGCCAACCCAUUUAUGAGCUUAUAAUCUCACUUCACAAAAUCCAACAAUAACCAACACUCUCACACACUGAAAAGUAAAAAUUUUGCUGUCACGACAUUACACACCUUCUUUGCCAGCUAGAAAGCUAAAACAUUUUGAAGUUCCUCAAUACAAAAUGCAUACUACUACCAAAUUGGCCCAAUUAGUGGCCAUCGAAAAGGCCAUCAAUUUAGCCACCAAAUUUGCCAAAGCUUUAACAACUGAAGAAACUAUUAACGCAAAAGGAACAGGUAAAUUUUGAAGUUGAACAAACCUUGAGAUAUAUACAACAAAGCCUUCAAACUUUAGUCUUCACAAUUUAAGCACGCAAUAAUAUUAAGCUUCUACCUGGAAAACAAGUAUAGAACAAAGCUUGUCAGCUUCUUGGGCAAUAACUAUGAAUGAUGAGUAAAAUUAAAAAAGCAAACAGAGAAAAUUAUAACAAGAAGAAAAGCAAAUAUUAAAAAAAAAAAUAGAAGGAAAAUUUUGGUAGAACUCCAUGGCUCAUCUGUGAAACUAAUGUCAAUAUGUAUUUGUAUGUAAAGAGGGUCUCUUGAUUUUAGGAUGAAUAAAUUAGCUAUCACAAACGAAAACAUGAACCAACUGUAUAUAGAGUCAAUUAAUUAAAGUUCUCAAGAACUUACCUCUGCUCCAGAAUUCUCGGAAUCAUCCAUCUCCUUCUGAAUUUUCAGGAAGCUUGGGACAAUUAUGAACAACAACUUCAUAUGAUGCAGAUGGAAAUGGGAUCUGAUAACCCGCAGGCCAAAAGCUGGUGAGGUUUGGUAAGUCUUCCAGUCUCAAGUCCCAAAGUUCAUUCAUAACAAUUUCAUUGUAAUCCACGACGUCUGCUCCAUCUUUAUGCCAGAAUACUUCUUCUAAUUCAUUAUUUUUUUUCUAUCCAUAGACGAAUUAGUUUUUGAAGACUUGGAGCUACGUUGAUAUGAAAUAGAUGCUUUAGUUUGGGGCAAUCAUGGACAGAGAUAUAAUUGAGUUUUGGGAAACAUACAGGUUGGAGAUGAUCCUCAUCCUCAUCCUCAUCAAUGAUUUGCGCUAAUUCCCAGCAACUCCAAAUAUGUAACUCCUUCAGUUGCAACAGAUUUCGAGCAAGUGUUGAUGACAGGAGACGUCUCAGCAUAGUGCACCCCUCUACAGUUAAUUCGGUAAGAUUUUGCGGGCUAAAAUUAUGCGUGGGACCUUCAUGAUAUAAUACUUGCAGUUCUCGAAGAUUUUUCAAGUACAACCUCUUCAAACAUGGGAAUAGUUUGUUUUCUUGUCCCUCAGCGAUAAUAGCUUCCAAUUGAAAUACCACCCGUACUCCAACUUGGCUAAUACCCAAUUUUUCCAAAUUUUUUAAGUCGUGCUUCAACAGAGCGUGAAUUGCGUCAUGCAAAUGGGAGCAUUCGUCUAUUUUUAGAAUUCGUAAUUUCUGAGACAAACAAAUAAAUAACUUGAUGUAAUUAAAAUCUAUUAGCAGUUAAGAUUAUCACAUGAUAAGUGAUGAACACCGCAAAAAACGAAAACAGAAACAAAUCCAUACAAAAAUAUAAUAAUACAUAUGUAAACAAAUAAAAUAAUUAAAAAAGUAAUGGAUUUAAAAAAAAAAUGAAAUUAGUUAAAAGAGAUCAUGUGAAGUGAUGUAAAGGUGACAUUAGAUUGUUUGAGAAAAAUUAGUAUUCUAUUAAUUUCUAUGGAUUGAUCAACUAAUUAAUUGAAUUUGAGUAAUUUAUAUACACUUCAGAAGUGUUUGCAUCAAUUCUUUCUAAAUCAAAAUGAGAUAUGACUUUUAUUUGAAGAAUGAUUUUAGGCCCUAAAAUAAAGAAAUUUCCCUAAGAUAUUUGAGCAUUAUUAUUAUCAUCACCACAUCCACCACCAUCAUCAUCUCCAUAGGACUUGAAUAAUUAAUGGCUGAUCAUAAAAUUUAUUGCUAAAUUAUCAUUUUGAGUAAAAUUGAGGGAAAAGAAAAAACAUAAACACAAACGAACAUACCUCUCCAAGAUACUGCAAAUUGGCUUCAAGUUCAGUACUGUUGACAGUCAAGUUGGGACAUAUGCUUAGGUAUAACUCUUCCAAUGUUGGCCAAGUUGAACAAUAAUUUUCUGAACAGAAGCUCAUGAGUUCUGGGAGAUCAUCAAGUGAUAAUUCUCUCAACAAAGGGAGGGCGAGCAUCAUAUAUCCAUCUUCGACACUUAUUUCCCCUUCAUUGUGAUCAGACUUUGCUUCGACAAUACAUUCCAGUCUCUCGCAUUCCCUCACAUAGAGACUUGUAAGCUGCUUCAAACUUCGAGCUUGUGACAACGUGAAGAUAUAUGUCAAAUUGUUGCACCUGUACACAUUCAAUUCUGUAAGAGUUUGGAGAUUGAUCACAUGUUGGGCGGGUGCCUUCCAUAUCCGCUUCAGUUCUGGUAAUUCCCACAUAUAUAAUCUUGCUAAUCUUGAGAGCAUCAUAGGAUUCCCACUCUCUCCAUGCGGCGACUGAGAGGCAUCCAUUAUGCAUUCUAAAUCUCCACAAUUGGUGACAAAAAGAAAAGUCAACUCAUUUAAGCCCCUUAGAUCUAUGCUUGGCACAAUAUUAUGACAACCUAUUAUACUGCCCAAAUCAAGAAACUCCAGAUUUUGAUACAAUGCUGAAAAAAUACCGAGCGAGGUCGCUUCAGGGCGGUUAUUAUAAAUGAUUAAGCUCCUUGUCUCAUGACCAUCUUUCCCUUUACAGAUGACGUACCUUUGCAAUUCCGGGAAUGUAAAGUCUUUUGGAAGACAUACAACAGAUCCGUCGGCUUGGGAGUUCAACUCAGCAAGCCUAGCAUUACUUUCUUCUGAGCUCAUCCCUUCAACCUCCCAUUUUUUUAUCGAACCAUAAAAUUCUUCUAAUUGAGGAAAUUUUUUUAUCGUAAGGGGAGAAAUAGUUGUAUAACCGAUAUGCAGAAGUUUCAAUUCGUGAAGUUCAUCCCCCAAUUCUUCAGGAAUUUCAACGGGACACCUCUGGAGACAAAGAAGUUCAAGUCUCUUCAACUUUCCAAGAAAAGACGCGUCACUCACAUCACAUCCAAUCAACUGCAGAACUCGGAGGCUAUUGGCAAGGAAUCGAAGCGAUUUUAGUGAAAGGACUCCAUUUAUUAUAGUAAUAACUUUCAAUGCUGGCAUCCCUUCAAAAAAAUUUUCCGGAACUUGCAAUUUGUAGCCAAAUAGACUAUUGUCCAGUCGCAAAAUAUGAAGGUUAGGGCAUGUCAAACUGCUGGGAAGUUCUUCUUUUUUAUUUACGACCAAAGAGAUUCCUUUGCACUGUUCCAGGCCUUUUUCCACCGCCCGUUCCACCAAUCGGAUGCCAUUUAUACUAAACAAUCUCUCCUUCUCCUCCGUCUUCUCUUUGCUUAUCCAUAUGGCUACAUCACGAACUAUGUCAUGCAUUUUCACAGAUCUGUCAUUACCAGUGUCUAACAGCAGUGACGCAGCUUUGAGCGUGUUAAUCGUUUCAUGCAGUCGGCUUCUGGCGUUUUCUAUUGACGGAGCACAUUGAUACCAAAUAACCCCCACUGCGUAUCCAACCAAAUCCUCCAAAUAAAUCUCAUAAUCUUCUGGAAACAGAGAACACAACAAGAAGCAUAACUUGGACUCCUCACUAUUUAAAUUGUCGUAACUGAAUUUGAGACAAACGUAAACGUCUUGGUCAUUCUCGUCAAUACCUAGUCAAGUUGGGACAUAUGCUUAGGUAUAACUCUUCCAAUGUUGGCCAAGUUGAACAAUAAUUUUCUGAACAGAAGCUCAUGAGUUCUGGGAGAUCAUCAAGUGAUAAUUCUCUCAACAAAGGGAGGGCGAGCAUCAUAUAUCCAUCUUCGACACUUAUUUCCCCUUCAUUGUGAUCAGACUUUGCUUCGACAAUACAUUCCAGUCUCUCGCAUUCCCUCACAUAGAGACUUGUAAGCUGCUUCAAACUUCGAGCUUGUGACAACGUGAAGAUAUAUGUCAAAUUGUUGCACCUGUACACAUUCAAUUCUGUAAGAGUUUGGAGAUUGAUCACAUGUUGGGCGGGUGCCUUCCAUAUCCGCUUCAGUUCUGGUAAUUCCCACAUAUAUAAUCUUGCUAAUCUUGAGAGCAUCAUAGGAUUCCCACUCUCUCCAUGCGGCGACUGAGAGGCAUCCAUUAUGCAUUCUAAAUCUCCACAAUUGGUGACAAAAAGAAAAGUCAACUCAUUUAAGCCCCUUAGAUCUAUGCUUGGCACAAUAUUAUGACAACCUAUUAUACUGCCCAAAUCAAGAAACUCCAGAUUUUGAUACAAUGCUGAAAAAAUACCGAGCGAGGUCGCUUCAGGGCGGUUAUUAUAAAUGAUUAAGCUCCUUGUCUCAUGACCAUCUUUCCCUUUACAGAUGACGUACCUUUGCAAUUCCGGGAAUGUAAAGUCUUUUGGAAGACAUACAACAGAUCCGUCGGCUUGGGAGUUCAACUCAGCAAGCCUAGCAUUACUUUCUUCUGAGCUCAUCCCUUCAACCUCCCAUUUUUUUAUCGAACCAUAAAAUUCUUCUAAUUGAGGAAAUUUUUUUAUCGUAAGGGGAGAAAUAGUUGUAUAACCGAUAUGCAGAAGUUUCAAUUCGUGAAGUUCAUCCCCCAAUUCUUCAGGAAUUUCAACGGGACACCUCUGGAGACAAAGAAGUUCAAGUCUCUUCAACUUUCCAAGAAAAGACGCGUCACUCACAUCACAUCCAAUCAACUGCAGAACUCGGAGGCUAUUGGCAAGGAAUCGAAGCGAUUUUAGUGAAAGGACUCCAUUUAUUAUAGUAAUAACUUUCAAUGCUGGCAUCCCUUCAAAAAAAUUUUCCGGAACUUGCAAUUUGUAGCCAAAUAGACUAUUGUCCAGUCGCAAAAUAUGAAGGUUAGGGCAUGUCAAACUGCUGGGAAGUUCUUCUUUUUUAUUUACGACCAAAGAGAUUCCUUUGCACUGUUCCAGGCCUUUUUCCACCGCCCGUUCCACCAAUCGGAUGCCAUUUAUACUAAACAAUCUCUCCUUCUCCUCCGUCUUCUCUUUGCUUAUCCAUAUGGCUACAUCACGAACUAUGUCAUGCAUUUUCACAGAUCUGUCAUUACCAGUGUCUAACAGCAGUGACGCAGCUUUGAGCGUGUUAAUCGUUUCAUGCAGUCGGCUUCUGGCGUUUUCUAUUGACGGAGCACAUUGAUACCAAAUAACCCCCACUGCGUAUCCAACCAAAUCCUCCAAAUAAAUCUCAUAAUCUUCUGGAAACAGAGAACAAAACAAGAAGCAUAACUUGGACUCCUCACUAUUUAAAUUGUCGUAACUGAAUUUGAGACAAACGUAAACGUCUUGGUCAUUCUCGUCAAUACCUUCUAUUGCAUAGAGUUUUGCUUCCUUUAGAUUAUUUAGAGCUAGAUUCCAUUUAUCAAAUCCUUUUCCUUUAUGUAGUGCACUUCCAACGGCUUUAAUAGCUAAAGGCAACCCCUUACAUUCGGCAGCAACUUGUUUCGAAACACCAUCCAAGGUGGAGUCGUUUACAUCAAUACCGGCAUUCUUUUUUAGUAGAGUCAAUCCUUCUUCUGGCGUUAGAAUAUCAAGUGGAAUCUGUGGGUAACAAUCGAAAGAAUCGCAAACUGACUUUUUGCGAGUGGUUAGAAGGAUUUUGCAGCAAUUGUCUCUAUCACCAACAGGAAUACCUAAUUUUUCCUUCAAGUUGAGUACAUUCCAGACAUCAUCGAGGAUUAUGAGGAUCUUAGUGCUUUUACUCGCAGAAAACAUCGAGCACAAUUGGUCUGCUCCAUCUUUUUCAUCUUUCUGUUCUAAUUCCCAACCUAAUGAAUUUGCCAGCUCCUUUUGAACAUUUAUUAUGGUUGGAUGCCGAGAUACAGUGGCUAUCCCCACCUUAUGGAAAACCUCUUGUUGCCGAAGUUGAUUGCCCACAAAUUUUGCCAGGGUCGUCUUUCCUACACCACCGAGACCAUGCAAUCCCACCAUCUUUGUGCUCUCUCUUUCCAGUGCGUCAAUGAUCUGAUUGCAAGCUGAUUCUGUGGUCUCGAAAGUAGAAGUAAAAUGACUUGGUAAACUUAAUUCUCUCUCUAAUGGUAGAGGUUUAGGAAAGGCAACUGUGUUGAAUUGGCUGCAGUCUUGUAGCAGAUCGGACAACUUGCUAGUCUUCUCUGAUGCUUUUCUGCCCAGCAAAUAUCGGCAGCACCAAUUAGGACUGAUGGGUGUCGAAGCCAACAAAAAUAAAUUCCUACUCUAAAUAAAUUGUGUGUAGUGAUUGAGCAGGGUCGUGUCCACAGAGAUCGGUAAUUAUUUAAAUUCUUUUGAAACGUAAAACGUAAAAUGGGGGAAUUGUUGACAAUAAUAAAAAUCAAAUUAAAAUAACGAGAAUGUAAAUUAAAGUUGUGAUUCAAAUUGGAGAAAACUCUGGUUGAAGGAAUUAACUCAGCUUGAUUCGUCUACUGAUCAUUGAUUCAAAUAUAGAUUAUUAUUACUUAUGAAUAGACCGGUUAUAGCUACUGAGACCCUCUAAUAGCCAAUCUCUCCUUAACUAGUCGAUAACCAAGGUACGACCAUUGGUUAUUUCCCUAAUCAAUAGACAACCCUAGAUACGAUCAUAGGAUUUAAUCAAUUGACAGCCUGAAAAACCAGAGAGACCCAAAUCCUAAUCAACACAUAUGAUGAUUCAUUUAAAUUAGAUUGUUUAUUCUCAUAACACAACUCACUGCUAUGUUAUUUGUCACAAAAAAUAAGUUUAGUUCUUCAUAGAGAGAAGAGAAAAAUUAGAUCUAGGGUUUCUUUCUUUUUCUCCACUAAAGUCCCAUUUUUCACAAUAGAUUCCUCUCUUAAAUACUCUCUCUCUCUUCUCCUCUAGAAUUCUAUUUAAAAUAAAAUACUAAUAUCUGAAAUAUUAAAUUCGUAAUUACAAAAAUAACCAAAAAUACAAAACACGUUAAACUAAAAACUGCAGGUCCGUAGUUGACAGCACGCGCCCACGCCUUAUCAACAAAGUUCUUCUGACGCUCAUAAUUUCUCCAAGAGAACAAUCAUCUUUAAACAUCAUCUUAUAGCUCAAUUUUAUCACAAAUCAAUAGAAUUGCACCUACAAAAGUAAAACACAAGUAAAUCAUUAUUAUUAAGUGCAAAACAUCGAUAUUAAGGGAAGUAAACAAUGCAAAACUAAUGCAUAAAUUGCACUCUAACAAGGACAUAAUCCAUGAAGACUACUAUCCUUUUCAUCUAUCUCUGCUUUCAACUUUUGAACAUCGCCCAAUUCUCUGUCUACAUCCUUCAGCCACUCCGUUACAUUUUCAUCGACUACUAUGUCGGGGCGUUUUUGUCGUUUAUCUUCUAUUCUCUUAUUGAUGACAUCUAGUGCCUUCUUCAACUUAGUUUCUUUAUCCUCAAGUUCUUUAACAAUGCUGUUGAAACAGAACAGAUAGGAAGCUUGUUCUUUGAUUGCAUUCGCCAAAUAUCUUUUAAUCGGUUCUAAAAGUGGUUCUAAAAGUGAUGAAAUUUCCAUGCUAUUUAUAUGCAAAUAACAAAGUUGAUCUCAGUACUCUACGAGAAAAACAACGAGGCUUGAUCACCAGACAAAACGAGAACGUUUAAUUACCUUUUUCUGUUCUGUGAAUGCGCGUUUAUUAACACCAGCUUUGAUCAAUAAGAGCAAAAUGAAAACGCCGGGCCUUAAGAGUUUUGGUGGCCUUUAGCUGCAAAACAGAAGAUGACAAAUAAGGUAAACGUUCCCAGCAAACGUGAUUUAUGGUGGAUUAUAUUCAAAUUAGAUUAUUUUAAAAGUUUUUAAAUCAAAAUAUCAAACAACAAAUUAAGGGAAUCUAGAUAAACCUAAGAUUGCAUUGUGCAUUGGUAAAAAUAAUGAAAGCUGAAAAGCCACUGAGUAAUAACAGUUAAAAAUAGUAUUAGAGGAGUUCAACAUCCUAUGCAAGCCCACUAGUCUGUCAUGACACUCGCCUAUUUGAUAAUUAAUUUAAUUAUUUAUUAUUCUAUCUUACCAUUCAAUGGAUAUGAAUGAUACCUUAUUUGGGAUGGUAAAGAUUGGGGUAAAUCCCCUUUUAUUCUUACAUGUUUGGACUUAUUACUAGUUAUCGUAUUUAUAUUUUUAAAAAUUACCUAAAACAUCCAUGUCGUUACUUUUAUAACUAUUGAAUGUAUCAUUUCAAAUAUAAAAUACUAUUUUUGUCUGAUAUAAAUUAAAAAUCAAACAAAUCUAUCAUGCAACAAAUGAAAAGUAAAUAAUAUUAAUUAGGUUUUAAUGGAAAUAAAUAUAAAACAUAGAGGUUUUGAGUAACUUUUGUGAUUUUUUUUUAUGUUCGAUUUAGACUUGAAUAAUUUGCAUAAUGAAAAUUUGAGGUUUGUAUAAUUUAAAUGAAGAUAAGCUGCAAAAUAAGUUUAUAUGCCGAAAUUAAAAUAGUUAUAUAUUAGCAAUCAUAUAAUUAUCAAAAUUUUUAAUAAAAUUUAUUUAAAAAUUGGCCAAUUGUGUUUCAUAAGGAAAACAGAGAGCAUAAUGGAUAUAUGUUGGGACUUGGGAUUGAAAGACUGAGGGGCCUGGAGGUAGGACGGUAGAAAUUUUUUUUUUUUUUUAAAGUAUGGUCAACAUUAGUGACUUGGAGGUGAUUGCCGUUAAUCAAUUAUCUUUAACUUAAGAAUUAAUACAAAUAAAUGGCAAAAAUAAUUUAAUGAAAAUCAAUGUAAUAAAAAAUUGCACUAAAAACUUAGAACUUAAAUUCUCGAUCAUUUUAUCCGUACGUUUUAAUCCAACGCUUAGAAUUGGCAUGAAACAAACUGGUAUAGCCAUUGGAAGUAAAACAAACAUCAAAUUAAGAGCCUAUGAAACAAUAAUAUCUCAUACCUCCUUCCUUUAAGAUAUAUAUAUAUAUAUAUAUAUCCUCAAUUACUGCUGAAAGCUCCAGUUAGAUAAAAUUAAAAGCUGCAUCCAGCAAUAUAAAUAAACAUCAGAUCAAAACAACAUAGGAUAUAUCUAGCUAAUUAACAUCAUAUAAAGUCCUUGGUCUCAGUCAAAUCUUUCAUUCUUAGGGGAGAAAAAAGAUUGAAAUAAUAACUGGAAGUGAUAUUGGAAGCAAAAGCAACAUACCCAAAUGAGAGCAGCUAGCUCACAGAUCUGGUGAUUUCCAAGAGCAUGAAAAAUGAUUGAGGUUUAAUAGCAAGAUCCGAGUCAUGUUUCACAAGUUGCUAUUGACUUCGUGGCUUCGCUUUUCUUUUCUUUCUUUGUCUUUUUGUUCUUUCAUAUAUUUUCUAUAUUAGUAUGAAUUGAAAGGUAGAAAGUGAAAUGGUACACGUGCCUUAUUAUCUAUGAUGAGGGGCAAUUUUUAAAUACCUUAUGUGACAUUUAGGGUCUCUUAUUUAGAUAGAUUGUAUUUUGGUGGGGUAAUCGUAUUGACUUCAUAUGGCUUCACUUUUCUUUUGUUUUUGUUUUUUUUUUGUUCUUUUGUUCUUUUAUAUAAAUUCUACAUUAGUGUGAAUUGAAAGGUGGAAAGUGAAAUGGUACACGUAGCUUAUCAUCUAUGAUGAGGGGUAAUUUUUAGGUCUCUCAUUUAGAUAGAUUGUAUUUUGGUAGGGUAACCUUAUUGACUUCGUGGCUUCGCUUUUCUUUGUUUUUUAGUUUUUUUGUUUGUUUGUUUGUUUAUAUAUAUUCUAUAUUAGUGUGAAUCAGGGUUGGUUUUAGAGUAUCAAGCGCCUUAGGCGAAUUUGUUUUUAUGAGACCUCUUUUUAUUUACAAUUUCAAUACUCAAUAAAACAAAAAAGAUCUGAAAAUUCAUUUAAGUUUUAGUUCUUGAGUUUCAACAAAUAAUUAAGAAGAUUCUAAAAAUUUUCAAAAACAAAACCUAUAAUUUACCAUUAGAAAUUUUACAAAAAAUAAACAAACGAAUAAAUGAGAACAGUACUAUUUUCAAAUAGAAUAUUUAGAAUGGUAGUUCAUUAAAAAUUGAGAUCAUGAAUUGAUGGUUAGAUAAUGGAUAUGAACUUUGUAUUUCAAGUAAGUAAUUUUUUUUUUUUGAAUGAACUACUGCAUGUAAUAAUCUUCAUUGUAGAGAAGAGAACAAUAAAUUUUUCAUCUAUGAUUUUCUAGAUUAUAAGAUUUUUAAUAGAAAUUAAAAGGAAUACUCACAGUCAAAGAUUCUAAUAUUGAAUAAUUGAGCUUUUUUAAGAAGUUGAAAAGGUAAAAAAAAAAGUACUUAAUUUUAUUGGAAAAACUAAUAAUGAAUAAAUUAAUGGUCAGACAAUAUUAUUAAUUAUAUCUCUUUAACAAUUAGAUAACUAAUUAUAGGUUUUUAUAUAAAAAAUAAUAAUUCUUAAUUAUAGAAUAAUUAUUAAUUAGAGAGAUGUAUAAUAGGCUUUUCUAUCACAAAUAAUUUUUUUUUAAAUCUUUAUUAACUAGAAAAUUAUUAAUAAUACUAAAAAAAAGUCUUUUGAAAAUUUGGGACCUUAGGCAACCGCCUUAUUUGCAUAUAUUUAAAGCCACCUAUGGUAUGAAUUGAAAGGUGGAAAGUGAAAUGGUACAUGCCUUAUCAUCUAUGAUGAGGGGUAAUUUUUAGAUACCUCCCGUGACAUUUAGGGUCUCUCAUUUAGAUGGAUUGUAUUUCAAUAUUACCAAAUACCUCUCCUGCCGAUUUGUACUCUAUUCGGUAUCAUUUGAGUGGUUGAGGGUAAUUUGGUAAAACUAAUGUAAAAUAAAAAAUUUCAAAGAAAUUCUAAAAGAAGCUUUGUAUCUUGGAUAUCUUUGGAGUUGUGGGAGUAGGUUUUGUUGACACUGAAAUCCGGCUGAGUAGCUUAUUGACUCAAUACCAAAUCCCUGCGUCACCAUUAAACUUGUUUGGUGGGAAAGUGGCUUGCCAAACACUAAGAACACCCUACAACCACUACCAAAUAAGUUAAGAAAACCUGAAAUCACAAAGAAUGAUAAGAGGCGCUAGAACUCCGAUGAUUACCCUCCAAUGUUGAAGUCAGUUUAUGAGUUUACCGAAAUAAAAAUAAAUAAUUUCUAUUUAAAACAAAAAAUAGAGAUCAAAAGCUCAAAAAUAAAACGAAAUACCAAUAUGAAGAAUGAAUUUCCUUUUUUUAACUUGGUUGAAUCCUUCUGCCUAAAAAAGAAACAUAACAGAGAAGCAGGUAGCCAUGUUGGCAUAGGUAACGCCCCACUUUUGUUUUAGAUUCUCCCUUUUUCUACUUCCCCGUCCAUUCCCUCUUUUGCUCACUAUCCUUUAUAAGUUUUUAUGCUUCUCUCCCCAAAAUGGCCUUUGAAUACACAAGUAAAUGUCUAGGCUUUGGUGAGGAUAGUUUGGUCAUUGCAUUUUGCAAGUAAGAUGGGUGGUGGAGAAAAAUGAGGAGUCCACGUAACUCUUCAGCAAAUCCCACCAACAAUUCCAUUUUCUUAAUUAAUUAAUCUCUUUUUUUAUCCCCAAACACGUUUGGAUCUAAAGAUUUUCAUUCUCUUAUUAUAUAUUUCUCCUAGGAAUGAAUUUUUAAAAUCAACAUAUCUAAUGACUAUAUUAUAAAUAUGGGUUAUUAUCAUUUCACUACUUAAAAAAUUACCAAAUAUUAAAUGACUACAACAAGUAUUGUCUCCUAUCAUUUUUCUACUAUAUCUUUAUAAAAAUAUCAUUUUACUAUUUUUCCGUUAUAACCGUUAGUUGACCAGUCAGUUGACUAACAAAAUACCAAUUUCACCCUUCAUAAUUAAAAAAAAAAUACUUGAAGCUUAUUUACAAAAUAAAUUUGUAAUAUAUUUAUUAAAAUGGAUAUAAAAUACCAACAUAAUUCUUUUUGCUAAAAUUAUGAUAUAUGGAUUACAAAUUUAUCUUAUUAUUUUUUUUAAUCAUGAAGGAUAAAAUUUGUAUUUUGUUAGUCAACUAAUUGAUCAACUAACGGGUCAACUGACGGUUGUAACGGAAAAAUAGUAAAAUGAUAUUUGUUGUAACAGAAAAAUAGUAAAAUGAUAUUUUUAUAAAGAUAUAGUAGGAAAAUGAUAGAAGACAAUACUUGUUGUAGUCAUUUGAUAUUUGACAAUUUUUGAAGUAGUGAAAUGAUAAUAACCCUUAUUUAUAUACUAAAAUCUCAACGUGUAUGUAUAUAUGUAUGUGUGUGUGUAUAUAUAUACACAUUUUCUAGUAAUAAUUCCUUGUUUACCAACCACACAUUGUCUAAUCAAAUCCAAUUCUCUCUCGCUAUGUUCCUCAAAAAAUCCGAUUCAUGCGGAUCCUUCCCCCAAAUAAGGAUGAGACCUUGGCGGAAUUGUCACAUAUGAAAUUGAGCACAAUUUUGCAAAGAAAUAGCCCACUUGUUUCUCAAGAAGAGAUGGGAAAAACGGUCAAUAUCAUUUGAUUGAAUAGUCGACUAUACACACACACACAUGAGGGAUCCCUUAAGUUAUCAAAUUAAGUGGGAUUAGCUAAACAACAAAAAAAAACACAUUGUGAUUGGAAAUAUGGAAUUGGAAUUUUGAUUAUAAUAGGAACUUUAAUUGAGAUUGUAAUUAUAAUUGUAACUAGAAUUGUAAUUGUGUUCGGAUCUGUAAUUAUCAAUGUAAUAGAAGUUGUAAUUGUAAUUGUCACGGCUAUUGUAAUUGUUCUUUUAUAAUUGCAACUGUGUUUUUAAUUUCAAUUACAAUUAUAUAAUACAAUUAUAAUUGUGAUCCUAAUUGCAAUUGUAAUUACAAUUGUAUCUUUAAAAAAAUUGUAAUUAUAGUUGUUAUUCUAUUUGUUGUUACAAUUACAAUUUUAUUCCUGCUAUUGUCAUUGUAAUUUUUAGGGUUCCUCUAUGAUGCUGUAAAUUUUUUUUACAGCAUCAAUAAUGUAUUAAUUAUGUACCAUUAGAUUUAAUCAAUGGUAUAUAAUAUUUUUACUAAGAAAAAAAUAUUGGUAAAUAGUGUGUGGAGAAUUUUUGUAAAAUAAUUGUGAUCACCCUUAGAGUUUGAAACAAUUUCACUUAAAUAGCAUAUUUUAUUUAAAAUUACUUUUCAACCCUCCUUUAAAUUUGUAAUAUGAUAAUCUUUUUUAAAUACAUCUUCCAAAAUCAAUUACCAUUAAGUAUAAAAUAUAAUAGGGAAAUUAUCAUUCAUAUACCCUAUAUUUGCUCUGUUAUCAAAAAUACUACAACACUUUGAGGGUGUAUCAAUCGUCCACCCUUAGUUGACAAAAUGUAUCAGCCGACCACCAAACAGUUAGUUGCCGUUUGAAAGUUAACGGAGUUACAGUGAAUUGACGAUUUUACCCUUGAAAAUUAUCACUUGUAUACCCUUAAAUUCUCUUUUUAUCACUUGUAUGCCCUUAAAUUAUCACUUGUAUCAUAUGAAAAGACCAAAUUACCCUUCUGACGUCAUCAUACUUAAACGGCAACUAACGGUUUGGUGGUCAGCUGAUACAUUUUGUCAACUUAGGGUGGACGAUUGAUACACCCUCAAAGUGUUGUAGUAUUUUUGAUAAUGGAGUAAACUAAGGGUAUACAAAUGAUAAUUUCCCAAUAUAAUAUCAAGUAGGUUAUUUAACACAAAGUUUUAUAAUAAUUUGUAUUGUAUGAAUUUAAUUACAAACCAUUAAUACCUAAACAAUAAUGAUAAUAGAAGGCAUUGCAAUAAACUAUUUUAUAUGUGUUUUAUUAAUAAUACUAUAUGAGUCACAACAAAUGAGAAAUAUUUUAUUCACCAAUUAUUAUUGAAAAAUAUAUAUGUCUAUAUAACUAUAGAGUGAGAAAUAUUUUGAUUUAAAUUUUUAUCAAAAAAUUAAACUAUUUAUUUCAUGCAAUUCAAUGGUGGAGGAUAUAACAUUAUGAAAUGUUGCUUUGACUUUCAAUAUUAACGAUUAGACUAUGAGAUAUUAGUGGCUCAAAUAUUGUGUCAGAAUUUUAAAUUAAAGUAUCCCAAAUCAUGUCUUUAUAAUGGAAAUAUAAAAACAUACAAUGAUUUUUUUUCCUCAUUUUGUCCAUUAAAUAUUAUUUGAUGUAAUAUAUUAUUUAUUGUCACUAUUAAUUAUCAUAAUAAAGUAAUGACUCUUCGUAACAUAAAAAUUUUAUAAUUACUCAAAGGAUAUCAAUAAAAUAAUAUUUCAUAAUUCAUAAACUAAAGCUUAUUAGGAAUAUAUAUUAGAUUUACCUUUUAAUGAAAUUAACAAAAUGGUAUUUGAAAAUAAAAUGAAACUAUAUAGGCUUAUAAAACUUAAAAUUCCUAUCAUGUAGGAAUAUUAAUUGUAAGAUAAACAAAAAGUUCAGAGAAUAAAUAUGUUAAAUAGGUGUUAAAAACAAUAAAUACUUCAUGAUCAAUUAUGUAAUGGUCCUUAAUAUUAUAUAAAAUAAUGAGUAUUUUAAUAUACGAUAUUAAAUUUUAUUAAAACAUGUGUGAUCAAGUAUUUUUUUUUUAUAUCAUAAGCAAUCUCACCAAUGAGUUUAUUGAUGUAAUUAUGACAUUUACUUAAGUAUAUGUACUUAGUUGUGUUAUUUAUUAGUGUUAUAUCAUAUAUAAAUUUUGCAAUUGUAACUUAUUUAUUUGAUUUGAGUUAAAUAACCUACUUGAUAUUAUAUUUUAAACUUAAACUAUCAUUUAUCCCAUCCAUUCCAAAGAUGAUUCUUCAUGAGUUUCAUUAUUGAAAGCGUUUGUUCUACUAUUAUUAUAGAAACUGGAAGAAUUAAUCCUAUUUUUGAGAAUAGAAAAUAUUUUGAGUGGUUGGCUAUCAUUAUUUUUAAUUAAAAUAUAGGUUUUUAUAAUUCUUAAAAGUCAAAGUUUAAAUUUUAUGGCGGUUUAUAUUUUAUAGUGAUUAUUUUAAUAAAUUUAACGGGGGCUAAUUAGAAAAUUAAAAUAUUUUUUUUAAUUUUCUUUUUUAUUUAAAUUUUUUUUUUUUGGCCAGACAUCCGCCCAUGCUCUUAAUAACAUAAAAUUUUAUAAUUACAAUCAAAGGAUAUCAAUAAAAUAAUCUUUCAUGAUUCAUAAACUAAAGCUCAUUAGGAAUAUAUAUUAGAUUUAACUUUUAUGAAAUUAACAAAGUGAUAUUUGAAAAUAAAAUGAAAAUAUAUAGGCUUGUAAAACUUAAAAUUCCUACCAUGUAAGAAUAUUAAUUGUACGAUAAACAUAAAGUUCAGAGAAUAAGUAUGUUAAAUGGGUGUUAAAAAUAAUAUAUACUUCAUGAUCAAUUAUACAAUGACCCUUAAUAUUAUAUAAAAUAACGAGUAUUUUAAUAUACGAUAUUAAAUUUUAUUAAAACAUGUAUGAUAAAGUAUUUUUAAUGUUACAAGCAAUCUCACCAAUGAGUUUAUUUAUGUAACUAUGACAUUUAUUUAAUUAUAUGUACUUAUUUGUGUUAUUUAUUAGUGAUAUAUCAUCUAUAAAUUUUGCGAUUGCAACUUAUUUAUUUGAUUUGUAUUAAAUAACCUACCAUUAUAUUUUAUACUUAGUGGUAAUGGAUUUUGGAAGAUUUAUUUAAAAAAGAUUAUCACAUUUCAAAUUUAAAAGAGGAGUGAAAAAUAAUUUUAAAUAAAAUAUGCUACUUAAGUGAAAUUGUUUCAAACUCUAAGGGCGGUCAUAAUUAUUUUACAAAAUUCUCCACCUAUUACACGGUUAACAAAUUGUUUACCAUUAUUUUUAUUUUUUAUUUUUACUAUAAAUAUUGUGUACUAUUGAUUAAAUCCAAUGGUACACAAUUAAAACAUUAUUGAUACUGUAAAAAAAUUACAACAUUAUAGAGGAACCCUAAAUAUUACUAUAAUAACAAUUGUAACUGUCGAUGGAAUCACAAUUACAAUUUUUAUUGUAAUUAUUAUUGUAAUUGGGAUUAAAAUUAUAAUUGGAAUUACGAUUGAAAUUAAAGUUGUAAUGGUUGUUUAAAUUAAAUUGGGAAUCAACAAAAACAAUUGAAAUUGAAAUUCUUGAUGUAGUUAUUGUAAUUGCAAUUGUAAUUUUGACUGUAAGAAAGUGCAAUUACUGAAAAAAAAUUGUCCACGCCAUUUUCUAUUUUUGAAAAAGAAAUAGAAGCAACAGUAACCAAUUUCUCAGAGCAGUACAUUGACUUUCCUGUUUUUUGGUUGCUUCAACUUUGAAUAUGAUCUAUAUCUGAUUCAUGAUUUUACGGAUUAUAAAUUUUUAAUCCAGUCCAAUUCAUAAAUUGGUGAAAUUUAAUCCAAAUCUAAUCCAUACGUCUGCAGAUCGAAUGCAGAUUGACCCAAUCUAUAUCCAAUCCACCAUUUUACGGAUUGGUUUGCUGACUAAAUAUUUUUAAUUAUGUCCUAUCUAUAAACUAAUUAAAUAGAAAAAUUAAUAUAAAAAUAAUUUUACUGCCGAUCAAAUUCAAAAUUAAAUAACAUUUAAAUAAAUUAAUUUUCUAAAUAAAGUUAAAAAAUACAUUCAAAGUUUCAAAAUAUAAUACACUAAAAAGAAAAAAAUCCCAUUUGUUUAGAUCAAUAUAUAAAAAAUAACUACUUAGAAAGCUAUAUUUUUUUUAUUUAAUUACUUUAUUUUAUAUUAUUAUUGGAUAAAAUAUAAUAAUGGUGUUAAUGUAACUAUAUUUUAACUUAUUUAUUUAUUAAUAAGUAUAAUGCCAUAUUUACAAGUUUAAUUUUUUAUUAAAUAAAUAAAUAUUUUUUUUUUACAGAUUCACAGAUUUUUACGAAUUUACAGAAGUAAAUUCAUAUCCAAUUCAUCAACUAUAUAUUUUUAAUUUUAAUCUAAUGUAAUCUAUCAAUCCAUAAAUUGAAUUUUUACGCAUCAAAUUUCUACGAAUUAGCGGAUUGCGCGGAUUAAAUUAAAUUUUGAACACCUCCUACAAGAAGUUGCUGGCAGCUGCCUGCAAACUCUGAAUUAUUUCAAAACAACUUCCAGCCGCUGAUUGUACAAAGCAUCAAAUCCAGUGGUCUAUAUUUUUUUUUAAAUAUUUAAUUACAUGCGAUCUUUUAAUAGAUCCAGUGCAUGGCAGUCGUAGCCUUUGUUGUGGGUUUCCGACCACUUUUGCCCUGUAAGUGCACCUGGCCGACAUUUUUUGUUGUUUUAUUUGUAUGAUAAUUAUCAUGGACCUGCGUGCCUUUUUUUUUUUUUCAUUUAAAAUUUCUUAAUAAUUUAAGUAAGACAAAAGAAAUGGGUCUCACAUAUAAUUGAUUGCAUAAUUUUUCAAACAAUAUUAUUUUAAUACCUGAGCGAUUUUUGUUGUUGUUUUAUUUGUAUGAUAAUUACAUGGACCUACGUGCAUUUCUUUUGCUUUUAAAAUCUCAUAAUAAUUAAAACAAGACAAAAGAAAUCGGUCUCACACAUAAUUUAUUUAAAAAAAUUUUCAAACUAUACUAUUUUAAUACGUAGGUGACUUUUUUGUUGUUGUUUUAUUUAUACGAUAAUUACAUGGAUCUACGUAGGGAUGACAAUUGCGCCCGCAAACUCACAAAUUCGUCCAAAUCUACCCAUCAAACCCGCCCGCUGUGGAUAAUUUUACAGGUUGCGGGCGGAUUUGGUAUUACAAAUUAAAACCCGCACUUGGAUGCGGGUAGGUUUGGUAUUAGCUCAAUAUUCGGCGGAUACCCAUAUGGAUACCCACUAGACCCACAAUGUUUUUUUUGAAAAUAUUUUUAAUUUAAUUUUAAUUAAAAAUAUUUAAAUCUUAAAAAUAUAUAAAGAAAAUAAUACAAUUAUGCAAGGUGUCAAAUAACUAAAGUGUUUUUGUAUGGUAUAUUUUCUUUUAACUUAAUGCAUGAAUUAUUUCAUUGUUAUAAUUUUUUUCAUCGAAUUAAUAUUUAAAAAGUAUUAUUCCUUGGAAAAUAUUAAUUUUAAUCAUUAGGCAUCAUGUUGGAUGGGUGCUAAUGGUGGUGAAUUAAAUGAAUAUCUUUCUCUUGGAGCUUGUGUUGAAUGAUAAUAUGAAAUAUAAUUAUUAUUUUUAGAUACUAGUUUGUGAUUUUUUUUUAAAGGAUUUGUGUAUUUUAUACUUAAAUUUGAGAAUUUAUGUUAGAUUGAUGUUGGAAUUUUAAUUUUUCAUUUACAUUGGAUAAAUUUAAAAUUGAGUAUGUUAUGUGGAAUUUGAGGUUAUUAUUGUAAAUUUAUAUAUUGAACAUUUGUAAUUUUAAAUGUAUAAACCCGUAAAAAAUCCGACAUAUACUAUUGUGAGUUUAGUAAUUGCCAAAACCCGCUGUGGGUGGAUUUUUUUUAAAAAAAAUUAAAACCCGAUGUGGAUGAAUUUGGUAAUUUAAAUUUUGUACAGGUUUAAGUUUGGUAAUGACAAUCCUGCUGUGGAUGGUGCCCGUUGCCAUCCUAGAUCUACGUGCCUUUCUUUUGUAUUUAAAAUUUCAUAAUAAUUUAAACAAGACAAAAGAAAUGGGUCUCACAUAUAAUUUAUUUUAUAAUUUUUUCAAACAAUACUAUUUUAUUACCUGGGCAACUUUUUUUUUGGUUGUUUUAUUUGUAUGAUAAUUGUGAUGGAUCUACGUGCCUUUUUUUUUGCAUUUGAAGUUUCAUAAUAAUUUAAAUAAAACAAAAGAAAUGGGUGCCACAUAUAAUUUAUUUUAUAUUUUUUUCAAACAAUAUUAUUUUAAUACAAAUGACCAAAACAAAUUUCAUAUUGACAAAAAUUAAUCAUAGAUUUCUAUAUUAUGACAUAAAAUAUAAAAAAACAUUUGAAGAAAAAAAUAAAGGCACCCUUAAAUUUGGGCGGCGCUAAGUUACGUUUAAAGUAACUUGCGCCUCUCACAGCAACAGUGGCACUGACCCCACCUAAAACUGUUGCUGUGACUUAGGCCCUCCCUUAAAUUUGAUGUAGGACACUACAAGACUCUUUGACAAAGAUGUUGCGACCUAAAGCAUGGAAGGGUCUAAAGUUUUAGGGUGAACAUGGUCCAAACAAUGACACGACGUGUGUUACAGCUCCACGUCACUCAUUAAUAUGAGUAAUGGCAAUCUCUACAUUAAGCAUGCACUGCCUCAAAUUGCAUGCGAAUACGAAAACACACUUCUGAAUUUUUUUUUUCGUUUUAAGUUAACAAUUAAUUUUUUUUAUUUAACAAUUAAUUUUCAUCAAAUCUUAAACUGUCAUAAUCAAUUAUUUUUUUUCAUUGCGACUCCUUAACUAAAUUUUGAUCUGUAAUAAAUAAAAUUUGGUAAUAUUUGUUCCUUUAAAGAUAUAAAAUAACCGUAACAUUGUUUUUACAUUUUGAAUUUUUCUUGCAUUGCUAUUUAGAAAAAUCAUGUUAAAUCAAUCUCAUAAAAUAUAUCAACCCAUCUGAAACCCGAAUAUUGAUUACAUUUGUUUUGUAUUGUUGGAAUGACGCCAAAGCAAUAAAAAUAUAUAAAGAAAAUAAUACAAUUAUGCAAGGUGUCAAAUAACUAAAGUGUUUUUGUAUGGUAUAUUUUCUUUUAACUUAAUGCAUGAAUUAUUUCAUUGUUAUAAUUUUUUUCAUCGAAUUAAUAUUUAAAAAGUAUUAUUCCUUGGAAAAUAUUAAUUUUAAUCAUUAGGCAUCAUGUUGGAUGGGUGCUAAUGGUGGUGAAUUAAAUGAAUAUCUUUCUCUUGGAGCUUGUGUUGAAUGAUAAUAUGAAAUAUAAUUAUUAUUUUUAGAUACUAGUUUGUGAUUUUUUUUUAAAGGAUUUGUGUAUUUUAUACUUAAAUUUGAGAAUUUAUGUUAGAUUGAUGUUGGAAUUUUAAUUUUUCAUUUACAUUGGAUAAAUUUAAAAUUGAGUAUGUUAUGUGGAAUUUGAGGUUAUUAUUGUAAAUUUAUAUAUUGAACAUUUGUAAUUUUAAAUGUAUAAACCCGUAAAAAAUCCGACAUAUACUAUUGUGAGUUUAGUAAUUGCCAAAACCCGCUGUGGGUGGAUUUUUUUUAAAAAAAAUUAAAACCCGAUGUGGAUGAAUUUGGUAAUUUAAAUUUUGUACAGGUUUAAGUUUGGUAAUGACAAUCCUGCUGUGGAUGGUGCCCGUUGCCAUCCUAGAUCUACGUGCCUUUCUUUUGUAUUUAAAAUUUCAUAAUAAUUUAAACAAGACAAAAGAAAUGGGUCUCACAUAUAAUUUAUUUUAUAAUUUUUUCAAACAAUACUAUUUUAUUACCUGGGCAACUUUUUUUUUGGUUGUUUUAUUUGUAUGAUAAUUGUGAUGGAUCUACGUGCCUUUUUUUUUGCAUUUGAAGUUUCAUAAUAAUUUAAAUAAAACAAAAGAAAUGGGUGCCACAUAUAAUUUAUUUUAUAUUUUUUUCAAACAAUAUUAUUUUAAUACAAAUGACCAAAACAAAUUUCAUAUUGACAAAAAUUAAUCAUAGAUUUCUAUAUUAUGACAUAAAAUAUAAAAAAACAUUUGAAGAAAAAAAUAAAGGCACCCUUAAAUUUGGGCGGCGCUAAGUUACGUUUAAAGUAACUUGCGCCUCUCACAGCAACAGUGGCACUGACCCCACCUAAAACUGUUGCUGUGACUUAGGCCCUCCCUUAAAUUUGAUGUAGGACACUACAAGACUCUUUGACAAAGAUGUUGCGACCUAAAGCAUGGAAGGGUCUAAAGUUUUAGGGUGAACAUGGUCCAAACAAUGACACGACGUGUGUUACAGCUCCACGUCACUCAUUAAUAUGAGUAAUGGCAAUCUCUACAUUAAGCAUGCACUGCCUCAAAUUGCAUGCGAAUACGAAAACACACUUCUGAAUUUUUUUUUUCGUUUUAAGUUAACAAUUAAUUUUUUUUAUUUAACAAUUAAUUUUCAUCAAAUCUUAAACUGUCAUAAUCAAUUAUUUUUUUUCAUUGCGACUCCUUAACUAAAUUUUGAUCUGUAAUAAAUAAAAUUUGGUAAUAUUUGUUCCUUUAAAGAUAUAAAAUAACCGUAACAUUGUUUUUACAUUUUGAAUUUUUCUUGCAUUGCUAUUUAGAAAAAUCAUGUUAAAUCAAUCUCAUAAAAUAUAUCAACCCAUCUGAAACCCGAAUAUUGAUUACAUUUGUUUUGUAUUGUUGGAAUGACGCCAAAGCAAUUGAAAAGAUAUUGAAAAAAUAAUAAGAGUAAUGAUACAGCCACAAACUCUUGUACAAACUUAAAUAAUUGUAAAGAUUGGCUACGGGAUUUCACUGAAGCUAAGUUGUGACUUGUGACCGUGCAAAUGUUGCGUAACAAGAUAUGAUUAUUCUUGCAGCACAAAUCCAGUAGCAUGCAACAAAAACUACUCUCCAACACUGCCUGUGAAGAAAAUAAAACAAGAGUAAAAAGAGCAACCAUGCCUGUGAAUCUCUUUACUUCUCCCCCUUUUCUGGGUAAACUCUAUCAAAUGAAAACGCAGCACGACCACAUUGGUCACUGCCACAGUGCCACAGCCAUUACUUCGUCAACUGUGCCUCUUGCUGCAAGAAAUCUUCAACUGGAAGAUGGACUGUAUAAUUCAAGAUAAAAAAUACACCUAACCUGCAAAUGUUGCCAUCCACUAGCCUAUUAAAGACUCUGCUUUAUAUUUUCCUAGUUUUUUAAUCAAAAUUUUGCAAGAUUUAUUUUGGAAAAGUUCGACAAAGUUUUAUGUAAUAUACCGUAAAGCCAAAUACAAUCCUUUUAAUUCUCAGCAGCAACAUAUAUGGAAAAAAAUUGGAAGCCAUAUAAAUAUAACUUUGUUUGGUACAAGGAACAAUUAUUUCAUGCUUUCAGGUAUUACAACUUCCAGAAGUGCUAGCCAGAGAUUGUAAGGGAACUUUAACUAGCCACAGAAUAUGUCAAACAUAUUACCAGCAACCGUCUUUAGCACAAUUGUUAUGAAGUGGCUUCUGCAUCAGAAGAAUCCAGCUUCCAUCAAAGCACCACCAUCUUCCUUCUGGAUAAAAUCUGCAUCACUGGCAAGAGUUAUAUCAUCAACAUCUGCACCCUCGGUCCCAUCAUCCCAAUCAAGUGCUUUCUUCUCCACCUCUGGAUCAUAAGUCCACUCCAACCUCUUCAAAACAUCUCCGUCCUUCCAUUUGCCAACAACCGAUGCGGCUUCCUUUCUUGCCUUCCCCAUUAAUAUAUCCCACCAAGAAAAACAAGCAUAAGAAAUUCUCUUCAAUGCCUCAUCAUUUAUGUCCCCCACAACUACCGUCUUAAGACACCUUAAAUUUGCCUCCAACAAAACCUCCACAAAAUCUGAAUCAUCCGACACAACAACCAAAUACUCAAUCCUUCUUUUGUGCGUUAUCACCAAAUGAUUCCUUAACAAAACAUCAGUAGCUUGUGGCUUAUCUGACGCUGUCCUGACCCAAAGCCCCCCUCUUUUCAACUCACCUAUCAAACCAUUACCCACUUCUGGAGUCAAAACUGCCCUUGCAGCCCUUUUAUAUUUCUCCAUCUUAAUUGAAUACUUGCCGACCCAAUGCACUCUCUUCCCUCUGGCUGAUUCUAUUUGAUUCAACAUUCAACCUCUUUUUAUGUUUACACUCAUAAAUUUGCAUAAAAUAAUUAACAAGUUUGUCAUCAUCAUAAAAACUCCUUCCACAGACACCACAUACAUACGGCUCAGCAGGCCUAAUUACACCCUUGUUUUCCAAUUGGUUAAACUAUUUUUUCUCUUCUCUUUGCUCCCUUACAACUUGAGGCACAUAACUAAAUGCAUGGCUAUUAGCAUAUGCCAUGAUGAAUUUAACAACCCCAAAUGAAGAUACUGAUUUUUCAGUUUAAUGGCCGCUUCAAAUGGGGGAACUGAAUUUGCGGGUUUGCUGUUUAAAUCCCGAAAAAUUCCACAUUAUGUUGGACAGUUUUUGGUUCUACAGUUGGUGAUCGGUUUUGUGAAUAAGGCUCCAAAAGAAAAAAAUCUAAACAAUGAGACAAAUGGGUUCUGGAUUUCUAAUCUUGUAAACAUUGUCCUGUCGCAUAAGUUAUGAAAUUUCUGAAGCAUCACUAUCCCGCUGUUCCUGGGAGAAAAAUAAGUCGAAGAACUACUCGUGGAACAAAAUUAAAAAGUUUAAACUAUGUUGAGAGACUUUCCCUUCGACUAAACGUUUUUAAAAAAAAAAAGUAUCAGAUAAGCAUUUUCAAGGGAAAAUGAUCAUCCAUUUGUUGUACUUAGGCAGGAAAAUAAAUAUAUCAACCCAAUUAAACCCUCACAUCUACAGACUAAUAAUGCAUGGACUAACUUUAAGUAAGGAUGUAAAACUUACAAGAACAAGAAAACUACUGUUUAUUAAUUUCAAAUUUUACGCAAAAUUACAAAUAAUUUUAUAAGUUGCACCAAAAAAAUAUUUUGCGGAUAGCAUAAACUAAUACUAGAAUAACCAUUCGUUAACGAUGCGGGCAGCACCAUGAAGCGGUGAGCCCUGUUUGGUGAAAACAAAAAAAAAUUAAAAUUAAAACAAAGCACUAUAAAUUCUAAUCAAAUUGUUAACAUUAGCUAAAUACACAGCAAGAAGCCAGAAUAAAUUCGUUAUCUAAACCAAAUAAAAAAAAAAAAAGAGGCAGUUUAGUCCCCAUCAUUUUCAGUUACAAACAAACUAAAGCACAAAUUAAGAACAAAGGUUGAAGCAAAGCAUGAUUGUACCUUGAGGUACUUGAGCUUAGUGUUCCCAUAAACGAGACCGAGCGAAAAAGCCGAAACCAGAGCAACCUAUUAUUAUUACUCAAAAAUCCAGAUCAGAAAAUAAAUGAUCUUUCAAUAACAAUUCAUAAGAACUCCAUCCCAUCGUAUAUAAAACAAAACAAAGAAAAUAUUGAAUUGAAAAAAAAUUACACACAUGGAUUAAAAGAAGAUAAAAAUGGAAUUACCAGAGGGAGCUGGUGCCGGAGUAGGAACCAGGACGCAGCGCCAUAUGAUGCUUUGUCAUGCUUUUCCUUCUUGUGGGUCUGCGCCGAAGUCGAAGAUAAAGAAACAAGAAAGAGCUAGCAGCCUAGCACAUUGAAAAAUCGACUCAUAUAUUCGAUUCCGACUCGUAUGGCUAUUUUUAUUUGAUGAAUGAAAUAUUAUUUUACUCCCUAAUUUUUUUUACAAAAUUACAAGUUUUGACUUUUGUUCAUAUGUUCGUUUUUACAGGAUCCUAUUCUAGGAGGAAUAACAAAUAGGCCGGAUAUGUGGCUAAGCCCGAGCGUGGUGUUGAUUGCCAAUUUUAUUUUAAGUAUAAUUCUUAUAACACUUCACUUAUGUGAUCGUAAUUAUAUUGUACUGAAAAUUAUAUAAAGGAUAACUAUGAAUUUAAUUAAACUAACAAGUCUUCACAAACUCGUGCAAACUUACUAUUUCUAAUCUUAAUAAGUGAUAUAAUUAAUUUUAUUGAUAAAGUCAAAAUAAUUUUUAACAAUGAAGAAAUAAAUUAUAAUAACAAUAAAUUUAUGACGAAAAAUGUUUACAAAAUUUAUUCUAAAUGAUAUGAAAUUUAAUUAAAAUUUUAUUGAAAUUUUAUGUCUUUUUUAAAAUUUUAUUAAAAAGUGGGAUUUCUUAAGAGUUUAAAAGGCGUGUUGGAGGCUUUACUCUUAUAUUUUUCUAGCUUUGAAUUUCAGUGGCCUUUACUUCGUUUAAAUUUUUGUUAUAAACCUGCAAGUAAGUGCAUUUAGGAUGCCUUUUGGUGAAGCUGGAUUGUAACAAUAAUUUUAUUUAUUAAAAUCAAUAAAAAAUUUAAUUAAUUAAAGUUUACGUAUCCUCUUGUCUAACCAAUCAAAUACUUUCUCUCAAGACAAUACCAGUGUGCUUAAAAAAAUGGUGAGAUUGGUUCUUGCCUAUUAGUUAAUAUACAUGUAUUAAUUCAUCAUUGCCUUUUAGUUGAAGCCAUUCAAUAGUGUAGAAGAAGAAGAAGAAGAAGAAGAAGAAGAAGAAGGAGAAGUAGAAGAAGAAGGAGAAGAAAAAUAUAUUAGUAUGGAAAGAACACAAGUUUAUUUAUAAUGCAGUCCCUCCCAAGUCCCUACAUGGGCACAAGCACUGAAGCAAACACACUGACACAACAUAUAUAUUACCAAGAAGAAAAGAAAUUAGUAGCCAGCUAGUAGCACAUUCAACAUACAUAUAUACAGAACUUGAACAUAAUUGACAACAUCUGGAGGGAGAGGGAUAUAUAUCGAUGCUGCAGCCUGCAAUUCAUAGCAUGUCAUCGAUCAUUUAAUUGCUUAUCAAAUGGUGUCCUUGAAUGUUUUGAUUAAGAAAAUGGUGAUGAUGAUCAUUCUAAUGGUGAUGAUCUUCAAGGGGCCUGGGAAAUUUGUGAAACAACGCCCUAGCGGUAGUGUGUGUAUUUAUAACUUGAUGAUAGAGAGUACGGUGGUUGUCCAAAUUCACACAUUCACCAAACUUUUCCCAUGAAAUUAUAUGUUCGCAUAUGGCAGCAACCCUGCACACAAAUCAUCACAACCAAAAGCUCACGUUUUGCAUGCAAACGCCUGUCUAUAGUCAUUCACCAACCACAAAUUACUCAAGUAAGUACUCGUGUCGUCAACACUUACCCUUU
rnacentral:lncRNA from 1 species